AGAGAGAUAGAGAGAUAGAGAGAGAGAGAGAGAGAGAGAGAGAGAGAGAGAAUAAAAACAAUAUUAUUUUUCACACAAACUCAAAAUUGCUUAUAAAAUUACAAAUCAAAACAAAUGAAAGCAAAUCCAAAAUUGCCCUAAAUUAAAUCUGAUUAGUUAAAUGUUUGUUGCCCUACAAAUGUCAUUACACCCGACAAAACUUGCUUUGAAGUUGAUAUUUUGGUCAAUCCGGGGGAAAAUGAGCUAUUGCUUUUGGAGCAGUUGUCAUGGAGAUUACCAUCUCCCUGUUGAAUGAUCUAAAAAAGGACUUACAGCUUCUGGUGGCCAUAAUAAUUUAGGAGGUCCUUCGCUCCAGAUUUUCUCAAUAACUUUCCUUUUCGUGGCUGGUAGGAUUGCAACUCCAAGAAUUGCUCUGAAGAGAUAUAUGCAAACAAAAUCAAACUAAAACUAAGCUGUUGGAAGAAAUUUAGAAAACACAAACACCACAACUCAGAGUUAAAGUCAACAGAAACCAAAUGGUAGAAGUUGAAAAAAAUAUAUGGUGAUGAAUCGAGAACUUCAUUAAACUAACAGCAAUAAAAUCUCAUAUAAUCUGUCAAAAACCAAAAAAGAGAGAGGUAAUUUCAAAACCUUGUAACGCUGAGGCGUCGUACAGUUGUAGUAAUAAUAUAUGGUUGAUGCACCUGUUGCUCAAUCAAAUCCUCUGUCUGGCUAAAAAAAUAAAAAUCUAUAAAUACAUUCACGUCCAAUUUAUGAGAAAUCAUGGGAAAGUAAAUGCACUGAUAACGGAAUUAUGAAUAUGAACUUGCCAAAAAGAAAAAGAAAACUUCUUAUAGUGUGCCAAGAACAUCCUCCUACUCCUAGCAAUUUUUAAUGGCAUUGUCCACUUCUCAAUUCAUAAUUCAACCAAUAACUCAAAGUCUAUAGUGUUUGAAAAAGUGAUAUCUUAGUUGAUCACGAUGAUAAUUAAGCAGAUUAAAUGAUGACCCAUAAAGCAUACAAAUUCAGAAAAGAAAAGGUUCAAAACUGUCAUGAGAAAAUACAGAAUAUAUAAACAGGAAAUCAAAAAAAGAGAAGUGAAAAAGGAAGAAACAACCAAACAAAAUUAUUAGGUUUGGGAUAUACCUUUAUCUGAAACGCCACAAUCAUCAAAGUCAAACUUAAACAACAACAACAACAACAACAACAACAAAGCCUUUUCCCACUAAGUGGGAAAGUCAAACUUAAACAAUCCAAAAAUUUGUGGAAAAUACCAAUAAAUGCUCAACUAAAAACGAAAGAAACGUAGAAUAAGUUUACCUGUUCUGCCCCUAAUUAAACUGGAAUACAAUUCACCACUAAUAUUCCUUGGUGUAUGCUUUUCGCAGACGAUAUAGUGUUGAUAGAUGAAACUCAGGAAGGGGUAAAUGCAAAGCUUAACCUUUGGAGAGAAGUGUUGGAAUCUAAAGGUCUUCGCCUAAGCCGAUCAAAGACAGAAUAUAUGGAGUGCAAGUUCAGUGCAAAUGGAGGCCAAAACGAGUUAGGGGUGAGGAUCGGAGAUCAAGAAAUACUAAAGAGCGACCGUUUUCGUUACCUAGGAUCUAUCUUGCAAAAGAACGGAGAAUUAGAUGGAGAUCUCAACCAUAGAAUACAAGCUGGAUGGAUGAAGUGGAAGAGUGCAUCCGGCGUGUUAUGUGACCGCCGUAUGCCACUGAAGCUCAAGGGAAAAUUUUAUAAGGACGGCAAUAAGGCCGGCGAUGCUGUAUGGCACAGAAUGUUGGGCGGUGAAACAUCAAACACGUACACAAAAUGGGUGUAGCGGAGAUGAGGAUGCUUCGUUGGAUGUGUGGGCACACGAGAAAGGAUAAGAUUAGGAAUGAGGAUAUCCGGGGUAAAGUAGGAGUAGCCGAAAUUGAAGGAAAGAUGAGAGAAAAUCGGUUACGGUGGUUUGGACAUGUGCAAAGAAAGGCCUACUGACGCUCCGAUUAGAAGAUGCGACUAUGGGACAGAGGUUCAGGGCCGAAGGGGUAGAGGAAGACCUAGGAAAACUUUGGAAGAGACUCUAAGAAAAGACUUAGAGUACUUGGAUCUAACGAAGGACAUGACACAGGAUCGAGCACAAUGGCGUUCUAAGAUUCAUAUAGCCGAUCCCACUCAGUGACUUGGAUUUUCCAAGUCUCCAACCGAGAAGUUUUCCUCACUCGGAAAAUUAAGGGAACACUACCCCAACCUACAUGCUCCACUCAGAAAGCUUCAACAUACAAGCUUCAACAAAAGAAAAUUCAAAGAACUUAGCGAAGAAGGCUUUGGUGUAUUAACACAAUACGUUGAAAUGAAGGAAAGCUUAUUUAUUGAUAUCCCCGAUAAGCUACAAAUAUGUACAUAUACAUGAGUCAAAAUAAACACACAAGAGGGAGCCUUCACAAAGGUUGCUUAGGAGAAGUCUCAGCAGUCGGUAGAGCCCCAGAAAGAGAAGGCACCGGAGGGGGAUCAUUUGGAGCCUCAGUACUGGACAGAACCCUAGAAGGAGGAGGCAUCAGAGGUUGAUCAUUUGGAGCUUCAUUACGCGGUACAGCCCCAGAAGACGAAGGCAAUAAAUGCCUUUGGAACAAACCCACAAAUCUCUGAUGAUCAAGUAAAACCUGACCAUCAGUUUCCUUCAUCUGGUCAAGCUUCCUCUUCAUGUUUGUAGCAUAGUCAUGUGCGAGCCGGUGCAACUGUUUAUUCUCAUGCUUGAGCCCUCUAAUCUCCUGUUUGAGACUCAUCACUUCAGCCGCCAAUGAUUCAACUUGGCGGGUUCGAGCAAAUAGGCGUUGGGCCAUAUUAGACACAGAACCUGCACACUGAACACUGAGAGCCAGCGAAUCCUUAACAGCUAACUCAUCAGACCGUUUGGAAAGUAGUCUGUUAUCUUUGGGAGUGAGAAGGUUCCUGGCCACCACCGCAGCGGUCAUAUCAUUCUUCAUCACGGAAUCCCCAACGGUAAGAGGACCAGUAGGGGAGACGAAGGAUGGGCGCCAUAUGUUGUCUGGAGAAGGCGGGGCUGCCUCUUCAACAAGGUUCAAGUCAAAACGACGGUCGGAGGGGCCAGACAUUUUCAAAGGUGUUGAAGAGAGAAGAGGUCGGACAAAUCAAGAUCUUAGAAGUGCAAGAAUGAAGCUUCUACUGGUGGAGAUUCAAGUGUGCUUUGGAACUUAAUGCCAGCCCCUAUAAAAAUCUGCACUCGACGGAGCUUCAGAAAAUCGAAGAGGCGCCUGCUCAGAAAUCGAAGAGGCGUUUGCUUUCUCAAAAGCUGGGCUGCUUAGAGAUCACGAGGGUUGAUCUCAGAAAUCGAAGAGGCGUUUGCUUUCUCAAAAGUUGGGCUGCUCAAAGACCACGAAGGCCGAUCUCAGAAAAUCGAAGAGGCGCUCGCUUUCUCAAAAGCUGGGCUCCCCAGAGACCACGAGGGCCGAUCUCAGAAAUCGAAGAGGCACCUACUUUUCCAGCCUUGUCAGCACCUGUCACACGCACACUCAGCUUUGCGGAAAUUAUGGGCAUUCUGUCGAAGACUUCUGGGGAAGUAGAAAACACAUGAAUCUUACUGUUCAAUCACCCACUUCCCACACGCAACAAUAGCUCAUGGGUACCACAGAUAACUUUGCCAAAGUUCUCUGCCAAAGUUGAGCACGUGAAGCUUGCAGCUCCCACUACAUCGCUCUGACCAAGAAGGGUAAAAGAAUAGCAAAGAAACAGCACUAACAAAGUUUAGACCCAUAAAUUUUGAAGGUCUAGCUACCAUAUUAUUACCCACAAGGGUAAAGGAACAGUACCACUGCUGGAUAAUUGGAAAGUCCCUGUGUGUCAACCUCUGUGCUUCGUGGCAAGGUAGACUAGCAAACAUGCCCAACCUUUACUCACAUUCGAGAAAACACUCCCAAUAAGAUUGCUUGCUCCAAAAUCGAAGAGGCACCGUCCUCCGAAUCUCGAGAGCCAGACUCCCAACAUGACUACUUUCUUAAAAAUCGAAGAGAGGGUAAAGGAACAGUACCAUUGCUGGAUAAUUGGAAAGUCCCUGUGUGUCAACCUCUGUGCUUCGUGGCAAGGUAGACUAGCAAACAUGCCCAACCUUUACUCACAUUCGAGAAAACACUCCCAACAAGAUUGCUUGCUCCAAAAUCGAAGAGGCACCCGCCCUCCGAAUCUCGAGAGCCAGACUCCCAACAUGAUUACUUUCUCAAAAAUCGAAGAGACACUGCUCCCCGAAUCUUCGAGAGCCAGACCCCCAGCAUGAUUGCUUUCUCAAAAAUCGAUGAGGCAUCGUUCUCCGAAUCAAUCGAAGAGGCGCUCGCUUUCUCAAAAGCUGGGCUGCUCAGAGACCACGAGGGCCGAUCUCAGAAAUCGAAGAGGCACCUACUUUUCUAGCCUUGUCAGCACCUGUCACACGCACACUCAGCUUUGCAGAAAUUAUGGGCAUUCUGUCGAAGACUUCUGGUGAAGUAGAAAGCACAUGAAUCUUACUGUUCAAUCACCCACUUCCCACACGCAACAAUAGCUCAUGGGUACCACAGAUAACUUUGCCAAAGUUCUCUGCCAAAGUUGAGCACGUGAAGCUUGCAGCUCCCACUACAUCGCUCUGACCAAGAAAGGUAAAAGAAUAGCAAAGAAACAGCACUAACAAAGUUUAGACACAUAAAUUUUUGAAGGUCUAGCUACCAUAUUAUUACCCACAAGGGUAAAGGAACAGUACCACUGCUGGAUAAUUGGAAAGUCCCUGUGUGUCAACCUCUGUGCUUCGUGGCAAGGUAGACUAGCAAACAUGCCCAACCUUUACUCACAUUCGAGAAAACACUCCCAACAAGAUUGCUUGCUCCAAAAUCGAAGAGGCACCGUCCUCCGAAUCUCGAGAGCCAGACUCCCAACAUGACUACUUUCUCAAAAUCGAAGAGAGGGUAAAGGAACAGUACCAUUGCUGGAUAAUUGGAAAGUCCCUGUGUGUCAACCUUUGUGCUUCGUGGCAAGGUAGACUAGCAAACAUGCCCAACCUUUACUCACAUUCGAGACAACACUCCCAACAAGAUUGCUUGCUCCAAAAUCGAAGAGGCACCCGCCCUCCGAAUCUCGAGAGCCAGACUCCCAACAUGAUUACUUUCCUCAAAAAUCGAAGAGACACUGCUCUCCGAAUCUCGAGAGCCAGACCCCCAGCAUGAUUGCUUUCUCAAAAAUCGAAGAGGCAUCGUUCUCCGAAUCUCGAGAGCCAGAUACCACAGACCACUUUUUCAAAGUGCUCUGACAGAGUUAAAACAUGUGAAACUGGCAGCUCCCACUACCGUGCUAUGACCAAGCAGGGUAAAGGAAUAGCAUUACUACUUGUUGUUAGGGAGACUCCUAUAUAUGUCGACCUCCAUCCCCAACGGACAGGCAGACCUGCAAAAAUGCUCAACCCUUCAUCAUAUCUGAGAGGGCACUCCCAACGAAGCCUUUCGAAAUAUUCAGCUUUCUUUCCCCCCGAUAAUACCUCUGCAAACAAGCUAUACUACUAGAGCAAGAAUAUCUCAUAUCAUCAGGGUUAAAAGCAAGAGUAUCCCAUAUCAUGCUUUUUCCCUGUCUUUUCCUUUGGCCUUGUUUUUUACCUGCAAGACAAGGAGAAAGAGAGAGCAAUCAGUCAGCACUUGGAAUCAAGCUUCCAGCCAGGAACUGACUGCCUGGAACCCCUUACCUGAUUACUUACCUGGCAUUGCUCUCGAGUACUCAUCUUCAACAUCUUAUGUUUCCAGGGAAGAUUCCGCAUCUGCUUGAGGAACAGAUAGGGCAAGUGCGAAGGAUACAAGGAAGCAUGUGGAGACAAGCGUAACAGCACACGUGCCGAUACAUCCAUUACUCUGUCAAAAGCAAAAGUAUCCCAUAUCAGCAGGGUGGAACGUACUCUAGAUUUGAUGGACUUGUUUUGACCCUCAAAUUCUUCAGUCGGCCUUAUACUCUGGAGGAAACCAGAAAACCCUCCAGCUCAGUUCAAGAAUAAGCCUGUGGAAAGUUACUUCUUCAAAAGCAAAAGUAUCUCUCAUAUCAUCUCUUCUCAUUUUUUCUUCUCUUUAUCCUUCAUGCUGCUGCAAGAUGGGGAGAAGGUGAACAAUCAGUCGGAGCUCUGAUUGCUUACCUUGUCUGUCACCUCUUUCAGCAGACCCCCUAGCUCGGCGACUUGGGGGACUCCUACUACAUGGUUUGUAUCGCGCUUGACCAAGCCUGAAACUACAAGUAAGCUUCAAGUGAAAUUGAUACAUUACCUUGUGCAUCUCCACCAGUUAAAGAUACCACCCCUGGAUGGAGGAAGAGUACUUCCAGAGAAGAUGCCACAUCUACCUAUGAGACAGAUAAGGCAAGUCAAGACGACACCACACUCCGAUACUUAGAAGUUUCGUGAUUACGAGAUCAUUCUCCCACAAUAUUUCCUAAUGUCAUUUGUACUAAAUCAUUCACUUGUACUCACUAAAGGAGAGCUUGAACCUAUGUACUUGUGUAAACCCUUCACAAUUAAUGAGAACUCUUCUAUUCCGUGGACGUAGCCAAUCUGGGUGAACCACGUACAUCUUGUGUUUGCUUUCCUAUCUCUAUCCAUUUAUAUACUUAUCCACACUAAUGACCGGAGCAAUCUAGCGAAGAUCACAAAAAAGCGACCGUUUUCGCUACCUAGGAUCUAUCUUGCAAGAGAACGGAGAAUUAGAUGGAGAUCUCAACCAUAGAAUACGAGCUGGAUGGAUGAAGUGUAAGAAUGCAUCCGGCGUGUUGUGUGACCGUCGUAGGCCACUGAAGCUCAAGGGAAAAUUUUAUAGGACGGCAAUAAGGCCAGCGAUGUUGUAUGGCACAGAAGAAUGUUGGGUGGUGAAGCAUCAACACGUACACAAAAUGGGUGUAGCGGAGAUGAGGAUGCUUCGUGGGAUGUGUGGGCACACGAGAAAGGAUAAGAUUGGGAAUGAGGAUAUCCGAGGUAAAGUAGGAGUAGCCGAAAUUGUAGGAAAGAUGAGAGAAAAUCGGCUCCGGUGAUUUGGACAUGUGCAAAGAAGGCUGAAUGACGCUCCGGUUCGAAGAUGUGACUACGGGACAGAGGUUCAGGGUUGAAGGGGUAGAGGAAGACCUAGGAAAACUUUGGAAGAGACUAUAAGAAAAGACUUAGAGUACUUGGAUCUAACGGAGGACAUGACACAAAACCGAGCGCAAUGGCGUUCUAGGAUUCAUAUAGCCGACCCCACUUAGUGGGAAAAGGCUUUGUUGUUGUUGUUGUUGUAUUCAAUGAAGAUGCUUAAAGGAGACAGUAAUAUUAGCAAUGAAGGAAUUUAAUUGAUAACUAAAACUGCAAAACAAAAUGACUACAAUAGGUUCAAAACAGAAACUCGUCCGAUAGAUAUCUCAUCUUUAGGCAAUGCCUUGUUCCCUUUUUUUUUUUUUUUUUUUUUUUUUUUUUUUGUUGCAUGUCUUGUGAACUUCAUGUAAAUCAACAAAAUUGAUACCUUAACCAACAAUGGAGAGGUAAAAAGUUAAAAACAGAAGGAAUGUCUUCAGUUUUGUAAUGGAUUUUGCAAGUCAAAUUCUGUUCGAGAAUUUGCAACCCAGAAAGUCCCAGCAAUUAUUAACAAUCACAGAUAAGCACCGAAUGAAGGCCAAUCUAAUAAGCCAAAAUAUGUAGGGCACUAAAGAAAUUAUUGCCCAGUAACAAUGAUAGAUAAGCACAUGUGAAACUAAAGAAAAUUUUCAUUACUAUCAACUCCAAAAAAAAUUACCUAUGCAAUCCAAAAAAUGUUGAUACAGAGUUGGAGUAUCGAUGCCUGAAAUUGGUAUUUGAACCACCAACUACCUCCGUGAAUAUGCUUGUCACUUAAUGGUUUGGGUUGAAGUUGUGAAAGGAAAUGUAAUUUCUUAAAAGGAAGGAGAGAAUGCAGAGAAGAAUACAGAAUGGUUCACGUGGCCACCGCAAAACAGGUUAAUAAUCAAGCUUCACUAUGAAUGGAAAGAUUAAUAGAUGAUAAUUAAGAAGGCCUGAUACCCAAGCCGAAAUCAGAGAUAUCCUUUGUAAACAAAGAGAUUGAACAUUUCCUCUCAAAAAAUAACUUUUUUUUUUGUUUUGGGGGGGAGGUUGGGAAGGCUCAGAAAAAGACAUCCAAUAUAAUACUUAUUGCAUGCAAGGUAUGAAACAGCCUCCCCCCGAGUAAAAUCACAGAAAUAAAAGAAAUCGAAUCAAGAAAAAAGAUAAUUACACAAGAAUUACACCUUCACUAAGAAAAUAAAUUAUAAAAACGAAGACUCUGAGAAUAAUUGCCUGUGAUUUGCUGCCAAAAACAAAAAUAAUGUCGUAUACAUUAAGCCUGCCGAUUACUAAAAACAAAACAUUUUUCCAUGAGAAGAAGUAAGAACAUACCGAAACUUGUUUGCUAAUAGAUGAGAAAAAUUUAUAACUGAAACAUAUAGGAAAUUUAUUAGGAAAAGAUAAACAAAACACCUAAAUUAAGCAAUUAAAUGGAGUAUUACUUGAUAGAGCUGGAAAAUUACCCAGUUCCUCAGAGAGAGGAUCAAGAGUGAAUGAUGAGAGUGCAGAGAAACGAAUGAUUGAGAAAUUCAAGCUCUGAGCUCACAGUUGGGGCUUCCACUUUCCAACUGGGGAAGAAAUAACAGAGAAAACACAAGGCCAAUCCACCAAAAAUAUUAAUCAAAUGGGUUUCUUCUAAUUCAAAAUUUUGACCACCCAAAUUCCGAUGAAGCAAUAAUUGUUCAAAAUUCCAACAGAUUGAAGGAAAAAGUAAUAAAUUUUUUUAAAACAGUAAUAAUGAAGGAAAAAGAAAUUAAAGCUGCGAGCCAUUCUCUAAAUCUCAGGCACCAAUCCAAAUCACCAGUAAUUUGCACAUAAUGAUAAGAAUCUAGCAAUACUUCCAUUGUUUAAAACCCAAAUUCCAGAAAUCAUGAAAAAUGGAAACUUUAUAUGGAAAUUGAAGCUUUACCUGCAGAUCAGCAGCAGCAAACGAAAUUCAAGAAGUCACGAUUAUCGACGCGUGGGUAGCAUUCCACUGUGCCAAGGACGAAAAUGAACGGGGAAUGUAGAGCUGGCUGACGAAGACAGGAUUCGCGAAGCGCUCUGAUUUUUUUUUUCACGAGAAUGCGGAAUGAAGAGAAGCGAGUAGAGGAGGAAUCAUUUUAAGCGAUGAUCGACGCGUGGAAAUUGAGGGCAAAUCUGCCAUUUUGCUGUGAACGAAAGUGAAAAAAGGCACAAUCAAAGAGUAAUUUGAGGGCAUUCUAGCCACUUUAAUAAACAGUAGCUUUGUGUUUGAGAUUUAAUAUAGGUAUAUAUAGAGCCCUACAGAGCAACUCCACCCAUGGAGCCCUCCUCUCUGACAAUCUACUAUUGAAUUCACCUUUUUGAACAGUAACUGCCUUUAAUAAAUAGUAACUACCAUUAAUGAACAAUAAUUGUCAUUUGCAUCUCCACCCUUGGAGCCCUCCCCCCUGGCAAUAGGCAAUAAAAUAUUAAUUUUUUUUGUUUGUUUAAAUAAUACAAAAUAAAAUUAUUUGUAAUUUUGGAUAAGAUUUUUUAAAUCGUUCUCGUUGCGCCACGUGUCAUUUUAUAAAAAAAACAAUUAUUUAGCGAUGGAUUUCGAUAAGAUUUUUAUCCAAUGUCAUCGUGUCACAUGUCGUUAUCUUUUGAUAAUCUUUGACGAUAUCUUUCGAUCAGAUUUUAACUCGUUCAAAAUUGCGUCACGUGUCAUUAUUCGAAAAGAUAAUUAUUGGAGAUCGAUUUCGAUAAGAUUUUUAUCCAAUACGAUCUUGUCACGUUUCAUUAUCUUUCAUAAUAUUUGAGGAUAGAUUUCGAUCAGAUUUUUAACGAAUGACGGCAUGCCACGUGGCCUUAUCUACAAUCCAAUCCUUUCUGAAUCAUCCAUAUAAUCCACCAUCCAUCCUCACAAAUCUCACACCAAAUUUCUCAACAUUUCUAUCUCAUUAUUCAUAGUUUCUGCUUCUUCUUCACCAUCCAUCAUUACAAUGUCUUCUUCUUCAUCAAGGAUGAUGUGGGAAAUCGAUCAGCAAGAGGAAGAAUUGUUUAACCAAUCUGAAGGAAUGUUCAACCUUCAGAUAGCCGAAAAUGAGAUGGAUGAGGAUGAGGAGCGUAGAAGGAGAGACGACGAAACAAGAAUGGCCAGAGCCUCACAUUCCCGUUGAGUCAUCCAGACUGUUGCUCAGAUAUGCAUGCCCAACCGUUCAAGAAACCUUGGUAGAAGCAGGCAACGAUGGGGUGAAGAGCUAUUGGACGAUUACUUUGUCCAUAACAGUGCAUUUCCUGAUACGUACUUCAGACGUCGUUUUAGAAUGGAACGACAUUUGUUCAACAGAAUCAUGACUGAUGUUUACAACCAUGAUUCUUACUUUGUGCAAAAGAAUGAUGCUUGUGGUGUUAUGGGUUUCCUGCCUGAGCAAAAAAUCACUGUUGCGUUGCGGAUGCUUGCGUAUGGAGCAUCUGUAGACCAAGUGGAUGAGAUAACGAGGAUGGGGAAAUCAACCAUUCUUGAGGCCCUUAUGAGGUUUUGCGGAGCAGUCGAAUCUUUGUACACCGCAUAGUACCUCCGAAAACCUACUUGUAGGGACUUGCAAAGGCUUCUGAAGAAGGGCGAGAUGCGAGGUUUUCCUGGGAUGAUAGGAAGCAUCAAUUGUAUGCACUGGACGUGGAAAAAUUGUCCAAGUGCAUGGCAAGGCGCAUAUGGGGACAUAAAAGGAUCAAAAACUAUCAUUUUGGAGGCAGUGGCAUCUUUUGAUACAUGGAUAUGGCACGCCUUUUUCGGGGUUCCGGGGGCUCAAAAUGAUCUCAACGUCCUUGCCCAAUCCCCAGCGUUCAACGACAUCCUGCAAGGAAAGGCACCAAAAGUCACGUACAUCGUCAACGGACGUAGGUACGACGGGCCAUACUAUCUAGCUGACGGCAUUUACCCACGGUGGGAAACAUUUGUCAAAACAGUGCCACGUCCGCGAAGUGCAAAGGAAAAACACUUUGCAAGCUGUCAAAAGGGGUGCAGGAAGGAUGUGGAGCGUUGUUUUGGUAUCCUUCAAGCUCGUUGGGCGAUCGUCAGGGGUGCUGCCAGAAUGUUCGAUGUAGAGUCACUUUGAUCCAUCAUGAUGACAUGCGUCAUUCUUCACAAUAUGAUUGUGGAAGAUGAGUUCGAUUAUGAUGCGGUUGAUGAAUAUGAGCCAGAGCCAGACACGAUGAACAAUUCAAGAACACGGAUAUAUUGUGCGCAUGAUGCCACCAAAGAACCCGUGCAACAUGAGCCAUUAGAAAGGGAUGAACGUUACAAUGAAAUGGUCAUUCAACGAUAUACUGCACUUCAAAUGUCAUCUAUGCACAAUGAUCGGCAAAUUGACUUGAUAGAGCACCAGUGGACAUUAAAACAAGCUGAAGAUACUUAAGUUUAUUUAGUAUGUUUGUUUGUAUUUGGUAUGUUUAUGUAAUUUUAUUUGGUGUGUUUUUUGUAGUGAGUUUUUUAUUAUUUCGUAUGUUUAUGUAAUUUUAUUUGGUGUGUUUAUGUAAUUCCAAUUGGUAAGAAAAUAUGAAAUUGUGGUGUAAGGUAGAUGGAGAAGAAGUGGUAUUUAUAGAAAAGUAAAAACAAUUUUUUACAAAUUUUUUUUUUUAGAUUUUUUACAAUUUUUUCGGAUUUUUUCCAUUUUUUUUAAUUUUUUUUUCAAAUAAUUAAUCUCUGCCGUUGGAUUUAAAAAAAAUUGAAUUCCAACACUCCAGAUUGUGCCACGUGUCACAACGGUAAUUUUUCUUAAUUUUAAAACUAUUUUUUCUUUAUUUAUAAAGCAUAUUAAUAUCGACCGUUGAUCUGAAAUCGAACGGUUGAUAUUAAAUAAGAUUUGUUUUAUUUUUUUUACCGUUGAGAUCCAACAGUCCAAAUGAAAGAGCCGUUGAGAUCGAACGGACCGUGGGAAACCACGUGGCUUCCCAAUGGUAACUGAGACAACUGCAAAAGUGGGCUGCUUUUCUGAAAAGCUGUCAGGCGACGCGCCCCCACGCGCGAGUGGGGUGCACGCGCCUGACAAAAAAAAAAAAAAUGGGUGAAGAGCUCGGGCUCACGGCUGUCACAAAUUGACAGGCCUUCUGCUCGGGCCUUCUCCACGAGCUCGGGCUCUUCAAGACUGGAGCUGAUUGACUAGCCCUCGGGCCUUUCUUUUCCCCUGUCCCCCGGCCUACAUGCAUGGGUGGAGUUGCUCUAAGAGAAGGGAUUUCCAUUCUUGUUUUUUUAAAUGUGGACACCUUUUUUACUGUUAGAUUUGACUUUAACGAAAUUUUGUGGUUGAGAUUAAAUCACAAACCACAGAAUCUCAACCAUAGAAUUUCAUUAAAGCUAUAUUUAACGAUCAAUAGGGUGUUCCCAUUUUUUUUGAAAAAUAGGAAUCCCUUCCCUUAAGGCUUUCAGUAUAUUAUAUACACUAAAACUCAAUUGAUGAACACUGUUCAUUAACAGUGAUUUUACGUUUUAGCCCCUGUUUUGCUGUUUGUUUGCCCUUUUAUUUUUCGAUCUUAACAGUAAAAUGACAGUUUUGCCCGUUCUUUCCACGCGUCAGUCAUCGUUGAGCUCUUCACUUCAAGAGUCUUCUUUUAGGUUUAGCCUUUUCUUUGCACUGGUGAUUCUCUGAUUUCGUCUCUUCGUCUCGCCCUCUGUUUUUUCUCAAAUCCUCCAUUCCUCUCAAAUAUUCCGUUCUUUAUUUCACAAAAUAUUCAGGAGAAAGUUCCUGAUUUUCGUGUUUUAAGGGAUAUAAUGAUUUGGUGUUGUUUAUCUCAAACAGCGGGCUUGCAGGUAAAAUGUUAAGCUUUAUGUCCAAAGCAAUCUUUCUCUGCAUGCUGACUGUGUGUUGAUUUGAAGGGGUGGUUUAGUGAAUGGGUGCUUCUUAUUUUUGGCCUUUCUCUAUUAUCAUAUAUGUUUCUCUAUUCUCAGGUAUCAGAUCAUUCGAAACAAAAACAUUUUAACGUUAUUUUUGCAGGUUAAUGUUGGGUUUGAGUCCAACACGAUAUACACUUGAACAGAGUAGAGUAGAAGACAGUAUGCAAACAUGAUUUAGGACACAGUUUACCUAAUUGUAAACACUCUGUGAAAUAUUAUUAGUUAUGAACAUCCAAUUUGAAUCCCCCACAUGCUAAAUUAGGUACCAUUAAAUUAGUUUUAUGUCUUUUUUUUAUUUGAAAGCUGCUUCUUAUUUCUGUCUCUAUUAAGAUUCUGGGGUGUGCUUUGGAUUUGCUACAUAUGGUCAUAUUUUUUGUCAUUGGCUUUUUGUUCUGCUUAGUUUUUUUUAAUCGAGUGUUUUAUCUGGUAUUUCAUUUUGUUUUGUUUAUUUGUUUCCUUUUUAUGUUUAAAUGUUUUUUGUUCUUUCUAAAUUUGGGCUUCUGGGAAAUUCUUGCUCACUGUUUGGAUUCCGAGAAAAUUUAGGGGAUGUCCAGUAAUAUUCACAUCCUGAAAACUCAGUGAAAAUAGAUACCAAUUUAUGUGCAGCUGAAAAUUUUGUUAUCUGAUUCUGUUCUAAAUAACAUGAUUUAUUUGUUUUUUAAACUUUUAAUUAUUUCGUAUUUAUUUUGUGAUUGCAGAUGUUUAAAUGAUGGAGAGUUUCGCAAAGCUGUUACUCGGAGGAGACAUGUCUAGAUGAGGGAAAGGUGUCUCCACUGCCCUUGCUAUCUCAAAUGCCAUCACCAAUCUCUCUGGUUAGUCACAUUCCUCUUGGAAUAUGCAUAUUCUUAUGUGAUGUUGGCUGAUACCUUGGUGAGUCAACUUAAUAAAAAAUGUGAGAUGGACAAAUUGAAAAGUCUAUUUUCUUCUCAUAUGCAUCCUUUAACAUAUGUCAGUUUUAAUUAUUGAUGAGCAAUUGAAAAUUUAGUUUUUCUUCUCAUGGUACACUUACAUUGGUAGUUCAACAUAUGUUUGUUUAACAUAUCUUAUUAAAUGCAUUUGAGAAUCGAUUGAAGAAACUCAGUUCUUUUAGCAAUUAAGAACAAGGUAAACAUAGUUGUAAAUAUGUGUAAAUAAGAUAGGAAUUUUGAUGAAUUUAUGUUUUUUCCUCCGUUUUUCAGUGUUUUCAGGCAUUGAAGCUAAAUAUGGAGAGGGUUUUGAGACUUUUAGACCUAUUGGACCUCUCAAGGUUUGCGUGGUAAGGAGUUUAUGGAGUUAUACGCAUAGUAGGCAUUAUAUUUUAUGUUCUGUUGAAUUUAAUUUAAUGGUUAUAUUUUAUGCUCCUAUGAGUUAUUACUGUUAUGUUUACUCUGAGUAGGAUUUGUUGAACGACAAACUGCAAGGAGGUUUUCUUAAACGAAUAUGAUAUGCUAUGAAACCGAAUGAAGCUUACUGUCUUCUAUUCUCUUUUGUUAAUUUCGUGGUAAGUUUCUAUAACACUGAUUAGUUAUGUCUUCGAGGUUCUAAUGGCUAGAUAUGCUAAUGUAAUGAACUAUGGAAUAUUGUAAUAGUUUAUGGUCAAUGUGAUCCCAUAUCUGUUUGAUUGAAAUAUUGUUCUAUAACAGGUUUAAACUUUGUUUUUCCAAUACCUUAUCACAAAAUAAUUCCACCUUGGACAAAUUACAAGGUAUGCUGCAACAUGUGCUUUGAUUAAUUGCAUUCAAAUUGAUACUGCUUAAGAAUGCAUUUGAACAUGUUGAAUUUCACGCCCGCAGCAUCGCGCGGGCAAUAUUGCUAGUAUAAUAUAUAAUUGGGUGAUAAAGAGAGUAGGUGAAAGAACACAAUUUGCUCUUAAAAAUGUUGUUUUUAAGAACGAGUGAUUUUUCUUUUCUGACUCUUUCUGUCUAACCCAAAAGCAUACUGGUAAUAGGGUCCAGUAAGAAAAUUAUUUUUAGAAAUUAAACAUGAAAAAAUACAAAAUUUACAAUUUCGAAUUAUACAAAAAAGACAAAAAAAGCGCAAAAUAAAAAGAGCAGGACAGAAAAACAGAAACAAAAGAAAGGAGACACUAAGAAUACAAAUAGCGUGAUUUGAGCCCUCAAUUUUGGCAGGCAACAUGAUUGUUAACGCAUGAUUGUGAACCCAUCCAUUGAAGAAAGAAGCAUCAUAAUACACAAGAGUCAAGACUGGGCUUGGUUUAUAUAAUGAAUAAUGUUAGGGAGAUCAAAUUUUUUAAACUAAAUUUGUAAAUUAAAUGAUGUAGUUAUAGAUGAUUGGGUUAUUACUAAGUGUCGAUUAAUAUGUUUAUUUCUUAUUGGUGACAUAUCAUUUGGUUUAAAAAUUUGGUCUCCCUAGCAUUAUCCUUAUAUAAUUAAUCAAUAAUAUUCCAUAACAAGAGCUAGGUCCAUAUAUUACGAGGUUAUAAAAUAUGCUAGGUGCUAGUCGAGAGGCGGGCGGGGCCUAAGCAGAUUUAAGUAAAUUUAUUAUAUAUUGUAUAAAUAAAUGCCUUUUUAUACUUAAAAUGACACACAAUUGUAUCGAAAUAUAUAAAUUGCAAAAUAAAAUGACAUAUAGAUUAUAAAUUACUAGAACAUAAUGAACAAUCAUAUAAUGAGGGUUUAUCCAAAUAUUUAUUGGAAAACAAAAAACAAAAUGAGUGUUAUCGAUUUUCUGUCUAAAUGAAAGUUGCGGGCUAGGCAGGUUUAAGUGGGUUAGGCGGACGCCUAAGCAAGUCUAGAGCACUUUCUUAAUUUUUAAAUGAUUAGGGACUAAUUAGGGUGGUGGACAACUGCCUAGCGCUAGACAUGGGUUUUUAGAACAGUAAUUACUUGUUCUCAUAGAUCUCUGGGUUCAAGAAAAUUAUGAUCACCUAUUGUUCGAUCUUAAUACCGUCGGUAAGCGGUUAUUUAACCAUUUUUUAUAUUGAGUAAUUUUCCUGGAUCCUGAAAUCUAGAAGAACAAAACUCUUAUGUCACAUGGAUAAACAUAAUCAGGCAUAAGAAAAAGGUUGAAGAAUUCAUAAGUCAUAUAGGGGGCGUUUGUUUGCCCUCACUAAGUAUCACUGGACUAACUAUUAGUCCAGUCCCGUGUUUCUUCUGUAGAGGGAUUAUGUUUCAUGAGACUAAAGGGGAGUCACACGGACAAACUCCUUCACUAGGAGUUCUUAGCGAGAUCCCCCAAUGCCCAUGGGAUUGCUAAGACCUCGUAUACUCCAUCUUUGUAUGCUAUGUCUCAUCCUCUCUAUGCUCUCUAUUAUCUUGAGCACCAUCACACCACAACUCACCAACUCCAGUGAGAUCACACCACCAACCCACCACCACUUUCUCCCUCUCUCUUCACAUGAACCCAAAAUUUCGAACUGAGGAAGAUCCCGUUCUUACAGUAAUUCGUCCAGCUCUAGCUGUCUGCUUCGCUUCGCUGCACUUCAAACUCGACCUUGGACUCGUCUGAUUCGCUUUGAACUCGACCUCGUAUUUGUCGACUUUACGCAAUUGACGAGAUCUUGUGAACUUGAUGAUGGGUGAGCCACCCAGUGCACUUGAAGGAAUAUGGGAGGCCAAGAACGCCAAAGCCUACGACGGCAAUGAAGACGUUGGCUGGAUUGGGAUGACAGCGACGUGUUCCACAUCAAGGGCAGCGGCUUGGGAUUCUUGUUUUCAUUUGGUUUUGAUUUAAAUUAGGUUUUGAUUUCGAAUUGGGUUUGAUGUGAUCUGGUAUUGGCAUUUGAUUUGCUCUGUAAUUGUUUGAAUGUGUGGAAUAAAUUUUGGGGAAAGAGGAAGAAAAUUUAGAAAAAGAAAAAUAGACUAAAUAAUAAAAUAUUAAUAUAUAUUAGAUUAAAUAAUAUCAUAUUAGAAUUUAUUAUUAUCCUACUUCUUGGUCCGACACUGCACCAAACGCUUUACUAAGCUAAUCCAACUUAGUCUAGUCUAAGUCAAUCCAGCUUAGUUCCUGAAGUUAGUCUAGUCCAAGACAAUCCGGUGCAACAAACACAUUCAUAGAGUAAUUAUAGGGAUACUAAAUUUGUAAAUAAAAUUUUGUAAACUAAAUGACAUGGAAGUUGAUCGUUGAAUUAUUACUUAAACGUUAAUAAAUGUACUCAUUAUCACUAAAGACACGUUAUUUAAUUUGUAAAUUUUAUUUAUAAAUCUAAAGCAUUACCCAAACUCAUAAUACAAAUAGCUACUUUGAGAGAAGAAAAGAUGGAGAGUGAUAUGAUUGCAUUCUUUUUUAAAGCAACUUCUGAAGAUUCCAUAAUAAACUAUUAUUAUAUAUGAAGAUGUGCCGUGGUAAAAGAGAGGAAAAAAUGAAUGGAAAGUUUAUCCAAAAGAUUCUUGACCGUGAUUACAACUAUUUAACUUUUGUAAAUUUUCAUGGACCGAGAUCCAAGAAAAGAUGGAGAGUGAGAUUGGCAUUCUUUUUUGUAAAGGGAUUUUUUUUCCGAUCCCUUCCAUCUAAUUCACCUGAGUCAACCAUUUGAGUUCUUGAAAUUUAUUUAAACAACUAAAAUUAUUAUAACUUUUAAUGAAGCCCCUAUUUGUAGUCGUUAAAUCAAAUUUUAAAGAUUCGAAUUAGUGAAUUAGGUGGAUUAGGUGGAAGGGAUCCGAAGAAUAUCAAUUUCCUUCUUUUUCAACACAACUUUUGUUGAGUCCAUAAUAAACUAUUAUAUGAAGAAAGAAUACUAAAAAGACUCUCUCAAAAUCGAAACUUUUUGCGAACUUUUUAGCAUCUCAUGUUUUUGAGAUUAAUAACUAACAUUAUCUGAGAUUUAUUAAGUUUUCACAAAAUUCCCUUACGUAUGAGAUAUUACGCUAACAACACUUUAGUGUAAUGUCUCAAACGUAAUGGGACCUUGUAAAAUUUGAUUAACUUCGACAGUAUUAGUAUAUUUUUAUGUAAAUAUUAUAAAAUAUUAUGUUAAAUACAUUAAAUAACAGAUAGUCUUUAAGAGAGAUUUCUUACAUCUUUCUAAUGGAUACGGACGGUGGAAAAAGAUCAUUCCAUAAUUAAAUAUUGUGCUGUUGAUUACGCGUCUCUCCAUUUGACUAAGUUCCUUUUCACAUUCUUCCCUAAAUAAAAUGGUUCACUUUUCACAUUAUUACAAUAUUUAUAUUUAUAUUUUUACAAAAGGGAUUCGUCUAAAUUAAAUUUUUCGAAAAAUUUCGUAUAGUGAGUGAAAGUGAAACACUCCCUUUGUUAUGAUUAUGACAAUAUUUAUAUUUUUACAAAAGGGAUUUAUCUAAAUUAAAAUUUUCAAAAUUCCGAACAAGAUUUGAACUUUCGUGUAUAUGAAUAUAUGGAGUAAAUUGAUCAUGGCUGAAAAUAUGGCAGUGGUUGUGUUUGUGUUGCCUAACGGAUGAUAUUGAAAUACCUAAACACAAGUCAAGCUCCUUCAGUUAACAAAAACAGAAGUUUAUAAUAUGAUAAUGUUGGCGCACGGACUUGAGAAACAACAUAGGCCGGGAAUGUGCACAAAAAGUAAGAGAGAGGUAAAGAGGAAAGAAACGAACAUGAAAGAACAAAGACUAUCGAAUACAUUAUAAAACAAUGACUUCUUGGUAGUCAUUACAUCUCAACCAUCAAUAAUGCAUUAAUUUUGGUUGAAAUGUAGAAGUAUUUGAGAAGUAGCAUGACAACAACCACAUAAUAAACAAAAGUGGACGCAAAUGUGAAAGGAUAAUUAAAAACAAUUAUUCAAGAUGGGCGGUAGUUGAUUCAGCCAUUUAGAAGAUUCAAACCUAGAAUCAUUAUUGUAUUAACUAUUAACAGGUGCUAUAAUAUAGUUCUUAGGGAUUUCAAGGAGGCAUAUGGGGGACUACAUAAUGUGCAAUAGGAUUAAACUUUUUUUGUUACUAGGCAAAUGAACCAUAUUGAAAAAAGUUGAGGUUUAACCAUAAAAUUAAUUGACGAUAUAAAAAGUAGCUCAACCUCUUAUAAGCGUUUGCAAGAUUUCUCUUUUGACCUAUACAAGACUCUUUUACUUUCACAUCCUCGAACAUAUAAUACACCCAAAUGGAUGCCAAUAUAUAAACAUUGUUUUGAAAGGACAAGGGAGCUAACAGUGUCUUUUUAUAUGACUUGGACUUGGAGUACGGGCUGCAAAUUGCAUGCAAUUGCAACGAGAGCCAAAGAUAAUUGCCUUGUCCUUCAAAUUUGUUGGUAAAUUGGGGAUUGCACGAAGAUUUUCGCACUAAUCUGAAUACAGUGUUUCAAGCUUUUAAAGACCACUGAAGCUUUGAAAACUCUGUUGAUUUUACUUCCCAAGUAAGUGACAUAAAACUAAAUUGGGCAGUUGCAUGACAACAACCACUUAAUAAUCAAAAGUGAUUCGAAAAAGACCGAAAGUGAGAUGACCGCAUUCUUUUUCAGACAACUUUGGUAGAUUCCAGAAUAAACUAUUAUACAUGAAGAUGGGCGGUGGUAAUUGUCCUUUUGAUUAAAGUUUUUUGAGUCGAAAAUCAUUUUUCUAUAAUUAAUUCUUAACUAGAAAUUUGUACCAGUACACCGUUGUGGGACUGAAAAUCUUAUGAAAUAUUUUAUAACUUUAAUUUUCAUAAAUAAUGUGCGAGUGAAAAACAAAAAAUUACGAAUGGUAAUGCAAUUUAUAUGUAACCUUAUCAUGAACGGAACAAAUUUAGAUACUAAAAGAAAAAUUAAAAAUCUAUUUUUUCAAAGUGCGAAGAGAUAAUUGUUUAUUAAAAAAGUUGGACCAAUGAUAACUGCAUAAAUUACAAAUGCAAUAUUAAGAGUAUACCAGUCAAACUAAGCUUGCUACAGGCUAAACAAUGUUGAAAAACAUCAUUAGCUUUUUCAAGUGUUAUAUGCAAUGAAUGUAAUUAGCACGAAACUAGCACGAAACUGCAGAGGCUUUCGAUCCAUUAUAAUAUAAAAUAAAUAAUAAUAUUUACGUAUAAAAUAUGAUAUGAUUAUAUGAAAGUAACGACCCAAAUCUUAUUGGAGCUAAUUAACUAAUGUAUGCUCAUCAGGCAGCUGGAUUCCUUGGCAAGUGUUUAACCCCUACUUUCUUCACGCUCACAGAAUCACCAUUUGCAAAGUCAAUCGGCCUCACACCAAUAAAAACUUAAUCCCCGGCUAGUAAACUGAUCAGCUUAUCGUCCGAUAUAUGUCACUGCAAAGAUAAUCACCUUGUCUUUCAAAUUUGUUGGUAAAUUGGGGAUUGCGAGAAGAUUUUCGCACUAAUCCAAAUAUAUUGUUUCGAGCUUUGAAUGACCACUGAAGCUUUGAAAAGUCUGAUGGUUUUGUUAGGUCAUGUGUAUGACUAACGUUAAUGAUUUUCAACUUCCCAAGCAACUGUUACACAACUAAAUUUAAAAUCCAAGAGGAGGAUAUGAUCAGAGAAGAAAGAAAUGCAAUCCACUAAUAAUCAACAUCGAUAUUGUCUUCAACUUAAUCAUGAAUAAGUUUUAAGGCACAAAAGACCUCAUGCUUUUGUAGUUGAGCCAUUUAAUGUAAGGAGAAUCACAAUGUUAGUUAACCACAUCACAGUACAAAAGCACUAAAAGCGUCCAAGUGAAAGUGAAAGUGCUUUCUUCUCAUGUAGUUUCAUUUAACUUAAUUUUCCACAAUGGUAAUUAUGUUUCAAUGGUUCUGUUUUCACAUGCCAGUCGGUCAGUCACAUACUCAACUCCUUAAUGUUCGGGCUCAAUGGCUCGAAGAGAGCUUCCACUUCACUCUGAUUCACCUCCUCUAACUUUGACGGAUUCCACUUCGGAUUCUGCAUUGACAAGAAACAGAAGCCAGAGAUAAAGAUUCGUUGAUAUACGGAAAGUAAGAUGAUUAUACAACCGUAGGUCUAGUAGAGGCUGUAAUGGUUUAUGUUGCAGCAACUGCGUCAGCAAGUGAUUUUAUAGCAAGGAAUCUUGAGCAUAAUUAACGAACCUGAUCCUUGUCCACCAAAACUGCCGUACACCUUCAGCAAAAUCAUUCCGUAAAGACGAUCUUAUAGCAACGUGAUAUUCAGUUUCAUCACACCAGUUAACUGGUAUUGGUCAAGUAAAGCACAUGUUACUUUCUGAAAAUUUGAAAUACUACAACGCAAAACCUAUCAAAAGGAUGCAACCAUGUGAUGCAAGAAACGAAAAGGUACAAAGUCCAGACUCACUCUGGAUAAUUGAUUGUCAUUUUUCCCAAGCACGGAUGCAACUUUAGCGAAAUAAUUUUGUGUCAAAAAAGUGAAAACAGAGCACCCUUUCCAAGACCUUAAAGAGCUUCGUUAGCCCACUCACCACUGCAAUACAAACAAUUUAUACAAAAUACUUGACAGCGACAUACAAGCUGCUCAAUAGACAAAUGGCAUUAAAAAACUUACCAGUAGCAUCUGAACUCUGAUGCUGCUUUUUAAGUUCAUCAAUUGUCUCAAGAACCAACUUAUCUGCACCAAAUGCUGAAGUUAUUUGAGGUAAAAGAGUCUUGAGUUGCGCUUCAGAAUCUGGGUAGCUGGUGAAUUUCACCACAAUUGUUUCAAUGUCCUGAUGGGGAUCCUGGGAACUGAUUCAACAAUGGAGUUGCUUUUAUCUCAAGAAACGCAUUGGACAAUGUGAUGAUGGCAACUAAAGUUAAACCCACUGAAGCAUUGGAAAUUGCGUCUGAGGAUAGAAAAGGCAUACCUGCAGAUACUCCUCCCAGACUCUUUGCCUCUAUAUGUGAAAACCCAUCUGGGAACAAACCAAUUCCAUUCUCUGGCAUAGCAAGAACAGUCCUCAGAAAUGUAUCCAUACAAAGUUUGACACACAAAAUUAAAAAAGCCAUUGCAAUGUAAUUGACAACAUUGACAAUCUCUGUCUGACCGGGCAAUAAUGCCUCUGUAAUGAUCCGGUAGCGACUGUGACCUGAUAGGCCAAUACCAAAGCCCACUGUUAUGCCAUCCAUGAAGCUUAUAUGGGCUUCUUGUACUCGGAGAUAUUGCAUAUUAGAGAAUACUCAGCAGUGAAUACCUGAAAAACGUGCAGCACAAAUAUCAUAUCGGUAGCCUCUCAAAUCUUAAGAAAACUACAAAUGGUAGCUUAGAAAAGAAAUGAAUCCUCUCCAACCAAUACAAAUCAUAUUACCCAAGUUCAAGCAAAAUCAAGACUAAACAAAUGACCAGAUGUUGUAGGUUGCCAGAGAAUGUCAAACAUGAAAUUACAAAAGAAAAAAAUAAUCGUAUGUAUUGAACAUUAAUAAAUACAUGCUGAAAGCACAAUCUUAGCCGCAAUUUAUGACAUUUAUACAAGAUUAAAUCGCCAAAGAAAUUAAAGAAAUUGCAGAGCUCAUAUAAGUGAUGUUCACUAUGAACUUUUAGGCUUAUCAACAAAUACACCAUAACGAUUCUAAUGCAUGAAUUUUGUUAAAGGGGGCUUGCUUGCUUGUAUUAAGGCUUAAUCAUCAAUGAUUUUGCAAGGGUCAAUCGUAUUGCUAGUUGUAAAUCUAUUCACUAUGAAAAUUACCAAAAUUACAUCUAAUAUGGUAGUGAAGGAAGUCAUCUUACAUUAUCUGGAAUUUAGAAAACUGUGUAAGGUUAUAAUAUAUGGUUACAAGGACACAAUUAGACCUCAAUCAUAUUCGGUGGUUGGUUUUUGGCCGUGAUCUGCUUCACAUCACCGCCUGCAGGUAAACUAAAUCUGGGUUACUACAUAUCAAUGAAUCAACGUGCCAACUUAACGGACACCAUCUAUCUCUAUAUGGCAAAAAAAACAACACAAAAAGGAACAUGAAGUGAAACAAUAAACAACAUGACAUGAAACAGCACGAACAUCAAAGACCAACAAUCUAUCACGUAAGCACCUAAACAAGAAACAACUUUAGUUCAAAGCAAAGCGUAAUGUAGAAACCUUCGGCACAACAGGUGUGUUUUUGUCCUUUCGAGUUUCGGCAACAACCACUUUAAUAUCCUUUCCUGCAUUUACCAUGAUUGGUCACUCUUAAAACCUUAACUCCGCCGUGUAAGUUUAUCUUACAUUGCCGGUCCCAAGCCCGGAUAAAGGAGGAGGGGGAGGGCGUCAGGUAGUCGACAGCCGGCACUCCAUGAUUACGUCGAAUCCUUACGAAAAUGAAUCCAGAACGAAAUCGCGCUAAAGCUAGGGCGUCACCCGUAAGUGGCGCGCUGUGUGGCCCGAGCACAGUGAUAAGUGAGCAAGGGUCGCUAUAUCUCCAUCGGCACCCGGAUGCAGUGUUAAAUGAGCAAGGGGGCUAUAGAAACUUCUUUUCGAACGACUCCACUCAAAGUUGUUUGGGAGCAUAUGCUCCUAUCAACUUUACACGGGACACACAAAAGAAGUACUUUGAUCCUAUUAGACGGGGAAGGGUGAAGAAGCUAGGACAGAAGGGUAGAGUUCAAGAGAGCAAAAUGCGUUUAGGAACGUGGAAUAUAGGAACCUUGACGGGAAAAUCUAUGGAAGUAGUAGCAGUUAUGGUGAGGAGAAGGAUAAAUAUUAUGUGCCUACAAGAAACUAAGUGGGUUGGGCGUAAGGCAAAGGAUCUAGAAAACUCAGGGUUUAAACUAUGGUAUUCGGGCACAAAUAGAACGAGAAACGGUGUUGGCAUCAUCGUGGACAAGACCUUGACACAAGAUGUUGUAGAUGUUAAGAGGGUAGGAGAUAGAAUCAUGUCAAUCAAGAUUGUAAUAGGACAAGAACUUAUCAAUGUGAUUAGUGCGUACGCACCUCAAGUAGGGUUGGAUACGAGUUCGAAGGAGAAAUUUUGGGAAGACCUUGGAGACUUGGUGCAAGGAAUUGCUCAGACGGAGAAGUUAUUUAUAGGAGGAGAUUUAAAUGGACACGUGGGCAGGGAGACAGACAACUAUGGAGGUUUUUAUGGUGGCCAUGGUUUUGGGGAGAGAAAUGAGGAUGGGGAAGCUAUCUUGAAUUUUGCAAUGGCAUAUGAUCUCUUCUUAGCCAACACCUUCUUUAAGAAGAGAGAAGAACAUGUGAUCACCUACAAGAGUGGGUCGUCAAAAACACAAAUAGAUUUUCUCCUAAUGAGGAAAGGGGAUCGUAUAACUUGUAAGGAUUGCAAAGUUAUACCAGGAGAGAGCGUGGCUAAUCAACAUCGCUUGUUGGUGAUGGAUGUAAAUAUCAAAAGAGUGAGAAAAAAGAACAAGACUUGGAAGUGCCCAAGGACUAGAUGGUGGAAUCUAAAAGAAGAAAAACAAGCCAUUUUCAAAGAGAAAGUAAUCACCCAGUGUGUGUGGGAUAGAGAGGGGGAAGCUAACCAAAUGUGGGAUUCCAUGGCUAGUUGUAUCCGAAAAGUAGCAAAAGAGGUAUUAGGAGAGUCCAAGGGCUUUGCCCCACACCAAAAGGAAUCUUGGUGGUGGAAUGAGGAGGUACAAACAAAGGUGAAGGCUAAGAAGGAAUGUUGUAAAGCCUUAUACAAGGAUAGGACCGAUGAAAAUGGUGAAAGGUAUAGAAAAGCGAAGCAAGAGGCGAAGAAAGCUGUGAGAGAAGCUAAGUUAGCGGCUUAUGACGAUAUGUAUAAGCGACUAGAUACCAAAGAAGGAGAGUUGGAUAUCUAUAAACUAGCUAGAGCAAGGGAAAAGAAAGACAAGGGACCUAAACCAAGUGAGGUGCAUCAAGGAUGAGGAUGGAAAGGUUCUUGCUACAGAGAACGCGGUUAAAGACAGAUGGAAAGGUUAUUUUCAUAAUCUUUUCAAUGAAGGACAUGAAAGGAGUGCUUCUUUAGGGGAGUUGAGUAACUCAGAAGAGUGUAGAAACUACUCUUUUUUAUCGUAGAAUUCGGAAGGAAGAAGUGGUUGUAGCUUUGAAGAAGAUGAAGCAUAGAAAAGCAGUAGACCUAGACGAUAUACCAAUUGAAGUGUGGAAAGUUUUGGGAGAGACAGGUAUAACAUGGCUCACUGACCUUUUCAAUAGGAUUUUGAAAACGAAGAAGAUGCCAAAUGAGUGGCGAACGAGCACUUUGGUGCCUAUCUACAAGAAUAAGGGUGAUGUACAAAAUUGCAUGAACUAUAGGGGUAUUAAGCUAAUGAGUCAUACAAUGAAGCUCUGGGAGAGAGUCAUUGAGCAUAGAUUGAGGCAAGAGACACGGGUUUCGGACAACCAAUUCGGGUUCAUGCCAGGGCGCUCAACCAUGGAGGCAAUCUAUCUCUUACGAAGAUUGAUGGAAAGAUAUAGAGAUGGGAAAAAGGAUUUACACAUGGUCUUUAUAGAUUUGGAAAAAGCGUAUGAUAGGGUCCCAAGAGACAUUCUUUGGAGGAUUUUAGAGAAGAAAGGAGUACGAGUAGCAUAUAUCCAAGCUAUACAGGAUAUGUAUGAAGGAGCAAAGACUGCCGUAAGAACUCAUGAAGGACAAACCGAAAGCUUUCCCAUAACUGUAGGAUUACAUCAAGGCUCAUCCUUAAGUCCUUACCUUUUUGCGUUGGUAAUGGAUGAGUUAACAGGACAUAUUCAAGAUGAUAUUCCUUGGUGUAUGCUUUUCGCAGACGAUAUAGUGUUGAUAGAUGAAACUCAGGAAGGGGUAAAUGCAAAGCUUAACCUUUGGAGAGAAGUGUUGGAAUCUAAAGGUCUUCGCCUAAGCCGAUCAAAGACAGAAUAUAUGGAGUGCAAGUUCAGUGCAAAUGGAGGCCAAAACGAGUUAGGGGUGAGGAUCGGAGAUCAAGAAAUACCAAAGAGCGACCGUUUUCGUUACCUAGGAUCUAUCUUGCAAAAGAACGGAGAAUUAGAUGGAGAUCUCAACCAUAGAAUACAAGCUGGAUGGAUGAAGUGGAAGAGAGUGCAUCCGGCGUAUUGUGUGACCGCCGUAUGCCACUGAAGCUCAAGGGAAAAUUUUAUAGGAACGGCAAUAAGGCCGGCGAUGCUGUAUGGCACAGAAUGUUGGGCGGUGAAGCAUCAACACGUACACAAAAUGGGUGUAGCGGAGAUGAGGAUGCUUCGUUGGAUGUGUGGGCACACGAAGAAAGGAUAAGAUUAUGGAAUGAGGAUAUCCGGGGUAAAGUAGGAGUAGCCGAAAUUGAAGGAAAGAUGAGAGAAAAUCGGUUACGGUGGUUUGGACAUGUGCAAAGAAGGCCUACUGACGCUCCGAUUAGAAGAUGCGACUAUGGGACAGAGGUUCAGGGCCGAAGGGGUAGAGGAAGACCUAGGAAAACUUUGGAAGAGACCCUAAGAAAAGACUUAGAGUACUUGGAUCUAACGGAGGACAUGACACAGGACAGAACACAAUGGCGUUCUAAGAUUCAUAUAGCCGAUCCCACUCAGUGACUUGGAUUUUCCAAGUCUCCAACCGAGAAGUUUUCCUCACUCGGGAAAUUAAGGGAACACUACCUCAACCUACAUGCUCCACUCACAAAGCUUCAACAAAAGAAAAAUUCAAAGAACUUAGCGAAGAAGGCUUUUGGUGUAUUUAACACAAUACGUUGAAAUGAAGGAAAGCUUAUUUAUUGAUAUCCCCGAUAAGUUACAAAUAUGUACAUAUACUUGAGUCAAAAUAAACAAACAAGAGGGAGCCUUCACAAAGGUUGCUUAGGAGAAGUCUCAGCAGUCGGUAGAGCCCCAGAAAGAGAAGGCACCGGAGGGGGAUCAUUCGGAGCCUCAGUACUGGACAGAACCCUAGAAGGAGGAGGCAUCAGAGGUUGAUCAUUUGGAGCUUCAUUACGCGGUACAGCCCCAGAAGACGAAGGCAAUAAAUGCCUUUGGAACAAACCCACAAAUCUCUGAUGAUCAAGUAAAACCUGACCAUCAGAUUCCUUCAUCUGGUCAAGCUUCCUCUUCAUGUUUGUAGCAUAGUCAUGUGCGAGCCGGUGCAACUGUUUAUUCUCAUGCUUGAGCCCUCUAAUCUCCUGUUUGAGACUCAUCACUUCAGCCGCCAAUGAUUCAACUUGGCGGGUUCGAGCAAAUAGGCGUUGGGCCAUAUUAGACACAGAACCUGCACACUGAACACUGAAGAGCCAGAGAAUCCUUAACAGCCAACUCAUCAGACCGUUUGGAAAGUAGUCUGUUAUCUUUGGGAGUGAGAAGGUUCCUAGGCCACUACCGCAGCGGUCAUAUCAUUCUUCAUCACGGAAUCCCCAACGGUAAGAGGACCAGUAGGGGAGACGAAGGAUGGGCGCCAUAUGUUGUCUGAAGAAGGCGGGGCUGCCUCUUCAACAAGGUUCAAGUCAAAACGACGGUCGGAGGGGCCAGACAUUUUCAAAGGUGUUGAAGAGAGAAGAGGUCGGACAAAUCAAGAUCUUAGAAGUGCAAGAAUGGAGCUUCUACUGGUGGAUAUUCAAGUGUGCUUUGGAACUUAAUGUCAGCCCCUAUAAAAAAUCUGCACUCGACGAAGCUUCAGAAAUCGAAGAGGCGCCUGCUCAGAAAUCGAAGAGGCGUUUGCUUUCUCAAAAGCUGGGCUGCUCAGAGACCACGAGGGUUUGAUCUCAGAAAUCGAAGAGGCGUUUGCUUUCUCAAAAGCUGGGCUGCUCAAAGACCACGAAGGCCGAUCUCAGAAAUCGAAGAGGCUUGCUUUCUCAAAAGCUGGGCUGCUCAGAGACCACGAGGGCCGAUCUUAGAAAUCGAAGAGGCACCUACUUUUCCAGCCUUGUCAGCACCUGUCACACGCACACUCAGCUUUGCGGAAAUUAUGGGCAUUCUGUCGAAGAUUUCUGGUGAAGUAGAAAGCACAUGAAUCGUACUGUUCAAUCACCCACUUCCCACACGCAACAGUAGCUCAUGGGUACCACAGAUAACUUUGCCAAAGUUCUCUGACAAAGUUGAGACACGUGAAGCUUGCAGCUCCCACUACAUCGCUCUGACCAAGAAGGGUAAAAGAAUAGCAAAGAAACAACACUAACAAAGUUUAGACACAUAAAUUUUGAAGGUCUAGCUACCAUAUUAUUACCCACAAGGGUAAAGGAACAGUACCACUGCUGGAUAAUUGGAAAGUCCCGGUGUGUCAACCUCUGUGCUUCGUGGCAAGGUAGACUAGCAAACAUGCCCAACCUUUACUCACAUUCGAGAAAACACUCCCAACAAGAUUGCUUGCUCCAAAAUCGAAGAGGCACCCGCUCCUCCGAAUCUCGAGAGCCAGACUCCCAACAUGAUUACUUUCUCAAAAAUCGAAGAGACAUCCGCUCUCCGAAUCUCGAGAGCCAGACCUCCAGCAGGAUUGCUUUCUCAAAAAUCGAAAAGGCAUCGUUCUCCGAAUCUCAAGAGCUGGAUCCCUGACAGGAUUGCUUGUUCGAAAACCAAAGAGGCACCACUUUCCCAACUUCAAGAGCUGGAUCUCCUUGGAUAAAGCUUGUCUGUAAUCUUCACACACGCAACAUCAGCUUUUCCAGAUACCACAGACCCACUUUUUCAAAGUGCUCUGACAGAGUUAAAACUUGUGAAGCUGGCAGCUCCCACUACCGUGCUAUGACCAAGCAGGGUAAAGGAAUAGCAUUAUUACUUGAUGUUAGGGAGACUCCUAUAUAUGUCGACCUCCAUCCCCAACGGACAGGCAGACCUGCAAAAAUGCUCAACCCUUCCUCUUAUCUGAGAGGGCACUCCCAACGAAGCCUUUCGAAAUAUUCAGCUUUCUUUCCCCCCGAUAAUACCUCUGUAAACAAGCUAUACUAGAGCAAGAAUAUCUCAUAUCAUCAGGGUUAAAAGCAAGAGUAUCCCAUAUCAUGCUUUUUUCCCGUCUUUUCCUUUGGCCUUGUUCUUACCUGCAAGACAAGGAGAAAGAGAGCAAUCAGUCAGCACUUGGAAUCAAGCUUCCAGCCAGGAACUGACUGCCUGGAACCCCUUACCUGAUUACUUACCUGGCAUUGCUCUCGAGUACUCAUCUUCAACAUCUUAUGCUUCCAGGGAAGAUACCGCAAUCGCCUGAAGAACAGAUAGGGCAAGUGAGAAGGAUACAAGGAAGCAUGUGGAGACAAGCGUAACAGCACACGUGCCGAUACAUCCACUACUCUGUCAAAAGCAAAAGUAUCUCAUAUCAGCAGGGUCGAACGUACUCUAGAUUUGAUGGACUUGUUUUGACCCUCAAAUUCUUCAGUCGGCCUUAUACUCUGGAGGAAACCAGAAAACCCUCCAGCCCAGUUCAAGAAUAAGCCUGUGGAAAGUUACUUCUUCAAAAGCAAAAAGUAUCCCAUAUCAUCUCUUCUCAUUUUUCUUCUCUUUAUCCUUCAUGCUGCAUGCAAGAUAGGGAGAAUGUGAACAAUCAGCCGGAGCUCUGAUUGCUUACCUUGUCUGUCAUCUCUUUCAGCAGAUCCCCUAGCUCGGCGACUUAGGGGACUCCUACUACAUGGUUUGUAUCGCGCUUGACCAAGCCUGAAACUACAAGUAAGCUUCAAGUGACAAUUGAUACAUUACCUUGUGCAUCUCCACCAGUUACAGAUACCACCCCUGGAUGGAGGAAGAGUACUUCCAGAGAAGAUGCCACAUCUACCUAUGAGACAGAUAAGGAAAGUCAAGACGAUACCACACUCCGGUACUUAGAAGUUUCGUGGUUACGAGAUCAUUCUCCCACAAUAUUUCCUAAUGUCAUUUGUACUAAAUCAUUCACUUGUACUCACUAAAGGAGAGCUUGAACCUAUGUACUUGUGUAAACCCUUCACAAUUAAUGAGAACUCCUCUAUUCCGUGGACGUAGCCAAUCUGGGUGAACCACGUACAUCUUGUGUUUGCUUUCCUAUCUCUAUCCAUUUAUAUACUUAUCCACACUAAUGACCGGAGCAAUCUAGCGAAGAUCACAAAAAGUGACCGUUUUCGCUACCUAGGAUCUAUCCUUGCAAGAGAACGGAGAAUUAGAUGGAGAUCUCAACCAUAGAAUACAAGCUGGAUGGAUGAAGUGUAAGAGUGCAUCCGGCGUGUUGUGUGACCGUCGUAGGCCACUGAAGCUCAAGGGAAAAUUUUAUUUUAUAGGACGGCAAUAAGGCCAGCGAUGUUGUAUGGCACAGAAUGUUGGGCGGUGAAGCAUCAACACGUACACAAAAUGGGUGUAGCGGAGAUAAGGAUGCUUCGUGGGAUGUAUGGGCACACGAGAAAGGAUAAGAUUGGGAAUGAGGAUAUCCGAGGUAAAGUAGGAGUAGCCAAAAUUGAAGGAAAUAUGAGAGAAAAUCGGUUCCAGUGGUUUGGACAUGUGCAAAGAAGGCCUACUGACGCUCCGGUUCGAAAAUGUGACUACGGGACAGAGGUUCAGGGCCGAAGGGGUAGAGGAAGACCUAGGAAAACUUUGGAAGAGACCCUAAGAAAAGACUUGAGUACUUGGAUCUAACGGAGGACAUGACACAAAACCGAGCGCAAUGGCGUUCUAGGAUUCAUAUAGCCGACCCCACUUAGUGGGAAAAGGCUUUGUUGUUGUUGUUGUUGUUGUGGUCACUCUUAAAACCUUACCUAAGAGACCCAAAAACAAAAAUAACCGCCGAAAGAGCUAAACAUACAUAUAUAGAAAAACUUAAUUAACUGCAUGCUAAAAUGGAAGUGUAAAAUUGCCAAGAAAGAUAAGAAACUAUUUAAAUACGAAUUCUGGGCAUUACCGCCACAAAAGGCAUGAGCCGAACAGCUAUCAACAAGAACACACUUCCCAUUCAUCCAGAUAGCCCUUGUAUUUCACAUCCAUAUCUGCAUUUUCCAACAAUUCCCACUUAAACAGAAACACAAAAUUCAUCGAAAAAAUGCUAACUUCUUCGAAAUUUGAAUCCAACGUUUCGUCUUAUAACAAAUGCAAUAACAUAGAUUUGUAAUCAAUUCGAUGCCAUAAAGUUCAAGCUCAAAAUUUCAAAUCAGCUCCAAAUCAAAAGCAUUUACAGAUACAUACAUAUAUACAUAUGCGUGUGUGUGUUUAUCUACAUACCCAGGUUCAUGGCGUUGAGAGCUCGGCAGGCGACGGAGGGUGAUGACGGCGACGCCAAUUGGGUGGACGCUGCCCUUCGAAUUGGGUCGCUCCUCGCAAUAAGCUUCCCAUUACUUCCGUUUGAGAGUGACUGUCAGUGUAGAGAGAGGGAUUUUUUUUUUGUGCUUCUGGACCGGACUACACUUGAUGUUUCGGUUAUAUUACCGGGAAAAAGAACUGCCGCGGUGGCUACGCAGGGAAACUUGAAAUUUGAAAGAAGUAUGAAGUAUGGACUUGCCUUCAUUUAUUGAACUGAGAAAUCGAAAUCUGAAAGAGGCGUUUGACGAAGUGAUUGUGAUCUGACUCAAACAUGUGAUGAUGACGAUGCAUCACCACCUUGGUUGUGCCUCUGGAUCAAAAACAUACCAUCACCAUCAAAAUCGUGCAUAUUUUCCUUCAUAGGUUUGUCCCAUACUAGAUUAACCCCUAUUCCCUUAAUUAUUGCAUAAUAAGAAUUAUAGCAUGUCUCUGGCAUUCCAACGGCUAUAUCAACUUUAUCCCCGCUUUGCAAAUUGAACUUAUCGUUGGACAUUUGUCCCUGCCAAAGAAAACAUUUUUCAGGUAAACCAUCGUGCAUUUUUAUAACCCAAUCUUCCUUGCCUAUGCAGGUUUGCAACUCAGUACGCUUGGUAUUAUUUAUAUCAAUACUGCCACGAGGAUGACAAUAUUUAAAGCUCAUAGAAGGGCUUGAGGGACAAGUUAAGUGAUAAAAGCAUAACAGAGUCAACCCUUCAAAAUUACGACCAUCACUUGGGGGGUAUCAAAACUGACUUUAUCACCAUCGUUGACAAACUCGAACCAAUCAGGAACAUAAUUCGCAUCGAGAAAAAUGCCAGCAUAUCCGUAAGAAGUCCAUCCCUAUAUAUACAGUGCAAGUGUCAUAUACAUACAUACAUACAUACAUACAUACAUAUAUGUAAAUGUGCAUUGUGUGUGCAUGUGCGCAAUAGGAAGACAAUUAAAGAGAGAGAUACCUUUAGGACCUUCCUCCUAAAAUCAGCUGUGAGAUUGGUGCACUUUUGCAUUACAAUCCAUUUCAUGGAGUUUAAUGACUUAUCCAAGUCCGGAAUCUCUGUGAGUGCGUGUGAACCAGUUACAUUCAGUUCUCUCAUAUUUGACAUUUUCGAAAAAUUGGGCAUUUUUACCAAACAACAGCAACCAUAAGCAUCCAGAAAUUUCAAAUUUGUUGGUAAAUCAUAGAUUGUAUGAAGCUGGGAACAAUAACUUAACCACAUACCUUCAAGCUUUGAAAGACCAUUGAGGCUGGGUAGGGUGUGUAAGAUACUGCAGUGACUUAACUCCAGAGUUUUAAGAUUUGAAAGACCAUUGAGGCUGGGUAGGGUGUGUAAGUUACUGCUGUGACUUAAUUCCAGAGUUUCAAGAUUUGAAAGACCAUUGAGGCAGGGAAGGGUGUGUAAGUUACCACAGUGAUUUAACCACAUAGUUUUAAGAUUUGAAAGACCAUUGAGGCUGGGUAGGGUGUGUAAGUUACUGCAGUGACUUAACCACAGAGUUUUAAGAUUUGAAAGAUCAUUGAGGCUGGGUAGGAUGUGUAAGUUACUGCAGUGACUUAACCCUAGAGUUUUAAGAUUUGAAAGACCAUUGAGGCUGGGUAGGAUGUGUAAGUUACUGCAGUGACUUAACUCCAGGGUUUUAAGAUUUGAAAGACCAUUGAGGCUAGGUAGGGUGUGUAAGUUACUGCAGUGACUUAACCAUAGAGUUUUAAGAUUUGAAAGACAAUUAAGGCUGGGUAGGGUGUGUAAGUUACUGCAUUGACUUAACCCCAGAGUUUUAAGAUUUGAAAGACCAUUGAGGCUGGGUAGGGUGUGUAAGUUACUGCAGUGACUUAACUCCAUACCUUCAAGCUUUGAAAGACCAUUGAGGCUGGGUAGGGUGUGUAAGUUACUGCAGUGACUUAACUCCAGAGUUUCAAGAUUUGAAAGACCAUUAAGGCUGGGUAGGGUGUGUAAGUUACUGCAGUGACUUAACUCCAGGGUUUUAAGCUUUGAAAGACCAUUGAGGCUGGGUAAGGUGUGUAAGUUACUGCAGUGACUUAACCACAGAGUUUUAAGAUUUGAAAGACCAUUGAGGCUGGGUAGGGUGUGUAAGUUACUGCAUUGACUUAACCCCAGAAUUUUAAGAUUUGAAAGACCAUUGAGGCUGGGUAGGAUGUGUAAGUUACUGCAGUGACUUAACUCCAAAGUUUUAAGCUUUGAAAGACCAUUGAGGCUGGGUAGGGUGUGUAAGUUACUGCAGUGACUUAACUCCAGAGUUUUAAGCUUUGAAAGACCAUUGAGGCUGGGUAGGGAGUGUAAGUUACUGCAGCGACUUAACCCCAGAGUUUUAAGCUUUGAAAGACCAUUGAGGCUGGGUAGGGUGUGUAAGUUACUGCAAUGACUUAACCCCAGAGUUUUAAGAUUUGAAAGACCAUUGAGGCUGGGUAAGGUGUAUAAGUUACUGCAGUGAUUUAACUCCAGAGUUUUAAGUUGUGAAAGACCACUCAGGCCGGGUAGGGUAUGAAGGUUACAGCAGUUACUUAACUGCAAAUUUUCAAGUUUUGAAAGACCACAUAGGCUGGGUAGGGUAUGAAAAUAAUGUUUUGAGAGAUCUAAAUUUCCGUCUAACGAAUUGGGAAACUGCAAAGUAAACUUCGAUUCCACAGACGCUAGAGAUAAAUGAGUGAGAUUCUUCAAUCUUACUAUGGAACAGGGUACUUGUCUUAUGGCUGUGGAAGAUGCUAUAAGUACUCUCAAUGAUGUCAUCUUCCCUAAAUCCUCGGGCAGUUCACUGAAUUGCUGACAUCCAUUAAGAACAAGAGUCUGAACGGAUUUGGACUUGUAGAAAUCCCCAGGAAGAGAAAUAAGAUUCUGGCAGCCUGUGAGGUUCACCAAAGAAAGUUUUUUAAGAUGACAAAUGGAGGGGUGAAUCUCGGACAAACUGUUACACCAUUCCAAUAUCAACUCUUCAAGAUUUAGGAGAUUUGAAAAGUCUGGUGAUUUUUUUAAGUCAAGGCAAUAACUGAGAUUAAGGAUUUUCAAGUUUCCAAGCGACUGUUGCACAAAAUCAAAGGAAAAUUAAAAUUAAUAUCCAAAAACAAAUGGAAACAUAACAUCAUCAUGUGUAAUCGAUUGUACCUUGGAGCCCUCCCAAACUUGUACAAGUCUGCUAUACGCUAUCUCUAAAAUAACCAGUGCUCUUGGUUGAUCAAAGAAGUGAUCUGGUAUGGACUUUAAAGGGCAUCCAAACCAACGCAACCAUAUUAACUCUUUGGAAAGAUGUUUGUAUUCUCCAUUGAGCUGCACGUUGUAGAGCUGCAGCAGUCUCAGUUUCUUCAUAUUGGCAAAUGCUUCUGUACUGAAGCUUCGAAGCCUUUGCAGCCAAUGAUCUCCAGAAAAAUUAAGAGCAAGUCCUUUAACUUCUUCAGUUCCCUGUUAACAAAAGGUUAUAUUCAUGUGUAAGAAACGGAAUAUUUGCAUAUGUUUACAUGUAUGAAUACAUGCAAGUACUAUUGUUGGCUAAUUGAGAUGAUGUUACUUAAUGUAUAAUACACAUCCGUGAGUUAUAUGUGCUUUUCAUGUACGAUGCAUCAAUUCAGAAUUUUAUUGGGACUAUACUUACAAAUUUAUCUCUCAAUACAUCAAUGACCUCUUGCUGGUUCCACAACCUACUCCAUUCUCCAGGGUGACGAGGGGAUUUUUCAGAAAUGAUUAAUUUGGCCAUUUCUUGAAGCAAAUCAUGCAUAUUCAACUUCUUGUGUUCAAUAGUGAUAAGGCAUCGUUCACAGAGGACAUUGAUUCCUAUUGUUGCAAAAAACUUACAUCCAUCUAAUAUUUUUGCGACAUAGUCCUUAUCCCAUCCAAUAAAGAAACAAGAUAUGUCAAGGAAUAUAUCCUUUUGUGUAGGAUCUAGCCUUUCAAAGCUUACUCUUAGUGGUUUCAUUAUUCCUUCAUCAGGAAAUUUUUUCAAUUUCUCCAACUGACUUUUCUACUCUGUUGGUGUUCUUUCAAUCAUAAAAGAAGAACCUAAAACUGCAAGGGCUAGUGGCAAACCACCACAGUAAGAAACAACCUCUUUUGAGAGUUCAAGAUAUCCUUCAUUAGGCCAACUCUUUCCAAAGGCAUGCCAACUAAAGAGCUUCAGAGCUUCUUCUUCAUUCAUUUCCUUAAGUGAAUAUGUCUUGUCCACUUUCAUGUUCACUUGCUUUAGAAAACGUUCAUCUCGUGUCGUUAUGAUAAUUCUACUUCCUGGGCCAAACCAAUCACGAUUUCCAGCUAUUGCAUCUAGUUGUUCCACUUUGUCUACAUUGUCAAUAAUGACAAGCACGCUUCUACGUUGGAGAUGAUUUUUUAUCAGACUGAUACCUCUAUCAACACUGGUUAUCUUAGACUCGGUAUGUUUCAAGAUGUCAGAAACAAGUCUUCCUUGCAAAUCAACCAGAUCACAUUCACUAACGUUGGCAAGGAAACUUUUGAAUUGGAACUUAUGAUGAAGUUGGUUAUAAAUGGCUUUGGCAGCUGUUGUUUUACCCAAUCCACCAAUCCCCCAAAUUCCAACCAUGCGAACAACAUAUGAUCCACCAUUUGAAAGAUAAGUGAUGAUAUCUUGAAUGCGAGUAUAUAUUCCAACUGGGUGCUUGGCCAAAUGUAAAUUUUCUGCGCUCGGAAGCCAUUUUGGGAUAAUCUUGUCAACAAUUUCUCUAAUAAGCUUUGCUUCGCGCCUGAAAAAUUGAAUUGGUAAGCUUAGUAAGUAGGCUCAGUAGGAGCUAUUAGUACUAAUAUAAACAAUUUUCUUUCCUUCUUUCCUUCGUGUGUGUGUGUGUGUGUGUACAUAUAUGUACACAAACUAGCUACUAGCUAGUACGUGAUUUUGUGACCAACUUCAAUAAAAGAAACAAGUUCAUUCAUUGAUAUAUUAAAGUUUGGUGCAUCAAUUAAACUCCAAUUAUGGUUUAGAUUUUAGAGGAAAUUAGAGAAAUGGUCCUUGAACUAUGAUCAAAUUGUGGCCUUGGUUCUUAAAACUAAAAAUUCAAUAAAUCUCCUCCCUGAACUUAACAAAAUAUGAAGCAUUGGUCCCUAAAUGUUAACACCGUAUGAUUUUCUGUUAAUUUGAUUAUGUCGUCUUUGUGGGCUCCAUAUUAUUGUUUACUAGAUGGCACGUGGCUUGAAAAGUCAAAAUAAAAGAAAAUAAAUACAAACAUAGAGAAAGAAAGAGAGAGAAAAAAAAACUUUAAAUUAUAAAAGUUAACUCUCUCUCCCAUCCUCCCUUCCGCCUCACCUCCUCCAAACCCCAACCACACCAUUGUAGCACUUUCCCAACAGCCAAAACAAAAGAAAGUUUCUAAUCCAAUUUUGGAACACGUCUCCGUUUGCAAACGAAUUCACAAUGACAUCCAUUCACGCUGUCUCGACAGGUAAGAUUCAAGAAAUUUGUGGGAUGCGGGUUCGGGGUUCGGGUGAAGGCUGUGGUCCGUGGGCUACAGUUUGGAGUCGGCUGGAGAGUGGGAUUAGGGAUUGGGGGUUGGAAGUGGGAGGUUGACGGGGUGUGAAUCAAAGAUUGAAGGUGAAGGGGUGGCUGCGAGUGUUGGUGGGAUGAGGUAGGUGAAACUAACAUGUAAAGUUGUAAACCCUUUUAACUAAAAUUUAAAGGAAUUGGUUACGAAGGACUAACGCUCCAUAUUUUAUCAAGUUCAAGGGCAAAAUGUAAUGAAUUUUUAGUUUAGGAACCACAGCUACAAUUUUCCUCUAGAUUUUAUAUGAGAGAUUAAGGCGUAUUAAUUAAGCAUGAUAAUUAGAGUAAUACAACUUAAAUACUGAAAGCACAUGAAUGAUUACCUAUUAUCAGUGAUUUGAAGAUGGUAGCCAGACAAAUUUGCAGCUUUUGUAAGAACCUCUCCCCACUGCUUUACCUCUUCUUGUUUAGCUUCACGUUUCUUGUCAUCCUUUUCUUCACCGACGCCUUCUUCGUGCUUUUGAAAUUCUUCGGCUGACUUUGCAGCUUCUGUAAGAGCCUUUAUCCACUGCUCUACCCUUUCUCGUUUUUCUUCACGUUUCUUGUCAUCUUUUUCUUCACUGAUGUCAUUUUUGUGCUUCUGAAAUGCUUGGGCUAAAACUCCGUUCUGCUUCCUGACAUGUGAAGGAUCAAUGUGAUAGAAUAUUGGCAAAACAUGUCGCCCCAGUUUGUCUCUGCACUCCAUGAUCUUCACCAGCUCGUUAAGACACCAACUCGAAUCCGCAUACCUCUCUGAGAAGACAAUGAUAGAGGUCUUCGAUUCUUCGAUUGCCUGGAGCAGUUCUUUUGGUAUUUCUUCCCCUCUUUUGAGAUCGUCCUCAUCAAUAUAAGCCUGGUAUCCCCUGUCUGUUAAUGCCGCGUGGAGGUGGCCCGUGAAGCCAUUGCGUGUGUCUACACCGCUAAAGCUCAAGAACACGUCGUAAUUCCAAAGUUUUGACUUGGAGGAGGAUGAAGAGGAGGCUUCGUGGGUUGUCAUGGCGGUAUCCACCGUUAUGGCACUGCAGUGGUUCAGAUCACGACUGAAGAAUGGUAGUAGUUGUGUUCGUGCAUUCAAACGGAUGAUCCUGAAAUACCUAAACGCAAGUCAAGCUCCUUCAGUCAACAAGAACAAAGUUUAUAAUAUAAUAAUUUUGGCGUAUGGACUUGAGAAACGACAUAGUGUUGGCCGGAAGGUGCAGAAAAAGAGAGAGGAAAAAAGAAAAGAAAGGAACGAAAGGACAAAGACCAUCCAAAAGAUUCUUGGCUGUGAUUACAGCUAUUCAUAGGAGAAACAACGGACAUAUUUUCAUAGGAGAAACAACCUUCCCAUCUUCAUAUAUAAUGCAUUUCAACGGACAUAUUUUAAUAGGAGAAACAACUUUAGUUUGUACUAGAAAUUUUUACCCGCACGUUGAUGCGGCAUUUGAAAUUGUAUGAAAGAUUAUCUUUGAAAUAUAUAAUAGAUUGUGUGAUUGAAGAUUAAUACUAUUUACAUUGAAAACGUUGGAAAAAGUUUUACAUAUAAAAGAUUUUAUGAUACAAUCCACGUAUAAAAGAUGGUAAAUUUUGUUCUAUCUACAUGCAUUAUGUUAUGGAAUGAUAUAUAUAUAUAUAUAACUAAGUUCCAGAAUAUGUAAACUUCAUAACUUGGAAAUUUUUUGACAAAUUAAUCAGAUUCAACUGUGGGUUAGCAAGGUCGCCUAUAAAGUUUGAAGUCGUAGAAGCAUAAAGGACAAAUAACAAAUGAGUUUUGAGAAAUUAUUCCACAAAUGUCAUUCUGCAAAAUGUAUUAAAGACGAUUGGUAUAAGAUUAGCAAUCAUGAGUAGUGUAACAACAUCAACAAAAUAACCAUAAACCAUAACAUAAUUCAAAUUUUGUUUGCAAAAACAAAAGAAAAAGAAAAGAGACUUACAAUAAUUCAACCUUCAAUCUUGAAGUCCAGCUCAAAGAGCCAAACCUAAAUGCAAGCUUUCUGAAAUUUCCCAAACAAUACAGAUAAAACGGUAACACCCUAGUCAGAAAUGAACCAAGGUGCGAGCUUUCUAAGAAACCCAGAUGACAAAAUCAACAAAAUAGAAUGGAAAAAUGACUUACACUUUGAAGGCAUGCUCGAACCUUGAUCUAAAAUUGGUGGUGGGUCGAUUGUUGGUCACCAACUCUAAAUGAAGAAUUCAUCAGAACCUAGAAAUUUAAAACAAAGAAUUUUCCAAAAUCAACAUUUACUAAAAACCAGUUGCUUGGUUAUCAUGCAUGAUGGCUUGACAAAGACUGAAUUAAGGAAUGCAAACUUUACUUUCAUGAUUAUUUUUAAUGACAGCUAAAAGGUCAGAUCCAAAUGAAAAUAAAAGUUAGGACUUCACAAAACCAAUUAAAAAUCUAAUUCUAAAGUUAUAAGCACCCACAAAAUGAUUCCAGAUAAAGUUUUACACUCAAGGUCAAACCCAAAUGAAAUUAAAAGUUAGGACUUCACAAAACCAAUUGAAAAUCUGAUUCCAAAGUUCCAAACACCCACCAAAUGAUUCCAGAUAAAGUUUAAACUCAAAAACCCAAUAGAAACAAAAGCACUGGUAUAAAUUAACUGUAUCUAAUUGAAGAAACUAAAACAAAAGUAAAGCAAAGUAUAUACCUCAAAAUGUCAAGCAACUAAGUUCUUCCUCCGACGACCCAAAACUCUGAAAAUUCCACACAAAAAAAAAGGCAAAUCCAUUAGCAAUUCAUAGCUUUCAAAAUUAGCAAAAACUUGGGCAACAAUAAAGAUGUGUCUAGAACCAUCAAUCUUUCUCCUUAUGCAUUUGAAAAGAUAUGUUAUAAGCAGUUUAUGUAGUCAUUCUGAACAUGUUGCAUAUAAAUUCCUUUUCUACAGGGUUCAAAAAAAUAUGGCAGUUUAUGGAAUCUGUUGAAUGACAUAGUUGAAAGAUUUAAAAUUGAUACAUUCAAUUUUUAUGUGUAAAACUAUAACAUAUAGCUAAAGCUAUUGGGUCCAUAUCAGUCAUGUCGUAAUUGAAUGUUUAUCGAUGUAAAUAGAUGAUUUCAGUCAUGGGAUAACAUGUUUCUUGAUAGUAUACGCUGAAGUUUGGUCUAAGUUGGAUAUAAAUCGACCAAAAUCUUAAUAAGAGACUUUUUUAACUUUUAACCAAAAAAUGAGCACCACAAUACUACACUUAUAAGUUUUAUCAUGCACAAAAUACACAGCACUGAUUGCCACUUUUAGAGCAAGAACAAUACUUUACCAAAAGAAAACAACAAAACACCCAAAACCCAGAAACAUAAACACACUUAGGACUCAAACUCCUCAAAAACAUGAGAAAGAGAGAGAGUGUGUGAGGAGAAAGAAUAAAAAAAAAAAUUAUUUUUCACACAAACUCAAAAUUGCUUAUAAAAUUACAAAUGAAUGCAAAUCCAAAAUUGCCCUAAAUUAAAUCUGAUUAGUUAAAUGUUUGUUGCCCCAGAAAUUUCGUUACACCUCACAAAACUUGCUUUGAAGUUGAUAUUUUGGUCAAUCCAGGGGAAAAGGAGUUAUUGGUUUUGGAGCAGUUGUCAUGGAGAAUACCAUCUCCCUGUAGAAUGAUCUAAAAAAGGACUUACAGCUUAUGGUGGCCAUAAUAAUUUAGGAGGCCCUUCUCUCCAAAUUUUCUCAAUAACUUUCCUUUUCGUAGCUGGUAAGAUUGCAACUCCGAGAAUUGCUUUGAAGAGAUAUACACAAACAAAAUACCAAAACUAAGCUAUUGGAAGAAAUUUAGAAAACACAAGCACCAUUACAACUCAGAGUUAAAAGUCAACAGAAACCAAAUGGUACAAGUUGAAAAAAUAUAUGGUCAUGAAUCGAGAACUUCAUCAAACUAACAGCAAUAAAAUCUCAUAUAAUCCGUCAAAAACCAAAAAAGAGAUUCAAGACCUUGUAACGUCGAGGCCUCGUACAGUUGUAGUAAUAAUUUAUGGUUGAUGCACCUGUUGCUCAAUCAAAUCCUUCGUCUGGCUAAAAAAAUAAAAAUCUAUAAAUACAUUCACGUCCAAUUUAUGAGAAAUCAUGGGAAAGAAAAUGUGAAUAUGAAGAACUUAACAAAAAGAAAAAGAAAACUUCUUAUAGUGUGCUAAGAACAUCCUCCUACUCCUAGCAAAUUUUUUAUGGCAUUAUCCACUUCUCAAUUCAUAAUUCAACCAGUAACUCAAAGUCUAUAGUGUAUGAAAAAGUGAUAUCUUAGUUGAUCACGAUGAUAAUCAAAAAGGAAGAAACAACCAAACAAAAUUAUUAGGUCUGGGAUAUACCUUUAUCUGAAACACCACAAUCAUCAAAGUGAAACACAAACAAUCCAAAAAUUUGUGGAAAAUACCAAUAAAUGCUCAACUAAAAACGAAAGAAAAAGUAGAAUAAGUUUACCUGUUCCUCCCCUAAUUAAACUGCAAUACAAUUCACCACUGAUAUUCUCGUCAUCCUCUUCAGCCUGAAAAAUUUAGUAGAAAAUAAUGGUAAGAAUCUAGCAGUAUUUCCAUUGUUCAAAACCCAAAUUCCAGAAAUCAUGAAAAAUGGAAACUUUAUAUGGAAAUUGAACCCCCAAAAUCACAAAAAGGAAAAUUGAACAGAAAAUAAAUUUGCAAAUCCAAAAUCACAAAAACGAAAUUGAAACACCCACACUGAGAAAGCUGUAAAACUCACAAGGAAACGCUAGCUUUUCUGGGUAAAAAAAAUUGUUCGAAUCGAAUUGAAGAACCGAGGAAAAUUCUACAGGUUCAGUGGUUUUUCCAGCAAGAAAGCACCUUGUUUGUAAGUCGUGAGAGGUUGGAGAGCGAGAGAAGCCGAUUUGGGAACCAAAGAAAGCGAGGUUGGAGACCGAAAGAGGCUGCGAAUUGCGAGAGAGAAAAACGAAAAGGAAAGGAAAAGCGGAGAAGAAGUCACGAUUAUCGACGCGUGGGUAGGAUUCCACUGUGAGAGGAUUGCAUUCUUUUAAGAGUGUUUCCUUAUUACAAUUUUAUGCUACUAGAUCCAUCCUAUUGUUCCAUUUCUAAACUUUAUAUUAUAAUAUCACCCAUCGUAAAAAAUUAAAAUCCUAUUAAUCCACCCCAAUUAUUUCUAAAAUAACCUCAAAUAUCUAAAUCCAUUUUUAUUUCACCCCAAUUGCAUGAUCAGGCCUCGAUUUGAAGCUAGUUGACGUUGGCCCAAAUGCCAAAUUGUUUGAAUUUCCAAUAAACAUAUUAUAAUUAUAAAAGGAUGGUGAAGAUAUGAAUCAAAUUUGAAAGAGAGAACAUUACUUGGUGAAGGAGGUGAUAGGUGAUGUUGGUAUGGGUUAUGCAGUCACCAUUGGACAUGAGAGGCUUUCUCCUCAAAAUUCCUUCUACAUCUACAGCAUGCAAAUCGAAUGAUGAUAGGUUUAUCGAAGCCCUAAUACCAACUUUAUGACAAAUCUGAACGGACCAAUAAACAACCAUGGAACGAUCUUGAGACGCGACCACUGCGCGUGAGACUCAACCAGGAAUAACUAGACCAUCAGCCGCCGUCGUCAAUAUUGUAGAGGUAGAUGGUGGGUCCGAGAACUCGAUUUUCUUGGAGCAGUUUGAGAUUGACGAAGGGACCUGACGAGGGGUUGGGGUUGUUGGUGACCGAGAGUAUAUGGGUUUGACGAUGGUGGUGGUGGUGGUGGUGGUUUGCAAUCUCUCUCUUUCCUUUUCUUGGGGUUGGACAUUCGGGUGACAGCCGCCUUGGGAUCGGAUGUCAAUGGGGACGUGCUUGAGAGCCAUGAUGACGACGCGAGCGUGGGUGGGGAGAAUUUUCCAGGUCCUUUGAUGUAAUUUUACAAAAGGGUAAAAAUGGAAGUAAAAAAAUUAUAAACUAGUGGGGUGGGAAGAUAAGACAACGGGGUUGUUGUGGUCUAUUUUUAUCUGAUAAAGCAAUAGGGCCGGCGGCAGGGGGAGAGAGAAAAGAGAGAUGUGUGUUUGUAGAAUUGUAGGGGAAUGUGUGUUGUUAUCUCUCAUACAUUGUGCCUUUAUUUAUAGUAGUAAAAGGAGAGAAGAUAUUCCUUCUUCUCCAAGUAAUAUAAGUUGUAAUAGGAAAGAAUAACUAGAAUCAAAUCUAAUAUAGGAUUUACACAAUUUACAAGUUGUUAUCCCUCCUACAUUGUGCCUUCUUCUUCAUAAGAGUUUGAAAGAAGUAUGAAAUAUUGACUUGUUGAUGAUGAAGUUGAUAGUGAAAUGUAGUAACGGUUAAUUUAACAGAAUUUUUAACGGAUGUAUGAAAUUAAAAAAUAAUAUAAGUAAAUGUAUGAAAUUAAAAUGUUUUAAAGAAAUUGUAUGAAGUUGCAAUUGACCCCAAAUACGAGAGAUAAAACAUAAUUUACACAAAAAACAAAGAUCAGAUUUGUAAAAAUGCACCACAUAGUAGUUAAAACAUCCGGACGUAAAUGAAUGGUUUGAGAUACCAUCAUAGUAGCAUCUUUCAGUGUAAGUUUUUCUCAUAUCGGAUCACUUACCAGUAGAAAAGUGUAAUACCGUGUCGGGAAAGGAAGUCAAUGAUGAAAAGAGAGCAAUUUAGCUUUAAAAAUAAGGAAAACUAAUGAAAAGAGUUUGAAAACUUUGCGUUUAAUGAUAAGGACAAAAUAAAAGGAUAAAGUGAAUAGUACUAUGAUUGAUUUUUUAGUGUAAAAAUAUGGUUUUUCGUUAAAGUUUCCUUAAAAAUAUUGCGUCCUCCGUAUGAUGUUUGCAACAUGUGUCGCCAGAGUAUCAACUUGAAGCUCUCCACAUCUCCGUCGUCAAAUGUUUUGUAAGCAGCAUUGUUUAAGUUCUCUCUGUCAGGGAAACUGCAGAUGGGUUUGAUGAAGAAGAAUGGAAAAUAUAAUUUUUAGAAAAUGAGAAAGAAAAUUAUAAAACUUCAUUAAUGAAAUUUCUUUAUCAACAAAAAAAGAUGAAAAUAUAUCUUUGUCUUCUAUCACAACAAAAAAGUUAAGGACAGUAACGUAAUUUUACAAGAUAAAAUUUUACUUUUUUUUUAAAUCUCACAUAUAUGUAAGUUUAUCAUCUUUAAUUUAAAAAAUAUAAAAAAACCUCUCUUCCACGUUCUCUCUCACUCUCUUCCUCUCCUUCAAAUUUAACAACCAAAGUAAAAAAAUUCAUACGCUUUGUGUGUGGACAUAUACUAGUUGAAAUUUAAAAAAGGAGACUUAAAAAGAGAGAUUUAAUAUUUUCUAGGUUGUCUUGGGAGUUGGCAAUGACAGUAAGAGAGGAGAAUCUCGGGUUCCACUGGAAAGGAGGAAAUUUUUCAAAGCGAGAAGGUAGGGGUUUUUUCACUUGCUCUCUUGGUCUUUGGGCUUUUGGAUUGGAUUGGGACAAUUCCAAUUACCCCAUCCCAACUUACGACUUUUUAUCGGUCUAUAUUGGCUAAAGUGAACGUACUAAAAUAGAAAUUUGAGAACUUGAAUUAAGGUCUUGAAUUAGCGAAUGAAUGUCCAGUAAGAAUGUCAUGUAGUCGGACUUGUAAGGCUACCCUUAAUAAGUAGUCACGUUUGUCAAAACUGGUCUAUCUGAUUAUAAUUGUAACCAUAUUAUGUGUGACACAUGAUCAAACUUGAAGGGUUGUCCAAUAAGAAGUUGUCAUGUUGUCAAGCGUAGGGCCAAAGGUGAGCACUUUCCUACCAAAGUGUUUUCUUUUUCCCCUUUUCAAGGGAUUUGUGUCACCAUUAGAUAGGAGAUUCAAACACAAGACCUUGAAUUUAGAGGCAAACGCUUUAAAAAAGCUUCUCUGAUUCAUCUCCUCUGACUUUGACGGGUUCCACUUCGGAUUCUGCAUUGACAGGAAACCGAAGCCAAAGAUAAAGAUCCGUUCUGAUAUACAGAAAGUAAGAUGAUUAUCAACUGUAGGUCUAGUAGAGGCUGUAAUUGUUCUGUCACUUUAUAGUAAGGAAUCUUGAGCAUAAUUAACGAACCUGAUCCUUGUCCACCAAAACUGCCGUACACCUUCAGCAAAAUCAUUCCGCAAAUACAAUCUUAUAGCAAUGCGAUAUUCAGUUUCAUCACACCAGUUAGUAUUGGUCAAGUAAAGCACAUGUUACUUUCUGAAAAUUUGAAAUACUACAACGCAAAACCUAUCAAAAAGAUGCAACCAUGUGAUGCAAGAAACGAAAAGGUAGAAAGUCCAGACUCACUGUGGAUAAUUGAUUGUCAUUUUUCCCAAGCGCAGAUGCAAUUUUAGCGAAUUAAUUUUGUCCCAAAGAAAGUGAGAACGGAGCUCCCUUUCCAAGACAUUAAAGAGCUUCAUUAGCCCACUCACCACUGCAAUAGAAACAAUUUGAUACAAAAUACUUGACAGCAACCAUACAAGCCGCUCAAUAGACAAAUGACAUUGACAAACAUACCAGUAGCAUCUGAACCUGCUGCUGCUUUUUAAGUUCAUCAAUUGUCUCAAGAACCGACUUAUUUGCACCAAACGCUGAAGUUAUUUGAUGUAAAAGACUUGAGUUGCGCUUCAGAAUCUGGGUUGCUGGUGAAUUUCGCCGCAGUUGUUUCAAUGUCCCCAUGGGGAUCCUAAGAACCGUAUCAACAAUGGAGUAUCUUUUAUCUCAAGAACGCAUUGGACAAUGGAGCAUCAGAAAUUGCGUCUGAGGAUAGAAAAGGCAUACCUGCAGAUCCUCCUCCCGUACUCCUUGCCGCUACAUGUGAAAACCCAUCUGGCAUAGCAAGAACAGUCCUCUGAAAUGUAUCCAUACAAAGUUAGACGCACAAAAUUUGAAAAGCCAUUGCAAUGUAAUUGACAACAUUGACAAUCUCUGUCUGACAGGGCAAAAUACCUUUGUAAUGAUCCGGUAGUGACCGUGACCUGAUAGGUCAACACCAAAGACCAUUGUUAUGCGAUCAAUGAAGCUUAUAAAGGGCUUCUUGUACUCAGAGAUUUUGCAUAUUAGAGAAUACUCAGCAGUGGAUACCUGAACGCAGCACAAAUAUCAUAUCGUUAGCCUCUCAAUAUUAAGAAAACUACAAAUGGUAGCUUAGAAAAGAAAUGAAUCCUCUCCAACCAAAUACAAAUCAUAUUACCCCAAGUUCAAGCAAAAUCAAGACUAAACAAAUGAUUAGAUGUUGUAGGUUGCCCGAGAAUGUCAACCAUGAAAUUACAAAAGAAAAAAAUAACUGUAUGUAUUGAACAUUAAUAAAUACAUGCUGAAAGCACAAUCUCAGCCGCAAUUUAUGACAUUUAUACGAGAUUGAAUCGCUAAAGCAAUUGAAGAAAUUGCAGAGCUCAUAUAAGUGAUUUUCACUUUGAAUUUUUAGGCUUAUCAACAAAUACAUCAUUACGAUUCUAAUGCAUGAAUUUUGUUAAAAGGGGCUUGCUUGCUUGUAUUAAGGCUUAAUCAUCAAUGAAUUUGCAAGAAGCAAUCGAUUUGCUAGUUGUAAAUCUAUUCACUAAUUACCAAAAUUACAUCUAAACGGUAGUGAAGGAAGUCAUCUUAUAUUAUCUGGAUUUUAGAAAACUGUGUAAGGUUAUAAGUCUGUUAUUAUAUAUAGUUAAAAGGGACACAAUUAGACCUCAAUCAUAUUUGGUGGUUGGUUUUUGGCCAUGAUCUGCUUCACAUCACCCCCUGCAAACAAAAAUGAACACUAAGAGAAACAAUAAACAAAUGACAUGAAACAACACGAACAUCAAAGACCAACAAUCUAUCACGUAAGUACCUAAACAAGAAACAACUUUAGUUCAAAGCAAAGCGUAAUGUAGAAACCUUCGGCACAAGAGGUGUGUUUUUGUCCUUUUGAAUUUCGGCAACAACCAUUUUAAUGUCCUUUCCUGCAAUUACCAUGAUUGGUCACUCUCAAAACCUUACCUAAGAGACCCAAAAACAAAAAUAACCGCCGAAAAAUUUAUUUAACUACAUGCUAAAAUGGAAGUGUAAUAUUGCCAAGAAAGAUAAGAAACUAUUCAAAUACAGAUUCUGGGCUUACCGCACAAAAGGCACGAGCCUAGCGGCUACCAAAAAGAACACACUUCACAUUUGGGUGAGAUUCCCAUUCAUCCAGAUAGCUCUUGUAUUUCACAUCCAUAUCUGCAUUUUCCAACAAUUCCCACUUAAACAGAAAUACAAAAUUCUUUGAAAAAAAGCUAACUUCUUCGAAAUGCGAAUCCAACGUUUCGUCUUAUAACAAAUGCAAUAACAUAGAUUUGUAAUCAAUACGAUGCCAUAAAGUUCAAGCUCCAAAAUUCAAAUCAGCUCCAAAUCAAAAGCAUUUACAGAUAUAUACAUAUAUACAUGUGUGUGUGUGUGUGUGUGUGUGUUUAUCUACAUACCUAGGUUCAUGGCGUUGAGAGCUUGGGGGCCGACCGAGGGUGAUGACGGCGACGCCAUUUGGGUGGACGCUGCCCUUGACGAACGCGUCGGCGGAGGCCAUGAUCCCGAAGGGGCGGAGGAGGCGAGGGGAUUUGGAUGGUUGGAAAAGAGAAAGCUUCGAAUUUGGAUUGAGGAAGAAGAAAGCGGACGACGAUUUGCUCAGAAUUUAGGUCGCUCCUCCCAAUAAGCUUCCCAUUACUUCCGGUCGGGAGUGACUGCAUCAGUGUAGAGAGAUAAAGAUAUUUUUGGUGCUUCUGGGCCGGACUACCCUUGAUGUUUCGGUUAAAUAACCGGGAAAAACAACUGCCGCAGGGAAAUUUGAAAGAGGCGUUUGACGAACUGAUUGUGAUCUGACUCAAACAUGUGAUGAUGACGAUGCAUCACCACCUUGAUUGUGUCUCUGGAUGAAAAACCUACCAUCAAGAUCAAAAUCGUGCAUAUUUUCCUUCAUAGGUUUGUCCCAUACUAGAUUAACCCCUAUUCCCUUAGCUUUCGCAUAAUUAAAUGCAUUAGUUUUCGCAUAAUUAAAUGCACCGCCUUUCAUUGGUAUUUCAAAAGUUAUAUCAACUUUAUCCCCGCUUUGCAAAUUGAGCUUAUCGUUUGAUAUUUGACCUUGCCAAAGAUAACAGCUUUCAAAUACAAUAUCGCGCAUUUUUGUAACCCAAUCUUCCUUGCCUAUGCAAGUCUGUAACUCAGUACGCUUGGUAUUAUUUAUAUCAAUACUAGCACGAGGAUGACCAUCUUUACCUCUCAUAUAAGGUCUUGGCCGAUCAAGAUAAGAGCGGUAAAAGCAUAACAGAGUUAGCCCUUCAAAACUACGACCAUCACCCGGGGGAAUAUCAAAGCUAACUUCAUUACCAUCAUUGACAAACUCGAACCAAUCAGGAACAUAAUUCCCAUUGAGAAAAAUGCCACCAUAUCCGCAAGAAGUCCAUCCCUAUAUAUAUAUUGCAAGUGUCAUAACUAUAUACAUACAUGUACAUGUGUGUUGUGUGUGUGCAUGUGCGCAAUAGGAAGACAAUUAAAGAGAGAGAGAUACCUUUAGGACGUUCCUCCUUAAAUCAGCCGUGAGUUUGGUGCACUUACUCAUAUCAAUCCAUGUCAUGGAGUUUAAUGACUUAUCCAAGUCUGGAACCUCAGUGAGUUCGUGUGAAUCACAUACAUUCAGUUCCCUCAUAUUUGACAUUUUCGAAAAAUUGGGCAUUGUUACCAAACGAUAGCAACUAGAUGCAUCCAGAAAUUUCAAAUUUGUUGGUAAAUCAUAGAUUGUAUGAAGCUGGGAGCAAUAACUUAACCACAAACUUUCAAGUUUUGAAAGACCACUGAGGCUGGGUAGGGUAUGAAAAUAAUUGACUGAGAGAUCUAAAUUUCUUAAAGAGUCUAAGCCGUGUAACGAAUCGGGAAAUUGCAAAGGAAACUUCGAUCCCACAAAAUUAUUGAGAGAUAAAUGAGUGAGAUUCUUCAAUCUUACUGUGGAACGCGGUACUUGUCUUAUGGCUGUAGUAGAUGCUUUAAGUACUCUCAAUGAUAUCAUCUUCCCUAAACCCUCGGGCAAUUCACUGAAUUGCCAACAAAAAUCAAGAACAAGAGUCUGAACGGAUUUGGACCUGUAGAAAUCCCCAGGAAGAGAAAUAAGAUUCUUGCAGCGUGUGAGGUUCACCAAAGAAAGUUUUUUAAGAUGACCAAUGGAGGGGUGAAUAUCGGACAAACUCCUACACCUUUCCAAUAUCAACUCUUCAAGAUUUGGGAGAUUUGAAAAGUCUGGUGAUUUUUUUAAGUCAGAGCAACUUCCAAGAUUAAGGACCUUCAAGUUUUCAAGUGACUGUUGCACAAAAUCAAAGAAAAAUUAAAAUUAAUAUCCAAAAGGACUAUCUCAGAAAAAAAGAAGGAAAUCCAAAAAACAAAUACAAACAUAACAUCAUCAUGUGUAAUCGAUUGUACCUUGGAGCCCUCCCAAACUUGUACCAGGUCGCUAGAUGUUAUCUCUAAAAUAACUAGUCUUGGUUGAUCAAAGAAGUCAUCUGGUAUGGACUUUAAAGGGCAUCUUUCCCAACACAACCAUAUUAACUCCUUGGGGAGAUGUUUGUAUUCUCCAUUGAGCUGCACGUUGUAGAGCUUGAGCAGUCUCAGUUUCUUCAUAUUGGCAAAUGCUUCUGUACUGAACCCAGGCAUGUUAGACCUUGGAGGCCAAGGAGGAGGGAUACCUAGAGCAAGUCCUUCAACUUCUUCAGUUCCCUGUUAACAAAAGGUUAUAUUCAUGUGUAAGAAACGGAUUAUUUGCAUACGUUUACAUGUAUGAAUACAAGCAAGUACUAUUGUUGGCUAAUUGAGAUGAAUGUUAAUGUAUAAUACACAUCCGUGAGUUAUAUGUGCUUUUCAUGUACAAUGCAUUAAUUCAGAAUUUUAUUGGGAAUGUACUUACAGAUUUAUCUCUCAAUACUUUAAUGACCUCUUGCCGGUUCCACAACCUACUCCACUCUCCAGGCUGACGAGGGGAUUUUUCAGAAAUGAUUAAUUUGGCCAUUUCUCGAAGCAAAUCAUGCAUAUUCAACACGUUGUCUUCAACAGUUAUAAGGCAUCGUUCACGGAGGUCACUGAUUCCUAUUGUUGCAAAAAAGUUACAUCCAUCUAAUAUUUUUGCGACAUAGUCCUUAUCCCAUCCAAUAAAGAAACAAGAAAUGUCAAGGAAUAUAUCCUUUUGUGUAGGAUCUAGCCUUUCAAAGCUUACUCUUAGCGGUUUCAUUAUUCCUUUAUCAGGAAAUUUUUUCAAUUUCUCCAACUGACUUUUCCACUCUAUUGGGGUUCUUUCAAUCAUAGAAGAACCUAAAACUUCAAGGGCUAUUGGCAAACCACCACAGUAAGAAACAACCUCUUUUGAGAGUUCAAGAUAUCCUUCAUUAGGCCAACUCUUUCCAAAGGCAUGCCAACUAAAGAGCUUCAGAGCUUCUUCUUCAUUCAUUUCCUUAAGCGGAUAUGUCUUGUCCACUUUCAUGUUCACUUGCUUUAGUAAACAUUCAUCUCGUGUCGUUAUGAUAAUUCUACUUCCUGGACCAAACCAAUCACGAUUUCCAGCUAUGGCAUUUAGUUGUUCCACUUUGUCUACAUUGUCAAUAAUGACAAGUACGCUUCUACGUUGGAGAUGAUUUUUUAGCAAACUGAUACCUCCAUCAACACUGGUUAUCUUAGACUCAGUCUGUUUCAAGAUGUCAGAAACAAGCUUUCCUUGCAAAUCAACCAAAUCAUAUUCACUAACGUUGGCAAGGAAACUUUUGAAUUGGAACUUAUGAUGAAUUUGGUUAUAAAUGGCUUUGGCAGCUGUUGUUUUACCUAAUCCACCCAUCCCCCAAAUUCCAACCAUGACAACGUCAUUUGAUCCACCACCUGAAAGAUGAUUGAUAAUAUCUUGAACGCGAGAAUUGAUUCCAACCGGGUGCUUGGCCACAUUUAAUUCGUUUGCACCCGGAAGCCAUUCCGUAAUGAUCUUGCCAACAAUUUCUCUAAUAAGCUUUGCUUCGCGCCUAGAUGUUGAAUUUGUAAGCAUUAGCGGGACUCAAUGAACAGUAGGAGCUAUUAGUACAUAGACAAUUUUCUUUCCUUCAUACAUAUUCUAACUAGCUACUAGCUAGCAUGUGAUUUUUUUACCAACUUGAUAAAAGAAAGAAAUUCAUUCAUUAAUUAAACUCCAAUUACGGUUUAGGUUUUAUAUGAGAGGUUAAGGUGUAUUAAUUAAGCAUGUUAAUUAUAUGAGAGAUUAAGUCAUUCACUAAAAUGUGUCAAAUCUUUAAAAGCAGGUGAAUGAUUACCCAUUGUCAAUGAUUUGAAGAUGUUGGCCAGACAAAUUUGCAGCUUCUGUAAGAGCCUUUCUCCAUUGCUUUACCCUUUCUUGUUUAGCUUCACGUUCCUUGUCAUCUUUUUCUUCACGAAUGCCCUCUUCGUGCUUCUGAAAUGCUUGAGCUAAAUCUCCGUUCUGCUUCCUAACAUGUGAAGGAUCAACAUGAUAGAAUAUUGGCAAAACACGUCGCCCCAGUUUGUAUCUGCACUUCAUGAUCUUCACCAGCUCGUCAAGACACCAACUCGAGUUCGCAUAACUCUUUGAGAAGACAAUGAUAGAGAUCCUCGCCUCUUCAAUUGCCCGGAACAGUUCCUCUUUUAUUUCUUCCCCUCUUUCUAGAUCGUCCUCAUCGAUAUAAGCCUGGUAUCCCCUCUCUGUUAAUGCCGCAUGGAGGUGGCCCGUGAAGCCAUUGCGUGUGUCCACACCGCUGAAGCUCAAGAACACGUCGUAAUUCCAAAGUUUUGACUUGGAGGAGGAUGACGAGGAGGCUUCGUGGGUUGUCAUGGGGGUAUCCACCGUUAUGGCACUGCAGUGGUUCAGAUCACGACUGAAUUAAGGAAUGCACAACUUUACUUUUAUGAUUAUUUUCAAUGACAGCUAAAGGUCAGAUCCAAAUGAAAAUAAAAGUUAGGACUUCACAAAACCAAUAAAAAAAUAUAAUUCCCAAGUUACAAAUACCCACCAAAUGAUUCCAGAUAAAGUUUUAAACUCAAGGUCCGGCCCAAAUGAAAUUAAAAGUUAGGACUUCACAAAACCAAUUGAAACAGAAACCAAAUGGUAGAAGUUGAAAAAAAUAUAUGGUCAUGAAUCGAGAACUUCAUCAAACUAAUAGCAAUAAAAUCUCAUAUAAUAUGUCAAAAACCAAAAAAGAGAAAGAGGUAAUUUCAAGACCUUGUAACGCCGAGGCCUCGUACAGUUGUAGUAAUAAUAUAUGGUUGAUGCACCUGUUGCUCAAUCAAAUCCUUUGUCUGGCUAAAAAAAUAAAAUCUAUAAAUACAUUCACGUCCAAUUUAUGAGAAAUCAUGGGAAAGCAAAUGCACUGAGAACGGAAUCAUGAAUAUGUAGAACUUGCCAAAAAGAAAAAGAAAACUUUUUAUAGUGUGCCAAGAACAUCCUCCUACUCCUAGCAAUUUUUUAUGGCAUUAUCCACUUUUCAAUUCAUAAUUCAACCAGCAACUCAAAGUCUAUAGUGUAUGAAAAGGUGAUAUCUUAGUUGAUCACGAUGAUAAUUAAGUAGAUUAAAUGACGACCCAUAAAGCAUACAAAUUCAGAAAAGAAAAGGUACGAAACUGCCAUAAGAAAACGCAGAAUAUAUAAACCGGAAAUCAAAAGAAGAGAAGCGAAAAAGGAAGAAAAAAAAAACCAAACAAAAUUAUUAGGUUUGGGAUAUACCUUUAUCUGAAACGCCACAAUCAUCAAAGUCAAACAUAAACAAUCCAAAAAUUUGUGGAAAAUACCAGUAAAUGCUCAACUAAAAACGAAAGAAAAUGUAGAAUAAGUUUACCUGUUCUCCCCCUAAUUAAACUGGAAUAACAUUCACCACUAAUAUUCUCGUCGUCAUCCUCUUCAGCCUGAAAAAUUUAGUAGAAAUACUCAAUGAAGACGCUUAAUGUAGACAGUAAUAUUAGCAAUGGAGGAAUUGAAUUGAUAACCAAAACUGCAAGACCAAAUGACUAUUUAGGUUCAAAACAGAAACUCGUCUGCUAGAUGUCUCAUCUUUAGGCAGUGCCUUGUUCUUGUUUUUUUUUCUUUUUUUUUUGUUGUUGCAUGUCUUGUGAAGUUCAUGUAAAUCAACAAAAUUGAUACUUUUGACACAACCAACAAUGGAGAGGUAAAAAGUUAAAAACAUUAGGAAUGUCUUCAUUUUUGUAAUGGAUUUUGCAAGUCAGAAAUUCUGUUCGAGAAUUUGCAACCCAGAAAGUCCGCCAGAAAUUAUUAACAAUCACAGAUAAGCACCGAAUGAAGGCCAAUCUAAUAAGCCAAAAUAUGUAGGGCACUAAAGAAAUUACCCAGUAACAAUAAUAGAUAAGCACAUAUGAAACUAAAGAAAUUUUUCAUUACUAUCAACUCCCAAAAAAAAAAAAAAAAAAAACUGUGCAAUCCAAAAAAUGUUGAUACAUAGUUGGAGUAUCAAUGCCUGAAAUUGGUAUUUGAACCACGAAUAUGUUUGUUAGCUUAAAGGUUUGGGUUGAAGUUGUGAAAGGAAAUGUAAUUUCUUAAAAGAAGGAGAGAAUGCAAAGAUGAAUACAGAAUGGUUCAUGUGGCCACCUUGUUAAGGCACAGAAAAAGACAUCAAAUUUUAUACUUGUUGCAUCCAAGGUAUGCAACAGCCUCCCACAGAAAUUACAGAAAUCAAAUCAAGAAAAAAGAUAAUUACACAAUAAUUACACCUUCACUAAGAAAAUAAAUUAUAAAAACGAAGACCGUGAGAAUAAUUACCUUACCUUUGUACGGUGAUUGGCUGCCAAAAAAAAAAAUAAUGUCAUAUACAUUAAGCCUGCCAAUUACUAAAAACAAAACAUUUUGCCAUGAGGAGAAGUAAGAACAUACCGAAACUUGUUUGCAAAUAGAUGAGAAAAACUUAUUCCUGAAACAGAUGGAAAAUUUAUUAGGAAAGAUAAAUCAGCCCACAUGUGUGUAAUCUAUAUACAAAAAACCACUCUCUUCAAUAGCCAAAUCGUUUCACAAAUCCAAAAACACAUAAUUAUAUCUUGAACAAUGCCAAUUAAUGAUUUCCCAUUUACUUAAGCCAACAACAAAGCCAAUGAACUGAUGAAAGAGCAAAACAGAGAAACAAAAAACCUCAAUUAAGUAAUUAAAUGGAGUAUUACUUGAUAGAGCUGGAAAAUUACCCAGUUCCUCAGAGAGAGGAUCAAGAGUGACUGAUGAGAGUGCAGAGAAAAGAAUGAUUGAGAAAUUCAAGUUCUGAGCUCGAAGUUGGGGCUUCCACUUUCCAACUGGGGAAGAAAUAACAGAGAAAACACAGAGAGCCAAUCCACCAAAUAUUAAUCAAAUGGGUUUCUUCUAAUUCAAAAUUUGGACCACCCAAAUUCCAAUGAAGCAAUAACCAUUCAAAAUCCAACAGAUUGAAGCCCUCACAGACUACUAAUUAUCAAUACCCAGCAAUAAAAAAUUUGAAAACAGUAAUAAUGAAGGAAAAAGAAAUUAAAGCUGCAAGCCAUUCUCUAAAUCUCAGGCACCAAUCCAAAUCACCAGUAAUUUGCACAUAAUGAUAAGAAUCUAGCAGUAUUUCCAUUGUUUAAAAACCCAAAUUCAAGAAAUCAUGAAAAAUGGAAACUUUAUUUGGAAAUUGAAGCUUUACCUGCAGAUCAGCAGCAGCAAACGGAAUCCAACGGCAUGUACCUCAAAAGUGAGAGAGAGAGAGUUGAGAGAUGAGUGAGAGAAUCGAUAAACAAAACCCCCCAAAAUCACAAAAGGAAAAUUGAACAGAAAACAAAUUUGCAAAUCCAAAAUCACAAGAACGAAAUUGAAACACCCACACUGAGAAAGCUGCAAUACUCACCAGGAAGCUAGCUUUUCUGGGUAAAAAAAUUGUUCGAAUCGAAUUGAAGAACCGAGGAAAAUUCUACUGGUUCAGUGGUUUUUCCAGCAAGAAAGCACCUUGUUUGUAAUUCGUGAGAGGUUGGACAGCGAGAGAGAAAAACGUAAAGGAAAGGAAAAGCGGAGAAGAAGUCACGAUUAUCGACGCGUGGGUUGCAUUCCACUGUGCCAAGUUCGAAAAUGAACGGGGAAUGGGGAGCUUGGCCGAGGGAGACAGAAUUCGAGAAGCAGCGUUCUGAUUAAUUUUUUUUUUUUUUUUUUUAUGAGAGAGGGAAAGCGGAAUGAAGAGAAUCGAGAAGAGGAUGAACCAUUUCAAUUUUUAAGCGAUGAUCGACGCGUGGGACUUGAGGGCAAAUUUGCCAUUUUGCUGUGAACCCAUGAAGCAUCAGAAUACACAAAAGUCAAGACUUGGCUUGGUUUAUAUAAUUAAUCAAUAAUAUUCCUAACAAGAGCUAGGUCCAUAUAUUAUACGAACAAUACUUAGCUGCUGAAUUCCUACUUUCAACCAAUCAAAUUUUGACACGUGUCCAAAUAAUGAAAUUAUAAAUACAAAUUGAACACGUGUCCAAAUAUGAUUGGGUGAAAAUAGGAAUGGCUGUUGAAUUUUCAGCCGCCAAGUAUUGUUCUUAUACAAGGUUCUAAAUCUAAUAGAUGUUGUGGCUAGACGAGGCUUAUUGACUAGACGGAUUUAAGUAAAUUUAUUCUAUAUUAUAAAUAAAUGUUUUUUUAUACUUAAAAUGACACAUAAUUGUAUUGAGAUAUAUAAAUUGUAAAAUAAAAUAACAUAUAUAUUAUAAAGUAUUGGAACAUGAGAGAAAAGACCUAAAUGUGAAACGACAACUAUAAACAAUUAUUCAAGAUGAACGAUAAAUGAUUCAACCAUUUACAAGAUUCAAAACAUGAGAUCACGAUCUACUGAAUGAUUGCAUUAACUAUUAAGCGGUGCCCUAAUAUAAUACAUCCAAAUGGGGGUGGACCACAUAAUACACCCAAUGGAUCGUUUUUAAGCUACUCCACUGCUAAAACUAUUGCAAAAUGCGUUAGGAUUAUACUUCUAUUAGCUGCGCCUUUCCUUACUAGGCAAAUGGGGGUGGACCACAUAAUAAUGUUAAAACUGCUAUGUCUAUUGGGUUUCUCUGUUUAUUUCAUGUACUAGUUUAUGUUCCUUUUAUUGUAUAAAUAACUUGUACUUGGGAUGUUGCAGAACAAGUUUGAUUUGAAUGAAAUUACUACUAUUGAGUUAGCUGUCAAGCUUCUCUUUAUUCCAAGCUUGCAUUUUGUUCUACCUUUUCCAAUUCUCUACAUCCCUAAGAGGACUGUAUCAGAUGUUAUACACAUUGGAGUUUGAGCAGAAUUCUUUUUGUUAUCUUGUCUCACAUUGCUAGAAUUGAAAAGUUCAUAAUAUAAUAACAUUCGCGUAUGAACUUGAGAAACAACAUACUACUGGUUGGCCUGGAAGGUGCAGUGAAAGAGAGGAAAGGAAGAAAGAAACAAACACGAAAGGACAAGGACUAUCCAAUAGAUUAUAAACAAUGACUUAUUGGGGAUGAUUACGGCUAUUAAAUCAUCAAUAAUGCAUUAUUUUAGUUUGGAAUUUGGAAGCAUUUGAGAAGUAAAAUGACAACAACUACAUAAUAAACAAAGGUGAUUAGAAAAAAGACCCAAAUGUGAAAGAAUAAUUAAAAACAAUUACUCAAGAUUAGUGAUAAAUGAUUCAACCAUUUACAAGAUAUGAACUUAGAACAACAAUCUAUUAGAUUGUUGUAUUAAUGAUUAAGUGAUGCUCUAAGAUAAUAGAUCCAAAUGGGGACGGACCAUAUAAUACACCCAAAUGGAUGCAAUCAUGCCAUAUAUAAACAAUGUUUUGAAAGGACAAGGUAGCUAAAGCUGCCUUUUUAUAUAUGUAAGCAACAACCCUAAAUCUUACUGGAACUAAUUAACUAAUGUAUUUAUUAGACAGUUGGAUUCCUUAGCAAGUGGUUAACUAGUUUUGUUUAGUUUAGUAGUCAGGUCGUAAUUAAUUAGUCAAAUGAAAAUGCAUAUAACACACCCAAAUGGAUGCCAUAUAUGCAUACUAUUUUUGUUUAGUUUAGUAGUCAGGUCGUAAUUAAUUAGUCAAAUGAACCUGCAUAUAACACGCCCAAAUGGAUGCCAUAUAUGCAUAUAUAAACAAUGUUCUCAAAGGAUGAAAUGACUUUCUUGCCGGUAUGGGGGAAGAGGAAAGAAACUAGCACGAAACUGCAGACCCUAUCGAUCCAUUAUAAUAAAUUUCAAUGGUCCAAUUUGUAAGUUAAUUGUGCAACAUAAAAACUUAUUUACAGUUAUCAACUUAACCACGUACCUGUGAAAGACAUUAUCUCAGAAAACUAGGAUUAAGAACCAAAGUUCUCCUGGAACUCUACACAACUUAAGGCUCGCUCAAUGGGGCUUGAGUUUUUUGUAAACUUGCGUAUUUUUGGAAACGCAUCAAAUAGUAGUUAAAACAUCCGGCCGUAAAUAAAGGGUUUGAGAUACCACCAUAGUGAUAUCCCUCAGAUGUGAGUUUCUCACGUAUCAAAUCACUUAUUGUAAGAAUAUUAGUAGUGAAAGUUAAAUACCCGUGUUGGGAAAGGAAGUCGAUGAUGACAAGAGAGAAAUUUGGCUUGAAAAAUGUAUGAUACUUGCAACAUGCGUCACCGGAGUAUCAACUUGAAGCUUUCCAUCUCUCCGUCGUUAAAUGUUUCGUAAGCAGCGUUGUUGAAGUUCUCUAUGUCAAGGGGAAACUGAAGAUGGUUUUAAAUGAAGAAGAAUGGAAAAUAUAAUUUAGAAAAUGAGAAAGAAAAUUAUAAUUGAAACUAAAAAAAUAAGAAAUAAAAAGAGAGAUUUACUAUUUUCUAUGAGGUCUUGGAGUUGGCCGUGACAGUAAGAGAGGAUAAGCGAAUGAAUUGGGCCAAUUACUUGCUCUCUUGGACUUUGGGCUUUUGGAUUGGAUUGGGCCAAUUACUUACUUGGGCCCCAUCCCAACUUAUGACUUUUUGUCGGUCGGUAUUGACUGAGGUGAACGUGCUAAACUAGAAAUUUGAGAUUUUGAAUUAGCAAAUGAAUGUUAAGUAAGAGCGUCAUGAUCAGACUUGUAAGACUGUCUUUGUUGCGUUUUGUCAAAACCGGUCCAUCUAAUUACAAAUUGUAACCAUAUUAGUUGAGUAUAUAUAUGCUACAUCACAUUAGUGAAUAUUCAGUACGGGUGACACAUGGUCAGACUUGUAGGUUGUUCAUUAAGAAGUUACCACGUUCUCAAGAGUGGAGCUAGAGGGGAGCACUUCCCUACCAAAGUGUUUUCCUUCUCCCCUUUACAAGGGAUUUGUGUCACUAUUAGAUAGGAGAUUCGAAUACAAGACCUUGAAUUGAGAGGUCACACUUUUACAAAGCUUCUACGAGCACCUUCUUGUUUACCAAACUCAUUGAGACUAAAGGAGGUCUUAACGCCAUUUUGGCUAAUACUAUUCUAUAUAUUUACGAAUGGUUUUAAGUUUGGGUUUAAUUGGAUAAUCAGAGAGUAGUGCAUCAAACUAUGGAUAUUCAGAAACCGAAAGCAUAAUUCAUAUUCCUCCAACAAGUCCACGCAAAUAACCACAAUCAGAAUGUUAGUUCAUAACUGGCCAUAUAGAACGCAGUACAAAAGCACUAAAAGCGUCCAAGUGAAAGUGCUUUCUCCUCAUGCAGUUUCAUUUAACUUAGUUUCACAUGCCAGUCCGUCACACACUCAACUCCUCAACGUUCGGGUUCAAAGCAUUCUUUAUCCUUUCUGUACGAGAGACAAUAAAUUUAAAGUUCUUGUGAUGAAAUCAUGUAAAACAUUCAGAAAUCUUGAUUUAAUCCUUUCUCAAGAUCAUAGGUUGUGUCAUCUCAACUUAUAUCUUAGGUCUUAUGAGUGCUCGUAAUACACUAAUACGGCACUUGUUUUCUGGCCAGGACAGAAACAAAAUCAUGUAGGAAAUUGUCAUGACAAUAAAGGUCGUACCCAGUGCACAAGGCUCCCGCUUUAAGCAUGACAAUAAAGGAAAUUGUCAUGUAGGAAAUUGUCAUGACAAUGUAAGUGUAAAAUGAGACCGGAAAAACACUAAACAGGAUGACUAUGCUCUCUUAGCGUAAACCUUAACAACAAAGACUAUACCGUAUCUGUCACCAAGGGCGGAGCCACCAUAGGCCUAGGGGGGCGGAUGCCCCCACUGAGAUUUUUCUGAUGCUGGCAUGAUGACCUUCAGAUGCUUGAGAUUCGGCAAUGGUGGAGAGCAGAUCUUUCUAAAUUUCUUUGGAAAGAAGAGAUCCUAAACCAAGCACACAAACAAAAAUUUGAGAACAGCAAAUACAAAAAUUCGACAGUGAUCAAACCCAUCAAGCAUGCAUAUAUAGAUACAUGUUAUAUUUAUAUACCAUAGCAUCAUGAACUUUUAGUGUAAUUUUUCUGAAGCAGUCAAAACUUUCAAGAUAAUCUCGUGCUGCUCAAAUUGAUAUGGUUCUACAGCAGCAAAGCCCACACUGCGAUUUUUCUGGUUCUACUCUCCGAUCUGGUUCUGUAGAAGCAGAGCUGGGUCUUAUUUUAUUUUUUUUCAAAACCAAGCCAAAACGACAUCGUUUUGGUCCUGGUAAAAAAAAAUUUAAAAAAUGUAAACGAAACGGUGUCGUUUCGUAUAUGUUUGAAAAAAUAUGUUCGAGGAUGCCCCCAUUCACCCAAAUGUCUGGCUUCGUCCCUGUCUGUCACAGUGAUAUGCGACCAUAAGCCCAACUCCAAGGAUCAGCUUUCCAAGAACUUUGAAGGCUACAAAUCAAAAGUUACAUGCAGUGAUGACAUAAUCAUGAAAAAAUACAAUCAUAAAUUAAAGGAAAACAUACCGACUUCUAGUUCUGGCAAUUCACUAUUGGCCCAUAUAUUUGAACCACAAUAUGAUGGAUACCCAAUACAGAUCACAAAUAAAAUCUGAGCAGACACAAAGUAUUAUGUUUUGUUUACGCAAAAUCUGUAAGUUCUCAAGUAGGAUAAAUAAAGAUAAACAUAUCCCAGCAUAAAGACGACUUGUCCUGGCUAAUUCUAAGAAAGCUUGUAUCAAAUGUAUGAUAGUUAUUCAUAACUAACACAAACAACAGUUUGGCCAAACAUUACUGGUCUGAGCCAUAUACUGUGUGACCUCAGACAAAACAGAUCCCACAUGUACUCAGAUUAUGAUUGAUGUCCCAAUAGACUUUUAGGCGGUGCUCUGAUAUAAUACAUCCAAAUUGGGGUGGACCAUAUAAUACACCCCAAUGGAUCGUUUUAAGCUCCUACACUGCUAAAGCUAUUGCAAAAUGCGCAUUAGGAUUAUAUUUCUAUUAGAAGCGCCUUUCCUUACUAGGCAAAUGAACCAUAUAAUACACCAAGAUGGAUGUUAUACACGUUAGCGUUUGGGCAGAAUUUUUUUGGUUAUCUCAUUGUCUCACAUUACUAGAAUUGAAAAGUUUAUAAUAUAAUAACGUUCGAAUAUGAACUUGAGAAACGACAUACUGCCGGUUGGCCGUAAAGGUGCAGUGAAAGAGCGAAAAGGAAGAAAGAAACAAACAUGCAUGAAAGGACAAAGACUAUCCAAUAGAUUAUAAACAAUGACUUCUUGGGAUGAUUACAGCUAUUCAACCAUCAAUAAUGCACUAUUUUAGUUUGGAAUUUGGAAGCAUUUGAGAAGUAACAUGACAUCAAUCACAUAAUAAACAAAAGUGAUUACAAAAAAACCCAAAUGUGAAGGAAUAAUUAAAAAAAAUUAUUCAAGAUAAGCGAUAAAUGAUUCAACUAUUUAUAAGAUAUGAACUUAGAACAACAAUCUAUUGGAUCGUUGUAUUAACUAUUAAGUGGUGCUCUAAUAUAAUAUAUCCAAAUGGAGACGAACCAUAUAAUACACCCAAAUGGACCAUUUUUAGGCUCCACUGCUAAAAACUAAUGCAAAACGGGCAUUAGGAUUAAACUAUAAGAACUAGGAUUGCAGGGAAGACAAAACACGCAGGAAAGCUAUAAGACUACACAAGGUUUUCACUGUGAUUGCAUACCCUCAACGUUGUAGGGAGCAACCUUUUUAUAAUCACUUUUCAGAUUACAUCAGGGUUUCAAAAACCCUAUUAACAAGCUUACAUUUUGAAAUUCAAAUACUAUAACUAAUUCUGACAAAACAAAUAUUUAAAAAUUCAAAUGAUUUUAACAGAAGCUCUACUUGAUAAGUGUUGUUGACUGAGUAAACCAACUGAAGAGUUUCUGUUUGAACAGGAAACUUGACUCCGUCUAACAUAAACUUGUAUUAGCUAGCUUUCCUAGUCAAAUGAACCAUAUGAUACACCCAAAUGGAUGCCAUCAUGCCAUAUAUAACCAAUGUUUUGAAAGGACAAGGUACCUUAACACUGUCUUUUUAUAUAAUGUAAGCAACAACCAUAAAUCUUACACAAAUCCUGGUAAGUCUACCACAAGUGUCAAUCCUUAUCUCCUUAUCAUUCCACAUCACCAAGUGUUUGCUCUCGUAUAGAACUUACAAAAAUCUCAUUUAGUUUCAUCUAACUUAUUUUUCACAACGGUGAAUAUAUUUCAAUGGCUUGGUUUUCACAUGCCAGUCAGUCACAUGCUCAACUCCUCAAAGUUCGGGCUCAAUGGCUCGAAGAGAGCUUCCACUUCACUCUGAUUCACCUCCCUCUUACUUUGACGGGUUCCACUUCGGAUUCUGCAUUGACAAAAAACAGAAGCAAAAGAUUGUUGAGAGUUGUCCCACGUUGGUGAGGGACAAGGCUUGCUAUGUACUUAUAUGAAUUUGGGCUACUUUCAAUAUUGUCAAUUGGUUUUAUGGUGGAACCUCAAUUUCAUCAUGGUAUCAGAGCCAAGUUGUUGACGUGUGAAGCCCAAUGGCCACACGCACUUCACGUCACCUAGCUGUUGUCCACGUGUAGGCUUGAAAAUCCGUCACACGUGCGGGGACGUGUUGAGAGUUAUCCUACAUUGGUGAGGGACAAAGUUUAGCUAUGUGCUUAUAUGAUAUUGGGCAACUUCCCAUAUUACCAAUUGAUUUUAUGAUGAACCUCAAUUUCAUCAAAGAUAACGACCUGUUCUCAUACAAGGAAAGUAAGAUGAUUAUAUAACUGUAGGUCUAGUACAGGCUGUAAUGGUUUAUGUUGCAGCAACUCCGUCAGCAAGUGAUUUUCAAGUAAGGAAUCUUGAGCAUAAUUAACGAACCUGAUCCUUGUCCACCAAAACUGCCCGCACACCUUCAGCAAAAUCAUUCCGCAAAGACGAUCUUCUAGCAACGCGAUAUUCAGUUUUCAUCACACCAGUUAGCUGGUAUGGAUCAAGUAAAGCACAUGUUACUCACUCAGAAAAUGUGAAAUACUACAACACAAAAUCUAUCAAAAGGAUGCAACCUUGAAGAGCUUCAUUUGCCCACUCCACCACUACAACAGAAACAAUUUGAUAGAAAAUACUUGACAGCCACGUACAAGCCUCUCAAUAGAAGAGUAAGACAGAUUUCAUUUCAUCAUCGAUAAACAAAUGGCAUUGACAAACUUACCAGUAGCAUCUGAACUCUGCUGCUGCUUUUUAAGUUCAUCAAUUGUCACAAGAACCGACUUAUUUGCACCAAAUGCUGAAGUUAUUUGAGGUAAAAGACUCCUGAGCUGCGCUUCGAAUCUGGGUUGCUGCUGAAUUUUGCCACAGUUGUAAUUGACAACAUUGACAAUUGUCUCUCUCGCAAUAGUACCUUCGUAAUGAUCCGCUACUGACCUUGGCCCGAUAGGCCAAUACCAAAGGCCAUUGUUAUGGCCACGAAGCUUAUACGUGGCUGUCAAGCCCGACACGUGAAUAGCAUACUCUACUACUGUGUUACAUUGUGAGAAUUUUAUCCAAAAUUAAUUGACAAUAAGUGAAUAAGUUGAAAGAUUAUGUAUGACUUUAAUUAUGCAAAGAGUGAAGAGGCAAUUUUCACCAAACCCCAGUAAAAAAUUUGGGCCUCACAAAUCACUAAACCCAAUAUGCUUUUCUCUUAUGCCUUUCGUUCAUGGUUUGAUAUUCUGGCGUCCGAGGACCCUGACAUGACAAGUUCCAACCUUUUUGUUCAAUUUCUUGACGAAACAAUCACAUUUACCCUUACGGCACGGCACGGUUCCGGGCAUAGAAUAUGGGUUGGGUUCCGCCACAGAUCCAACACUAAUUAGCACUGUAGAGAAGGAAGUAAAGACAACUAUUGAUUUCUUACAACGUAGCGAGUCUCUUGACAUGACUCCUGCUGUUUUGUUCUUAUUUCACGUCCUGUUUCUCGAGCUUGGUGUUUCCGGCAGGGCCGGUCUAAAGAUUUUUGAGGCCCGGAGCGACGUAAAAAAAUAUGCCCUCACUUAUAUAAGAAAAUUAUUUGUUUUCACAUGUAAGACAUCGAUAAAAUUAUACUUACAAAAACACUUAAAACUUAAUAAUUUAGAAACAAGGAAAAACUAAUUUAUUUUGUAUCGUGAGAAUGAUCCAAAAAAACUCUGGGUUUACAAGUAGAUAGAUAUGGGUUUACAAGUUGCGGAUUGCUUUGCUAACUAUGAUGUUGAUCUGGCUGGGGUUCAUUGGUGAGAUUCUUGAUUUCCUUGUGCUACUUUGACAUAUCACCAUAAGUUGUCUUUUUUGCCUUGUUAUAGUUUCGUGUGGGGUUUUUUUUCUUCUUCUAAUGCUGAUUGGGUUCUUUUCUUCCAACUCCUGCCCACUCAUUAUUGUCUGAACCACACCUAGUAUUACCCUCAUAUCCACUAAAACUUCAAGCUUUACCAAUUUGUCACAAGCGAAGAUGGUAGCUCCCAACACCAAUGAGGUUCCAAACAAUUACGAUCGAAAACGCGAAGUGAAAGCUUUUGAUGAGACAAGGGAAGGCGUUAAGGGUCUUGUUGAUGCCGGGGUAGCCGAGGUUCCUAGAAUUUUUCAUCAACCACCACAAUUGGACGAUCAGUACUCCAUCAACAAUACAAGCACUGACUCAGAAGCCACCCAGUUUAGCAUUCCGCUAAUAGACCUUGAAGACCAUGGUAAUCCAACUAAGCGCAAUGAGAUUGUUGCAAAGUUGGAGAGGCAUCAGAGACUUGGGGCUUCUUUCAAAUAGUGAAUCAUGGGAUACCUGUAGGUGUUCUGGAGGCGAUAAAGGAUGGGGUACGUGGGUUUUAUGAGCAGGACACUCGAGUCAAGAAAGAGUUUUUACACUCGUGAUCACUCUAAACCUUUGUUUUACAAUAGCAACUUUGAUCUUUAUAGUUCACUGGCAACGAAUUGGAGGGAUACUUUUAAGUGUUACAUGGCUCCAUAUCCUCCUAAGCCAGAAGACUUGCCAGAAGUAUGCAGGUAUUUGACAACCCAAUUCUCUGGUUUAAUUGGUGACAGUAACCUGGUGCAGAUUCCUUCCUUGAUGGAUUAGAUCAUUAAACUCCAUACUUUUGACAAGUUUAAUGUGCUUUCCUGGUUUUCAACUUGCAGAGACGUACUGAUCGAGUAUUCAAAGCGAGUAAUGGAGUUGGGGAAAUUGUUGUUUGAGUUGUUGUCGGAGGCCCUUGGGCUAAAGCCAAGCCACUUGAAUAGCAUAGAUUGUAGUAAGGGGCUACAGGUUUUAGGCCAUUACUAUCCUGCUUGUCCACAGCCAGAGUUAACUUUGGGCACAAGCAAGCACGCUGAUGAUUCCUUCCUUACGGUCCUUUCUGCAAGAUCAUAUUGGUGGUCUGCAAGUUGUUGAUCGUCAAAAUAAGUGGAUUGAUGUACCCCCUGUGCCUGGGGCUUUAGUGGUGAACAUUGGAGAUCUUUUACAAGUAAGCACACGUAUACAAUUGCCCUUUUUUUUUCUCCCUAAAAACUACUAUUAAAUUAAGAGAAUAGUAUCGUAAACUAAGCUAGUUUGUUAAUGACUAAUACUCGAGACAAGCUUUGGUCGCAUGUUAGCGUUCUCUUAGAAUAUGUCUUAGAAUUCUUCGAUUAUCAUAAUUAGGUCUUUUAUGUUCAAUUCUUUUUGGGAUUUUCAGCUCAUAUCAAAUGAUAGAUUCAAAAGCGUAGAACACAGGGUAUUGGCGAACCGUGAAGGUCCAAGGAUAUCCAUUGCCAGCUUCUUAGCACAGGUUUGCUACCAUUUACAAAUCUCUAUGGACCUAUUAAGGAGUUGGUAUCAGAAGACAACCCUCCAAAGUACAGGGAGACUACUGUGAGGGACUACGACACCCAUUUCUAUGACAAAGGCCUAGAUGGAACCUCUGCCUUAUCUCAUUUUAAGAUCCCAACUUAGACAUGGAGGAGCACAGAAGCAGAGACCGCAACGAACAAAUCCUGUCUACUAAAUAAUUUGGCAUGAAAAUAUAUAUUGGUUUGUUUAAUCUGAAAGCACUUUCGCACCACAAAAUUCUGGAUAUGCAUAUUAUUUUGUUUUCUGUUUGCAUAUGGUCUAAUAUACUUGUAGAAAGGGUUGGGUUUCUACCCUUGCGUCUCAGGUACGAAACUUCCCCUCCUAUAAAUUAUUGUAAUAGCUUCGAACUCUCUAUCUUCCGCAAAAAAAAAAAAAAAAAAGGGGGGUUUUCUAACACUUCUAUUCAUCAUGUUUACAGUUUUUGUGGCAUGCGCUUAACGAAUUCAACUGUGGUUGUGGUUGCGGUUGCGGUUGCAUAUCAAUACUAUUAUACCAUAAGUGUGGGCUUGUUUGAGAAUGUUUUUGUUUGUAAGAAGCGGUUUUACACAGUAGUUAAAAUAUAUAUAUGUAGAAAGAAAACAUACAAGUUGGUUGACAAAAGGGGAAGAAAAAUUGAGAGAUACAGAGAAUAAGAAAAGAAGAAAAUCGAUGCAAAUUUUAAUAUAUAUGUAGUAGAUCCAGGUAUCCAAAGGAUUCGGGGCUAAUGUACCUGCAUUGAUGAAAAAACAAAGAUGAGAUUUUUUGAAACGCAUCACAUAGUAGUUAAAAUACCUGGCGGUAAAUGAACGGUUUGAGAUAACGCCAUAGUGGCAUCCCUCAGGUGUGAGUUUCUCUCGUAUCGGAUCACUUAUUGUAAGAAUAUCAAUAGUGAAAGUUAAAUACCCGUGUCGGGAAAGGAAGUCGAUGAUGACAACUGACAAGAGAGAAAUUUGGCUUGAAAAAUGUAUGAUGUUUGCAACAUGCGUCAUGAAAACUUAAGUGUCAUGAAAACUUAAGUGUAAAAUGCGACCGGAAAAACACUAAACAGGAUAGCUAUGCUCUCUUAGUGUAAACCUUAACAACAAAGACCAUACCGUAUCUGUCACAGUGAUAUGCGACCAUAAGCCCAACUCCAAGGAACACCUUUCCAAGAGCUUUGAAGGCUACAGAUCAAAAGUUACAUGCAGUGAUGACAUAAUCAUGAAAAAAUACAAUCAUAAAUUAAAGGAAAACAUACUGACUUCUAGUUCUGGCAAUUCACUAUCGGGCCAUAUAUUUGAACCACAGUAUGAUGGAUACCUACAAUACAUAUCAUAUCACAAAUAAAAUCUGAGCAGACACAAAGUAUUAUGUUCUGUUUACGCAAAAUCUGUAAGUUCUCAAAUAGGAUAAAUAAAGAUAAACAUAUCCCAGCAUAAAGACGAUUUGUCCUGGUUAAUUCUAGGAAACCUUUAUCAAAUGUAUGAUAGUUAUUCAUAACUAACACAAACAACUGUUUGGCCAGACAUUACUGGUAUGAGCCAUAUACUGUGUGACCUCAGACAAAAUAGAUCCCACAUGUACUCAGAUUAUGAUUGAUGUCCCUAUUGACUUUUACCUUUGAAUUAGAGAUUCAUCUGUUGUAGGGCUAUCCAAUAUUGGAUUUGCAUAAAACGAGCCUUUUAACGUAUCUGCAAAACCAGAACACAAACGGAAAAUGAAUGAUCCUAAGUUCUUAGAGUUUCCAAAGAAACAAAAUUUAAAACAAAGAACAUAAAGUGAUACCAGGCUUUCCAGAUUCCAGCUUCUCUUUUUCCAUGACUCCAUCCAAAAUUGUACCUAAACAUGGAUGGCAGGUAAAAAGAAGAUAAGCAAUAAAACUUUGUAAAGAUUCCCAAGAAAAGCAAUAAAACUACGUAAAUUAUUAGUUAAUAAUGUCAAGACCAUAGUCUCUGAAAAUCCAAGAGUUGAGAUGCGGCAGGGAUUUUUGGAAUUUUUCUCUAUUGUAAGUAAAACAUAGAUUGAUGUUUGUGUUUACACGAAAAUUAUGCCAACGGCUUAAGAGAAAUCAAAGUAUAACAAUGGGACUAAAAUGACUUACCUACUAUGAGGAUCUUCAAGUUCCUUCUUCACCUCUUCGGGCAGAUUGGCUAAUCUAAUAAACAAAAAGAAAACUCCCAUGAGCAGUGCUAUAACAAACUAUCUUCCUAAAUUCAUUAUGAAUUGCAGUUAAAACUUAAAAUGAACAUGAAAAUCCUACGUAGAAGGGAUAUACCUAGGUGACAAGCCUAGAAGAUUCCCGCGCAAGGAAGAAUAUCCCGGAACCUGCAAUUGAAAACUCAAAGAAACAAUUACAAAGAUGCUAGAAAGAAAAUACGUAUCAGUUUACAACAAAACGCUAGCUCUCACAAGAAUCGAUUAGGUAUGAAGCAUCAAAACAACAGCAUGAGACAUCAUAAUUUAUGAGCUAUGAAUGGAAUAAUGGAGCAAAAUAUCGUUGCCCAAACAGCACAAUCUACAAUCUACAUGACGGAGAAAGUACCCCGACAUUACAUAUGCAAGUUCAUGUGGUUUAUGUGGUUUAUCUUUUUAACCGAUUCGUUAACAAAUUCUUUCUGCACAUAUAGUUUUAACUUACCAAAACUGGUAAUGGAAGAGAUAAUCAGUAAUUAACAACGGUAAUCGCAUAACGAAAUCAUACUUGAGUGAUUGAUAGGAUUCCCAACCCAUUUGGUCCAAAUCCUUCUUCAAUCUUCACUGACAAAUCUUUGUCCCUGUCCUGUAUCAAUCCAAAAUCAAAAAACGAUAAUUAGAAAAAUCGAAUUCUCGACAUGAUCGACGAGUUAAAACAUAGCAAUUAAACAAAACUAUGAAUAAAACAAUUAGAUUCUGUUUGGUUGCUGAGAAUGAAGAGAAUAACAACCACAAAGUCAACUGAAAUAAAAUUUUGCUCUAACUUCAACGAAUUCUCUUGAGUUUCUGAGCACCCAAACAGAAAAAAAAAAAUUAUAGGCAAUCAAACCAAACUCUCAUGCUCAAUUUUCUCGGCAACCACAAAAAGAACUUAGAGGAGGGGGAGAGAGAGAGUUACUUGGAGCUCGGAGUAGGAUAUGGUGACUGGUGUGACGGUGGGGACGACGGGGUCGGAGGACGGAGGCAUAGUUCGACAAUAAAUUUGGCGGGAAAGACGGCGGUUGGAGUGUGACGAUGGGGAAGAAUCCGUGGGAACGAAGAGGAAUUUUGGUGCGGAAGGAGGGUCUUUAUAUCGGAGGGAGGGAGGGAGGGAGAGAGGUUGAGAGCGAAAGGCGUGAUUGUCAAUUUCAAAUUUUUUUUUUUUAGGAAUAAAGAAAGAAAGAGAGGUUGAGUAUCAAUUCCCUUUCCCUCCAAACCAAAGAAUACAUUCACGAUCAUGAUGUGUGUGGCAAAAAUUAAAGGUGGAGACAAAUAAAUUAAAGAGAAUUUUCACGAAAAGUUCAUGGUACGAUUUAUUUUAAUGAAAAAUUAUAUUUUUAUACUAAAAAGUCAAUUUUGAUACUAUUUACUUUACAUUUUAUUUUUGUCAUUAUCGUUAAAACUAAAAACAAUUGAAGCAUUUUUUUACUAUUUUUCCUUAUAUUAAAUAGGUAUAAGUAUUAGUUAAAUUUAAAAUUAAUUGUGUACUAUUAAAAAUUUGUUUGAAAAUGUUUUUAAAAUGACUGAAAGCAUUUUUGAUUAAAAUGUUUUUUAAAUCAAUCCUUAGUAAAACCAAGUGGAUUCUAAAAAGUCAUUUGGAUUACUUUCUACAAAAACCACAUAUCUUGAGCACUUGAAGCACUUUUGGAAUCCAAAAUUAAUUUAACAAAGGUGUGUCUAGUCUUUUUAAUUUUUGAACAAACAAUAUUAUUUAUUUUAAGGGAGGAGAUGAGCUUAACCUCACAAUGGACUAUCAUAUUAAUAAUGUUGUUCAAAUCCACCUUUAUCCAAAAUCAAAUCUAAAACAUCUUACUCACAACUGAAGAGGAAUACCUUUACAUCGUAAUACUAAGCGACAUGUUUUUUUAUUUUUAAGAGACGUGUUUAUUCAUUUUUAAAAGACUUAAAAACCAGCACUAAUUUGUAUUAAAUUCUAAAACCUUUGAAUUGGGAUGUAAUAUGCAUUGGGUCUUUAAUAAUAUUUAAGUUGUUUUCGGCAAAAAAUAAGGGAUUCAAUUGGGAAAAAUAACAAAAUAUGAAAUAAGGAUAUUCUAAUUAAGGUUUUUAUUAAUUAUUUAAGGCGGAUGGUUCAUGUGAAGAUUAUGAAACGCUUUAAUUCUCUAAUGUGCGAUUCCAUUUCGAUCCAAAGUUAAACAGUGACAAAUACAAUUAAGGUUGUUAAUUUUUUUUGGUAAAAACAAUUAAGGUUGUUAUUAAUAUCAAUUCAUGUAUAUUUCCGCAUGUGCCACAUUAUUAAGUUAGGCAGUGAAAAAUAUAUAUCGGAUGUUAUGAGAACAUGUGUGGCUGUCAAGCCCUACACGUGAAUAACAUGCUCUCUACUGCUUUAUUACACCGUGAAGAUUUUAUCCAAAAUUAAUUGACGAUGAGCGAAUAAACUGAAAGAUUAUGCGCAACUUUGAUUAUGCAACGAGUGAAGAGGCAAUUUACACCAACCUCCAGUCAAGAAUUUGGGCUCACAAUCACUAGCCAAUAUGCUUUUUUCUCACAUUUACCCUGACACGGCAAGUUCAUAGUUCAAUAUUCUGGUUCUGGUGUCCUAUGACCCUGACACGGCAAGUUCCACUUUUUGUUCAUUUUCUUGACGAAACCAUCACAUUUACCCUUACGGCACGGCACGGUUCCGGGCAUGGAGUAUGGAUUGGGUUCCGUUGCAGUCCCGACACUACAUAGCACUGUAGAGAAGGAAAUACAAAGACAACUUUGGAUUUCUUACAACGUAUUGAGUCUCUCGUCAUGGCUCUUGCUGUGUUGUUCUUAUUUCACGUCCUGUUUCUCGAGUUUGGUGUUUCCGGUUGCAAAUUUUGGUUCGGCAGUGUAGUGCUCAGGAGAGGGGACUGUCUCACGUUGUUCCAAGCAGACAGAGGCGGUUGACAACGAUUGCGACAAUGUGUUUUUCUACUGGGAGAACAUACAGCAGUCAACAGUUAUCUUUUCACAACCGUCUUCAGUAUUUGGAGGCACCUCAAGAAAUUAUCAAGGACAAACGAAUGUAGAAAAGAAGAAAUAUCAAAGUUAGUUGACAAAAGGGGACGAAAAAUUGUGAGAUACAGAUAAGAAGAUAAGACGAUACUCGAUGCAAAUUUUAACGAGCGAUACAGAGAAGAAACAGCUGCAUUUGGAGACAGCUGCUUUAGUUGCCUUGUUUGUAACAUUAGCUUUCUGCAAUUCCGGGGAAGAAACAGGAGUAAAAAAAACAGAGUCAGGCAGUACCAAAAAAGAAAAAUAUACAAUUAGGAACAAUCGUCACUUCUCAAACUUUGUAGUAGAUCCAGGUUUCCGAAGGACUCGGGGCUAAUGUACCUGCAUUAACAAGAAACAAAGAUCAGAUUUGUGGAAGGGAGUCGCAUAGUAGUUAAAAUACUUGGCCGUGCAUGAAUGGUUUGAGAUACCAUCAUAGAGGCAUCCUCCAGGUGUGAGUUUCUCUCGUAUCUGAUCACUUAUUGUAAGAAUAUCAGUAGUGAAAGUGAAAUACCCGUGUCGGGAAAGGAAGUCAAUGAUGACAAAAGAGCAAUUUGGUUUGAAAUAUUGUGUCCUCGGUAUGAUGCUUGCAACAUGCAUCACCGAAUCCACUUGAAGCUCUCCACCUCUCCAUCUGUUAAAUGUUUCAUAAGCAGCAUUGUUAAAGUUCUCUUUAUUUGGGGGGAUAUUGCAGAUGGUUUUGAAUGAAGAAAGGCAAAAAUUCAUGCUGAAGGCAUAGUUUACAACUAGUAUUUGUAAAAGCUAAGCUCUAAAGUGAGCCUUGAUUCUUUGGCACAAAUAGCUAAAGUUUUGAGAUGGGACAAAAUGGGUCCACAUACAGCGCAUCCGAUGGUGUUGAAAUCCUUUUCCCAGUAAGUCAAAGAUAAGCACCAAGAAAGACAUGACAGUGUUAAACUUAAAACAAAUACAGAACUAAGAAUUGAUGCAUGAAUCAAACAGAGAAAUGGUACAGGCCAUUCUCUUUAUAUUCUUAUAAUCUAAACAUUUCUCCUUAUCAACACUGGAAAAACAGCUUGCUUCAGUCAUAGGAAAUAAAUUGCGCCUAGAGUAUAGAAAAGACAUACCUACAGAUCCUCCUCCUGGACUCUUUGCCGCUAUACGUGAAAACCCAACAUCUGGGAACAACCAAAUUACAUUCUCUGGCAUGGCAAGAACAGUCCUCUGAAAUGUAUCCAUACAAAGUUAAGACACAAAAAACUCAAAAAGGCAAUGUAAUUCACAACAUUGACAAUCUCUGUCUGACAAGGCAAUAAUACCUCUGUAAUGAUCCGGUAGCGACCGUGACCUGAUAGGCCAACACCAAAGCCCAUUGUUAUGCCAUCCAUGAAGAUAGGGCUUCUUGUACUCAGAGAUUUUGCAUAUUAGAGAAUACUCAGCAGUGAAUACCUGAAAAACAUGCAGCACAAGUAUCAUACCGGUAGCCUCUCAAUCUUAAGAAAUGGUAGCUUAGAAAAGAUAUGAAUCCUAUCCAACCACUACAAAUCAUAUUACCCAAGUUCAAGCAAAAUCACGACUAAACAAAUGAUCAGAUGUUGUAGGUUGCCCGAGAAUGUCAAACAUGAAAUUACAAGAAAAAAAACAAUCGUAUGUAUUGAACAUUAAUAAAUACUUGCUGAAAGCACAAUCUUAGCUGCCAUUUAUGACAUUUAUACGAGAUUGAAUAGCCAAAGCAAUUAAAGAAGUAGCAGAACUCAUAUAAGUGAUUUUCACUUUGAACUUUUAGGCUUAUCAGCAAAUACAUCAUUACGAUUCUAACGCAUGAAUUUUGUUAAAAGGGGCUUGCUUGCUUGUAUUAAGGCUUAAUCAUCAAUGAUUUUGCAAGGGUCAAUCGUCUUGAUAGUUGUAAUCUAUGCACUAUGAAAAUUACCAAAAUUACAUCUUAUAUGGUAGAGAAGGAAGUCAUCUUAUAUUAUCUGGAUUUUAGAAAACGGUGUAAGGUUAUAAGUCUGUUAUUCUAUAUAGUUUAAAGGACACAAUUAGACAACAAUCAUAUUUGGUGGUUGGUUUUUGGCCGUGAUCUGCUUCACAUCACCGCCCGCAGGUAAUCUAAAUCUGGGUUAUUACUUAUCAAUGAAUCAAAGUGCCAACUUAUCGGACACCAUCUAUCUCUAUAUGGCAAAAAAAAUAACACAAAAAGGAACAAUGAAGUGAAACAAUAAACAACAUGACAUGAAACAGCACGAACAUCAAAGACCAACAAUCUAUCACAUAAGCACCUAAACAAGAAACAACUUUAGUUCAAAGCAAAGCGUAAUGUAGAAACCUUCGGCACAAGAGGCGUGUUUUUGUCCUUUUGAAUUUCGGCAACAACAACUUUAAUAUCCUUACCUGCACUUACCAUGAUUGCUCACUCUCAAAACCUUACCUAAGAGACCCCAAAACCAAAAUAACUGCCAAAAGAGCUGAACAUACAUAUCUAGAAAAAACUUAUUCAACUACAUGCUAAAAUGGAAGUGUAAAAUUGCCAGGAAAGAUAAGAAACUAUUCAAAUACGAGUUCUGGGCGUUACCGCCACAAAAGGCACGAGCCGAGCGGCUAUCAACAAGAACACACUUCACAUUUGGGUGAGAUUCCCAUUCAUCCAGAUAGCUCUUGUAUUUCACAUCCAAAUCUGCAUUUUCCAACAAUUCCCACUUAAACAGAAACACAAAAUUCUUCCAAAAAAAGCUAACUUCUUCGAAAUUUGAAUCCAACGUUUCGUCUUAUAACAAAUGCAAUAACAUAGAUUUGUAAUCAAUACGAUGCCAUAAAGUUCAAGCUCAAAAAUUCAAAUCAUCUCCAAAUCAAAUGCAAUUACAGAUAUAUACAUAUAUACAUAUACGUUUGUGUGUUUAUCUACAUACCUAGGUUUAUGGCGUUGAGAGCUCGGGGGGUGACCGAGGGUGAUGACGGCGACGCCAAAGGUGCGGAGAAGGCGAGGGGAUUUGGAGGGUUUUGUAAAGAGGGGAUUUGCUCAGAAUUUGGGUCGCUCGUCCCUCUUAUGGGAGUGACUCAAAAAUCGAAAAAGUUGAAAUUUAUUGAUUGUGAUCUGACUCAAACAUGUGAUGAUGACGAUGCAUCACCACCUUGGUUGUGCCUCUGGAUCAAAAACCUACCAUCACCAUCAAAAUCGUGCACAUUUUCCUUCAUAGGCUUGUCCCAUACUAGAUUAACCCCUGUUCCCUUAAUUGUCACAUUAUCAGAUGUACUGUUUCAAAAGUUAUAUCAACUUUAUCCCCGCUUUGCAAAUUGAGCUUAUCGUUCGAUAUUUGUCCCUGCCAAAGAAAACAUUUUCCAGAUACAUUGUGCAUUUUUAUAACCCAAUCUUCCUUGCCUAUGCAGGUCUGCAACUCAGUACGCUUGGUAUUAUUUAUAUCAAUACUGGCACGAGGAUGACCAUCUUUGCAUGUGAAAUAAGGUUUGCUAUGAAUUGAAUAUUUAGGAAUAAAGCAGUAAAAGCACAACAGAGUCAACCCUUCCAAAUUACGACCAUCACUCGGGAGAAUAUCAAAACUGACUUUAUUACCAUCGUUGACAAACUCGAACCAAUCAGGAACAUAAUUCCCUUUGAAAAAAAUGCCACCAUAUCCGCAAGAAGUCCAUCCCUAUAUAUACAGUGCGAGUGUCAUAUAUAUAUAUACACACACAAACACAAUGUACAUGUGUGUGUGUGCAUGUGCGCAAUAGGAAGACAAUUAAAGAGAGAGAUACCUUUAGGACUUUCCUCAUAAAAUCAGCGGUGAGUUCGGCGCAAUCCGUCAUAUCAAUCCAUGUCAUGGAGUUUAAUGACUUAUCCAAGUCUGGAAUCUCAGUGAGUGCGCGUGAAUCACGUACAUUCAGUUCCCUCAUAUUGGACAUUUUCGAAAAAAUUGGGCAUUGUUAACAAACGAUGGCAACAAGACGCAUACAGAAAUUUCAAAUUUGUGUUGGUAAACCAUAGAUUGUAUGAAGGUUAAGGCAGUAAUCUAACCGCAAACUUUCAAGCUUUGAAAGAUCACUGAGGCUGGGUAGGGUAUGAAAAUCAUUAGAUGAGAGAUCUAAAUCUUGUAAAGAAAUUAGACUCCCAAAACCCUUUGAUAAUGGAUCAUCGCUUAACCUCUGGAAUAAGAGAUCUAAAUUUCUUAAAGAGUCAAAGCCCUGUAACAAAUCGCGAAUUUGCAAUGCAAAUUUGGCUCUUCUGGAAGGAAGACCCCCAAUUAGAGAUAAAUGAGUGAGAUUCUUCAAUCUUACUGUGGAACGCGGUACUUGUAUUAUGGCUGUCUCAGAUGCUUUAAGUACUCUCAAUGAUAUUAUAUUCCCUAAAUCCUCGGACAGUUCACUGAAUUGCCCACAAAAAUCAAGAACAAGAGUCUGAACGGAUUUGGACCUGUAGAAAUCCCCAGGAAGAGAAAUAAGAUUCUUGCAGCCUGUGAGGUUCACCAAAGAAAGUUUUUUAAGAUGACCAAUGGAGGGGUGAAUCUCGGACAAACUCUCACACCAUUCCAAUAUCAACUCUUCAAGACUUGGGAGAUUUGAUAAGUCUGGUGAUUUUUUUAAGUCAAGGCAAACACUGAGAUUAAGGAUUUUCAAGUUUUCAAGCAACUGUUGCACAAAAUCCAAGAAAAAUUAAAAUUAAUAUCCAAAAGGAAUAUCUCAUAAAAUAAAUAAAUAAAUAUAGAGAGAAGGAAAUAUAAAAACAAAUAGAAACAUAACAUCAUCAUGUGUAAUCGAUAGUACCUUGGAGCCCUCCCAAACUUGUACCAGUCUGCUGUGCGUUAUCUCUAAAAUAACUAGUGCUCUUGGUUGAUCAAAGAAGUCAUCUGGUAUGGACUUUAAAGGGCAUCCUUCCCAACACAACCAUAUUAACUCUUUGGGGAGAUGUUUGUAUUCUCCAUUGAGCUGCACGUUCUUGAGCAUGAGCAGUCUCAGUUUCUUCAUAUUAGCAAAUGCUUCUGUACUGAUACAACUAGACUUUAAAGGGAAUUCUCCAUGGAGCUGCACUUUAAUGCGCUGGAACAGUAUCAGUUGCCACGUAUCGGCAAAUGCUUCUGUACUGAUACUUGGAGACAGAAGAUCAGGGAAACCUACAACAAGUCCUUCAACUUCUUUGGUUCCCUGUUAACAACACAUUAUACUGGGUAAGAAAAGGAUUAUGUGCAUCUAUUUUACGUGAUUUUGCUAAUUGAGCUUCUUAAUGCAAAUACAUAUAUUUACACAUGAAUGUUUUUAAUGUAUAAUAGGCAUACGUGGGUUACAUAUAUGUUUUUCUUGUACGAUGCAUUAAUACAAUUUUUUUUUGGGAAUCUACUUACAGAUUUAUUUGUUAGUACAUCAUAGACAUCUCCAGGGAUCCACAACCUGCUCCAUUCUCCAGGGGGACGACGGGAAUUUCCAGAUAUGAUUACUUUGGCCAUUUCUCGAAGCAAAUCAUGCAUAUUCAACUUGUUGUCUUCAACAGUUAUAAGGCAUCGUUCACGGAGAUCACAAAUUCCUGCUGUUGCAUAAAAUUUACACCCAUCUAAUAUUUUUGCGACAUGGUCCUUAUCCCAUCCAAUAAAGAAACAAGAUAUGUCAAGGAAUAUAUCCUUCUGUGUAGGAUCUAGCCUUUCAAAGCUUACUCUUAGCGCUUUCAUUAUUCCCUCAUCAGGAAUUUUUUUCAAUUUCUCCAACUGACUUUUCCACUCUGUUGGGGUUCUUUCAAUCAUAGAAGAACCUAAAACUUCAAGGGCUAGUGGCAAACCACCACAGUAAGAAACAACCUCUUUUGAGAGUUCAAGAUAUCCUUCAUUAGGCCAACUAUUUCCAAAGGCAUGCCAACUAAAGAGCUUCAGAGCUUCUUCUUCAAUCAUUUCCUUAAGCGGAUAUGUCUUGUCCACUGUCAUGUUCACUUGCUUUAGUAAACGUUCAUCUCGUGUCGUUAUGAUAAUUCUACUUCCUGGGCCAAACCAAUCACGAUUUCCAGCUAUUGCAUUUAGUUGUUCCACUUUGUCUACAUUGUCAAUAAUGACAAGUACGCUUCUACGUUGGAGAUGAUUUUUUAUCAGACUCAUACCUCGAUCAACACUGGUUAUCUUAGACUCAGUCUGUUUCAAGAUGUCAGAAACAAGUUUUCCUUGCAAAUCAACCAGAUCAUAUUCACUAACGUUGGCAAGGAAACUUUUGAAUUGGAACUUAUGAUGAAUUUGGUUAUAAAUGGCUUUGGCAGCUGUUGUUUUACCCAAUCCACCCAUCCCCCAAAUUCCAACCAUGACAACGUCAUUUGAUCCACCACUUGAAAGAUGAUUGAUAAUAUCUUGAAUGCGAGAAUUGAUUCCAACCGGGUGCUUGGCCACAUUUAAUUCGUUUGCGCUUGGAAGCCAUUCCGGAAUGAUCUUGCCAACAAUUUCUCUAAUAAGCUUUGCUUCGGGCCUGAAAAUUGAAUUCGUAAGCAUUAGCAGGACUCAAUGAACAGUAGGAGCUAUCAGUACAUAGACAAUUUUCUUUCCUUCAUAUAUAUUCUAACUAGCUACUAGCUGGUAUGUGAUUUUUUGACCAACUUGAUAAAAGAAAGAAGUUCAUUCAUUAAUUAAACUCCAAUUACGGUUUAGGUUUUAUAUGAGUGGUUAAGGUGUAUUAAUUAAGCAUGUUAAUUAAUGUUUAAUUAGCUUCUGUAAAAUGUUAAUUAUAUGAGAGACUAAGUCAUUCACUAAAAUGUUUCAAAUCUUGAAAAACAGGUGAAUGAUUACGCAUUGUCAGUGAUUUGGAGAUGUUGGCCAGACAAAUUUGCUGCUUCUGUAAGAGCCUUUCUCCAUUGCUUUACCCUUUCUUGUUUAGUUUCACGUUCCUUGUCAUCUUUUUCUUCACGGAUGCCCUCUUCGUGCUUCUGAAAUGCUUGAGCUAAAUCUCCGUUCUGCUUCCUAACAUGUGUAGGAUCAACAUGAUAGAAUAUUGGCAAAACACGUCGCCCCAGUUUGUAUCUGCACUCCAUGAUCUUCACCAGCUCAUCAAGACACCAACGAGAGUCCGCAUAACUCUUUGAGAAGACAAUGAUAGAGAUCCUCGCCUCUUCGAUUGCCCGGAACAGUUCCUCUUUUAUUUCUUCCCCUCUUUCUAGAUUGUCCUCAUCAAUAUAAGCCUGGUAUCCCCUGUCUGUUAAUGCCGCGUGGAGGUGGCCCGUGAAACCAUUGCGUGUGUCUACACCACUGAAGCUCAAGAACACGUCGUAAUUCCAAAGUGUUGACUUGGAGGAGGAUGAAGAGGAGGCUUCGUGGGUUGUCAUGGCGGUAUCCACCGUUAUGGCACUGCGGUGGUUUAGAUAACGACUAAAAAAUGGCAGUAGUUGUGUUCAUGCUGUCGAACAGAUGAUCCUGAAAUACCUAAACCCAAGUCAAGCUCCUUCAGUCAACAAGAACAAAGUUUAUAAUAUAAUAAUGUUGGUGUAUGGACUUGAGAAACGACAUAAUGUUGGCCAGAAGGUGCAAAGAAAGAGAGGAAAAGAGGAAAGAAAGGAACGAAAGGACAAAGACUAUCCAAAAGAUUAUUGGCUGUGAUUACAGCUAUUCAUAGGAGAAACAACCUGCCCGUCUUCAUAUAUAAUACAUUUCAACAGACAUAUGUUAAUAGGAGAAACAACUUUAGUUUGUACUAGAAAUUUUUACCCGGGCGUUGCUACAGGAUUUGAAAUUGUAUGAAAGAUUAUCUUUGAAAUAUAUAAUAGAUUGUGUGAUUGAAGAUUAAUACUAUUUACAUUGAAAACGUUGGAAAAAGUUUUACAUACAAAAGAUUUUACGAUACAAUCCAUAUAGUCUCCUAUAAAGUUCUGAAGUCGUGGAAGCAUAAAGGACAAAUAACAAAUGAGUUUUGAGAAAUUAUUCCACAAAUGCCAUUCUGCAUAAUGUAUUAAAGAAGAUUGGUAUAAGAUUAGCAAUCAUGAGUAGUGUAACAACAUCAACAAAAUAACCAUAAACCAUAGUUGAACAUAAUUCAAAUUUUGUUUGCAAAAACAAAAGAAAAAGAAAACAGACUUACAAUAAUUCAGUCUUCAAUCCUGAAGUCCUACUCAAAGAGCCAAACUUGAAUGCAAGCUUUCUGAAAUUUUCCAAGCAACACAAAAAAAAAGGUAACAUCCUAGUCAGAAAUGAACCGAGGUGCGAGCUUUCUAAGAAACCCAGAUGACAAAAUCAACAAAAUAGAAAGGAAAAAUGACUUGCACUUUUUAAGGCAUGUCCAAUCUUGAUCUAAAAUUGGUGGUGGGUCGAUUGUUGGUCACCAAAUCUAAAUAAAGAAUUCAUCAGAACCUAGAAAUUUAAACAAAGAAUUUUCCAAAAUCAACAUUUACUAAAAACCAGUUACUUGGUUAUCAAGCAUGAUGGCUUGCCAAAGACUGAAUUAAGGAAUGCACAACUUUACUUUUAUGAUUAUUUUCAACGACAGCUAAAAGGUCAGAUCCAAAUGAAAAUAAAAGUUAGGACUUCACAAAACCAAUUAAAAAUCCAAUUCCAAAGUUACAAACACCCACCAAAUGAUUCCAGAUAAAGUUUUAUACUCAAGGUCAGACCCAAAUGAAAUUAAAAGUUAGGACUUCGCAAAACCAAUUGAAAAUCUGAUUCCAAAGUUCCAAACACCCACCAAAUGAUUCCGGAUGAAGUUUAAACUAAAAAACCCAAUAGAAACAAAAGCAUUGGUGUGAAUUAACUGUAUCUAAUUGAAGAAACUAAAACAAAAGUAAAGCAAAGUAUAUACCUCAAAAUGUCAAGCAACUAAGUUCUUCCUCCGACGACCCAAAACUCUGAAAAUUCCACACAAAAAAAAGGUAAAUCCAUUAGCAAUUCAUAGCCUUCAAAAUUAGCAAAAACUUGGGCAACAAUAAAGAUGCAUUGAUAAAUAUCACUCUUUCUCCUUAUGUAUUUGAAAAGAUAUUUUAUAAGCAGUUUAUGUAGUCAUUCUAAUCAUGUUGCAUAUAAAUUCCUUUUCUACGGAGUUCAAAAAUAUAUGGCAGUUUACGGCAUCUGUUGAAUAACAUGGUUGAAAGAUUUAAAAUUGAUACAUUCAAUUUUUAUGUGUAAAACUAUAACAUAUAGCUAAAGCUAUUGGGUCUAUACAUCCAUAUCAAUCAUGUCGUAAUUGUAUGCUUAUCAAUGUAAAUAGAUGAUUUCAGUCAUGUGAUAACAUGUUUCUUGAUAGUAUAUGCUGAAGUUUGGUCUCAGUUGGAUAAAAAUCAACCAAAAUCUUAGCAAUAGACUCUUUUAACUUUUUUUUUUUUUUGGCGAACAAAGGUGGGGGGGAUGCAACACGAGGACUUCCCAGGAGGUCACCCAUCCUAGUACUACUCUCGCCCAAACUCGCUUAACUUCGGAGUUCUGAUGGGAUCCGGUGCAUGUGAGUUGGUAUGAUCGCAUCCAAAAAAUGAGCACCACAAUACUACACUUAUAAGUUUUAUGCACAAAAUACACAGCACUGACUGGCAAAACAAUAAAACACUCAAAACCCAAAAACAGAAACACAAUUAGGACUCAAAACUCCUCAAAAACAUGAGAGAGAGAGAGAGAGAGAGAGAGUGUGUGUGUGUGAGAGAGAGGAGAGAGAAUAAAAAACAAUAUUAUUUUUCACACAAACUCAAAAUUGCUUAUAAAAUUACAAAUCAAAACAAAUGAAGGCAAAUCCAAAAUUGCCCUAAAUUAAAUCUGAUUAGUUAAAUGUUUGUUGCCCUACAAAUGUCAUUACACACGACAAAACUUGCUUUGAAGUUGAUAUUUUGGUCAAUCCAGGGGAAAAGGAGAGAUUGGUUUUGGAGCAGUUGUCAUGGAGAAUACCAUCUCCCUGUUGAAUGAUCUAAAAAAGGACUUACAGCUUCUGUGGCCAUAAUAAUUUAGGAGGCCCAUCUCUACAGAUUUUCUCAAUAACUUUCCUUUUCGUAGCUGGUAAGAUUGCAACUCCAAGAAUUGCUCUGAAGAGAUAUAUACAAAAAAAAAUCAAACUAAAACUAAGCUAUUGGAAGAAAUUUAGAAAACACAAACACCACUACAACUCAGAGCUAAAGUCAACAGAAAGCAAAUAGUAGAAGUUGAAAAAAUAUAAGGUCGUGAAUUGAGAACUUCAUCAAACUAACAGCAAUAAAAUGUCAUAUAAUCUGUCAAAAACCAAAAAAGAGAGAGAGGUAAUUUCAAGACCUUGUAACGCUGAGGCCUCGUACAGUUGUAGUAAAAAUAUAUGGUUGAUGCACCUGUUGCUCAAUCAAAUCCUUUCUGGCUGAAAAAAUAAAAAUCUAUAAAGACAUUCACGUCCAAUUUAUGAGAAAUCAUGGGAAAGCAAAUGCACUGAUAACAGAAUCAUGAAUAUGAAGAACUUGCCAAAAAGAAAAAGAAACUUUUUAUAGUGUGCCAAAGAACAUCCUCCUACUCCUAGCAAUUUUUUUUAUGGCAUUAUCCACUUCUCAAUUCAUAAUUCAACCAGUAACUCAAACUCUAUAGUGUAUAAAAAUGUGAUAUCUUAGUUGAUCGCGAUGAUAAUUAAGCAGAUUAAAUGACGACCCAUAAAGCAUACAAAAAUUAAGAAAAGAAAAGGUUCGAAACUGCCAUAAGAAAACGCAGAAUAUAUAAACGGGAAAUCAAAAGAAGAGAACCAAACAAAAUUAUUAGGUCUGGGAUCAUCAAAGUCAAACACAAACAAUCCAAAAAUUUGUGGAAAAUACCAAUAAAUGCUCAACUAAAAACGAAAGAAAACGUAGAAUAAGUUUACCUGUUCUUCCCCUAAUUAAACUGAAAUACAAUUCACCACUAAUAUUCUCGUCAUCCUCUUCAGCCUGAAAAAUUUAGUAGAACAUAAUGAUAAGAAUCUAGCAGUAUUUCCAUUGUUUAAACCCCAAAUUCCAGAAAUCAUGAAAAAUGGAAACUUUAUAUGGAAACUGAAGCUUUACCUGCAGAUCAGCAGCAGCAAACGGAAUCCAACGGCAUGUACCUCAAAAAUGAGAGAGAGAGCUGAGAGAUGAGUGAGAGAAUCGAUAAACAAACCCCCCCCCCCCAAAAUCACGAAAGGAAAUUUGAACGGAAAACAAAUUUGAAAAUCCAAAAUCACAAAAACGAAAUUGAAACACCCACACUGAGAAAGCUGUAUAACUCACCAGGAAACGCUAGCCUUUCUGGGUAAAAAAAUUAUUCGGAUCGAAUUGAAGAACGGAGGAAAGUUCUACUGGUUCAGUGGUUAUUCCAGUGUGUCAAGACUUGGCUUGGUUUAUAUAAUUAAUCAAUAAUAUUCCAUACCAAGAGCUAGGUCCAUAUAUUAUACAAUGUUCUAAGGGUUUAACGGAUAGGCGAGGCCUAGUGUCUAAGCAAAUUUAAGUAAAUUUAUUAUAUAUUAUAUAAACUUAAAAUGAUAAAUAAUUGUAUUAGGAUAUAUAAAUUACAAAAUAAAAUAAUAUAUAUUAUAAAGUAUUAAAACAUAGGAGAAAAGACCCAAAUAUGAAUGGGAGAAAAGACCCAAAUAUGAAAAGACAACUAUAAACAAUUAUUCAAGAUGGACGGUAAAUGAUUCAGUCAUUUACAAUAUUCAAAACGUAGGAUCACAAUCUACUGGAUGAUUGUCUUAACUAUUAGGCCAUGCUCUAAAUAUAAUACAUCCAAAUGGGGGUGGACCGCAUAAUACACCCCAAUGGACCGUUUUAAGCUACUCCACUGCUAAAACUAUUGCAAAAUGCGCAUUAGGAUUAUACUUCUAUUAGCUGCGCCCUUCCUCACUAGGCAAAUGAACCAUAUAAUAGUUUCCAAAAAAAAAAAAAAAAAAAAGAACCUUAUAGUACACCAAGAUGGAUGUUAUACACGUUGGAGUUUGAGCAGAAUUCUUUUUGUUAUUUCAUUGUCUCACAUUGCUAGAAUUGAAAAGUUUAUAAUAUAACAAUGUUCACGUAUGAACUUGAGAAACGACAUACUACCGGUUGGGCGGGAAAGUGUGAAGUGAAAGAGAGGAAAGGAAGAAAGAAACGAACACGAAAGGACAAGGACUAUCCAAUAGAUUAUAAACAAUGAUUUAUUGGGGUGAUUACAGUUAUUCAAUUAUCAAUAAUGCAUUAUUUUAGUUUGGAAUUUGGAAGCAUUUGAGAAGUAACAUGACAACAACCACGUAAUAAACAAAAGUGAUUGGAAAAAAGACCGAAAUGUGAAAUAAUAAUUAAAAACAACUAUUCAAGAUUAGUGAUAAAUGAUUCAACCAUUUACAAGAUAUGAAUUUAGAACAACAAUCUAUUAGAUCGUUGUAUUAAUUAUUAAGUGGUGCUCUAAUAUAAUAGAUCCAAAUGGGGACGGACCGUAUAAUACACCCAAAUGAACAACAAUCUAUUAGUUUUUAGGCUCCACUGCUAAAAACUAAAGCAAAAUAGGCAUUAGGAUUAAACUUGUAUUAUCUAUCUUUCCUUACUAGUCAAAUGAACCAUACAAUACACCCAAAUGGAUGCCAUCAUGCCAUAUAUAAACAAUGUUUUGAAAUGACAAGGUAGCUAACGCCGUCAUUUUAUAUUUGUAAGCAACAACCCUAAAUCUUAUUGGAGCUAAUUAACUAAUGUAUUUAUUAGACAGUUGCAUUCCUUAGCAAGUGGUUAACUAUUUUUGUUUAGUUUAGUAGUCAGGUCGUAAUUAAUUAGUCAAAUGAACCAUAUAAUACACCCAAAUGGAUACCAUAUAUGCAUAUAUAAACAAUGUUUUCAAAGGAUGAAAUGACUUUCUUGCCGGUAUGGGGGAAGAGGAAAGAAACUAGUGUUGUGUUUGACUCAUAUAUUUGUGUGUAAUUAUGAGUCAUGUGUUGACAACAAUUGAAGACCAUGUGAAUGCUACAAGGAAAUGGCAGCAACCUUGACUUUGUGUGCAUGCUUUCGGAGUAGUGGCCAAAUGUGGCCAAAUCUACCUUCGGCUAAUAGUGGAAGAUAGUGGAAGACAAUGAUGAUGUUUGCUUGAGAUUCUUUUCUUUGGCCUUUUUCUGUUUCCCAUUUGAAUGCCACGUGAGUGGCUAUGGGGUUUGAUUAAAAGGCAAAGCAGGGAGCAUGAUACAUCAUGAUUGUGUUUGUGAAAAAAGGGAAAGUUGAUUCCUUUUUGCUUUUGCUAUUUAUUUGCUAAGAACCGAAGAGAGCUAGAGUAAAGUGAGAAGCAUACAAGGGGAAGAGCAUUCGGCUCUCCCAUGGGAAAGGUUGAAUAUGAGUUGAGAGAAAAUCAAGAGAGCUAGAGUGAAAAGUAUUCUAGUGAAAGAACUCUUGGGGUAGAGUGAGGUUCUUGGGAAAAUUCUAUGAGUGGAUGUACAAGGGAUUUGGGAUUGGGUUAUGUCGAUUUAACUCAUGUGUACUUGUACUGUUAUUCUCAUAGUGAAGAGCAAUAUCUCUCCGGGGAUGUAGGCAGGUUUUUGCCGAACCUCGUAAAUUUCUCGGUGUCUUUAUUUUUUGUAUUUUAUUCUGUUCAACUGAGUGUGAUUAUGGUGAGGUUGUAAUUUGAAUAUCGAUUCCGCACUAACGAACGGGCCAAGGCACAACAACUAGCACAAAAUUGCAGACCCUAUCGAUCCAUUAUAAUAAAUUUCAAUGGUCCAAGUUGUAAGUUAAUUGUGCAAGAUAAAAACUUAUUUACAAUUAUCAACUUAACCACGUACCUAUGGAAGACAUCGUCUUGGAAAACUAGGAUUAAGAACUGAAGUUCUCCUGCAACUCUACACAACUGAAAGCAAGGCUUGCUCAAUGGGGCUUGAGUUUUCUAUAAACUUGCGUAUUUAGUGGAGAGAGCAGGGACCUCAUUUUUAUACAUGGAAUUCAAUAAGGAUCCCUCCCAUUAAGUGAUCCUUAUCAAAGAGUAGCAUUAUCACCGUAAAACACUUAUGCAUUAUAUCAGUUAAAAGAGUUUUAGUUUUAUUGGGAAUGUAUCUGAGUUGAAACUGUAAAGAUAUACAACUCCUGAUAAGUCUACCACAAGUGUCAAUCCUUAUCUCCUUAUCAUUCCACAUGUCUUUAAUCAAAUCACCAAGUGUUUGCUCUCAUAUAGAACUUACACAAGUCUCAUGUAAUUUCAUCUAACUUAUUUUCUACAACAGUAAAUAUAUUUUAAUGGCUCCGGUUUUCACAUGCCAGUCAGUCACACGCUCAACUCCUCAACGUUCGGGCUUAGUGGCUCGAAGAGAGCUUCCACUUCACUCUGAUUCACAUCCCUCUUACUUUGACGGGUUCCACUUCGGAUUCUGCAUUGACAAAAAACAGAAGCAAAAGAUAACGAUCUGUUCUGAUACAAGGAAAGUAAGAUGAUUGUAUAACUGUAGGUCUAGUAGAGGCUGUAAUGGUUUAUGUUGCAGCAACUCCGUCAGCAAGUGAUUUUAUAGUAAGGAAUCUUGAGCAUGAUUAACGAACCUGAUCCUUGUCCACCAAAACUGCCUGCACACCUUCAGCAAAAUCAUUCCGCAAAGACGAUCUUAUAGCACCGCGAUAUUCAGUUUUCAUCACACCAGUUAGCUGGUAUGGAUCAAGUAAAGCACAUGUUACUCGCUCAGAAAAAGUGAAAUACUACAACACAAAAUCUAUCAAAAGGAUGCAACCAUGCGAUGAAUGAAACGAAAAGGUAGAAAGUAAGACUCACUGGAUAAUUGAUUGUCAUUUUUCGCAAGCGCAGAUGCAACUUUGGAGAAGUAAUUUUGCGUCAAAUAAAGUGAAAGGGGAGCACCAUUUCCAAGACCUUGAAGAGGUUCUUUAGCCCACUCCACCGCUGCAACAGAAACAAUUUGAUAGAAAAUACUUGACAGCCACGUACAAGCCUCUCAAUAGAAGAGUAAGACAGAUUUCAUUUCAUCAUAGAUAAAUAAAUGGCAUUGACAAACUUACCAGUAGCAUCUGAACUCUGCUGCUGCUUUUUAAGUUCAUCAAUUGUCACAAGAACCGACUUAUUUGCACCAAAUGCUGAAGUUAUUUGAGGUAAAAGACUCCUGAGCUGCGCUUCGAAUCUGGGUUGCUGCUGAAUUUCGCCACAGUUGUAAUUGACAACAUUGACAAUUGCCUCUCUGACAAGGCAAUAGUACCUUCGUAAUGAUCCCGGUACCAACUGUGGCCCGAUAGGCCAAUACCGAAGGCCAUUGUUAUGCCCAUGAAGCUUAUACGUGGCCGUCAAGCCCGACAAGUGAAUAGCAUACUCUAGUGCUGUAGUACAUUGUGAGGAUUUUAUCCAAAAUUAAUUGACAAUGAGUGAAUAAGCUGAAAGAUUAUGUACUGACUUUAAUUAUGCAAAGACUGGAGACAAUUUUCACCAACCUCCAAUCAAGAAUUUGGACCUCACAAAUCACUACCCAAUAUGCUUUUCUCUCGUGCCCUUCAUUCAUGGAUCGAUAUUCUGGUGUCCUAGGACCCUGACAUGACAAGUUCCAACUUUUGUUCAAUUUCUCGACGGAACAAUCACAUUUACCCUUACGGAACGGCACGGCUCCGGGCAUAGAAUAUGGGUUGGGUUCCGUUACAGCUCCAUCACUAAUUAGCACUGUAGAGAAGGAAAUAAAAAGACAAGUUUGGAUUUCUUACAACGUUUGCGAUGAUGUGUUUUCUACGGGGAGAACAUACAGGAGUCAGCAGUUAUCUUUUCGCAACCGUCUUUGAUUAUGAAGGAAAGGAAAGAAAAGAAAAAAAACGAAUGUAGAAAGAAAACAUACAAGUUGGUUGACAAAAGGGGAAGAAAAAUUGAGAGAUACAGAGAAUAAGAAAGAAGAAAAUCGAUGCAAAUUUUAAUAUAAAUGUAGUAGAUCCAGGUAUCCAAAGGAUUCGGGGCUAAUGUACCUGCAUUGAUAAAAAACAAAUAUCAGAUUUUUGGAAACGCAUCACAUAGUAGUUAAAACACCCGGCCGUGAAUGAAAGGUCUGAGUUACCGCCAUUUUGGCUAAUACUAUUCUGUAUAUUUACGAAUGGUUUUAAGUUUGGGUUUAAUUGGAUAAUCGGAGAGUAGUGCAUCAAACUAUGGAUAUUCAGAAACCGAAAGCAUAAUUCAUAUUCCUCUAACAAGUCCACGCAAAUGACCACAAUCAGAAUGUUAGUUCAUAGCUGGCCAUAUAGAACGCAAUACAAAAGCACUAAAAGCAUCCAAGUGAAAGUGCUUUCUCCUCAUGUAGUUUCAUUUAACUUAGUUUCACAUGCCAGUCCGUCACACACUCAACUCCUCAACGUUCGGGCUCAAAGCAUUCUUUAUCCUUUCUGUACGAGAGACAAUAAAUUUAUAGUUCUUGUGAUGAAAUCAUGCAAAACAUUCAGAAAUCUUGAUUUAACCCUUUCUCAAGAUCAUAGGUUGUGUCAUCUCAACUUAUAUCUUAGGUCUUAUGAGUGCUCGUAAUACACUAAUAUGACACUUGUUUUCUGGCCAGGACAGAAACAAAAUCAUGCAGGAAAUUGUCACGACAACUUAAGUGUAAAAUGCGACCGGAAAAGCACUAAACAGGAUAGUUAUGCUCUCACAGUGUAAACCUUAACAACAAAGACUAUACCGUAUCUGUCACAGUGAUAUGCGACCAUAAGCCCAACUCCAAGGAUCAGCUUCCAAGAGCUUUGAAGGCUACAGAUCAAAAGUUACAUGCAGUGAUGACAUAAUCAUGAAAAAAUACAAUCAUAAAUUAAAGGAAAACAUACUGACUUCUAGUUCUGGCAAUUCACUAUUGGGCCAUAUAUUUGAACCACAGUAUGAUGGAUACCUACAAUACAGAUCACAAAUAAAAUCUGAGCAGACACAAAGUAUUAUGUUCUGUUUACGCAAAAUCUGUAAGUUCUCAAAUAGGAUAAAUAAAGAUAAACAUAUCCCAGCAUAAAGACGAUUUGUCCUGGUUAAUUCUAAGAAACCUUGUAUCAAAUGUAUGAUAGUUAUUCAUAACUAACACAAACAACUGUUUGGCCAAACAUUACUGGUAUGAGCCAUAUACUGUGUGACCUGAGACAAAACAGAUCCCACAUGUACUCGGAUUAUGAUUGAUGUCCCUAUUGACUUUUACCUUUGAAUUAGAGAUUCAUCUGUUGUAGGGCUAUCCAAUAUUGGAUUUGCAUAAAACGAGCCUUUUAACGUAUCUGCAAAACCAGAACACAAACGGAAAAUGAAUGAUCCUAAGUUCUUAGAGUUUCCAAAGAGACAAAAUUUAAAACAAAGAACAUAAAGUGAUACCCGGCUUUCCAAAUUCCAGCUUCUCUUUUCCAUGACUCCAUCCAAAAUUGUACCUAAACAUGGAUGGCAGGUAAAAAGAAGAUAAGCAAUAAAACUUUGUAAAGAUUCCCAAGAAAAGCAAUAAAACUACGUAAAUAUUAGUUAAUAAUGUCAAGACCAUAGUCUGUGACAAAUCCAAGAGUUGAGAUGAGACUAUCUUUCUGGCAGGAAUUUUUGGAAAUUUUCUCUAUUGUAAGGAGAUAGAUUGAUGUUUGUGUUUACACGAAAAUUAUGCCAACGGCUUAAGAGAAAUCAAAGUAUAACAAUGGGACUAAAAUGACUUACCUACUAUGAGGAUCUUCCAGUUCCUUCUUCACCUCUUCAGGCAGAUUGGCUAAUCUAAUAAACGAAAAGAAAACUCCCAUGAGCAGUGCUAUAACAAACUAUCUUCCUAAAUUCAUUAUGAGUUGCAGUUAAAACUUAAAAUGAACAUGAAAAUCCUAUGUAGAAGGGAUAUACCUAGGUUAAAAGCGUAGAAGAUUCCUGCGCAAGGAAGAAUAUCCCGGAACCUGCAAUUGGAAACUCAAUGAAACAAUUACAAAGAUGCUAGAAAGAAAAUACUUAUCAGUUUACAACAGAAUGCUAGCUCUCACAAGAAUCGAUUAGGUAUGAAGCAUCAAAACAAUAACAUGAGACAUCAUAAUUUAUGAGCUAUGAAUGGAAUAAUGGAGCAAAAUAUCGUAGCCCAAACAGCACAAUCUACGAUCUACAUGACGGAGAAAGUACCCCGGCAUUACAUAUGCAAGUUCAUGGGUUCACAUGUAAGCAUGUGGUUUAUCUUUUUAACCGAUUCGUUAACAAAUUCUUUCUGCACGUAUAGUUUCAACCCGAAACCUAAAAUUCCAUAGUCAAACAAAUAUGCAUAAUAGCAGAAUUAAGUAAAAAAACAACAUAUCACCAUACUGAUACUGAUGUGAUUCAGAAUUAAGCAUUUUAACUUACCAAAACUGGUAAUGGAAGAGAUAAUCAGUAAUUAACUAGGGUAAUCGCAUAACAAAAUCAUACUUGAGUGAUUGAUAGGAUUCCCAACCCAUUGGGUCCAAAUCCUUCUUCAAUCUUCACUGACAAGUCUUUGUCCUUGUCUUGUAUCAAUCAAUCCAAAAUAAAAAAACGAUAAUUAGAAAAAUCGAAUUCUCGACAUGAUUGACUGAGUUAAAACAUAGCAAUUAAACAAAACUAUGAAUAAAACAAUUAGAUUCUGUUUGGUUGCUGAGAAAAUGAAGAGAAUAACAACCAAAAAGUCAACUGAAAUAGAAUUUUGCUCUAAUUUCAACGAAUUCUCUUGAGUUUCUGAGCACCCAAACAGAAAAAAAAUUAAAGCCAAUCAAACCAAACUCUCAUGCUCAAUUUUCUCGCAACCACAAACAGAACUUAGAGGGAGAGACAGAGUUACUUGGAGCUCGGAGUAGGAUAUGGUGACUGGUGUGACGGUGGGGACGGCGAGGUCGGAGGACGGAGGCAUAGUUCGACAAGAAAUUUGGCGGGAAAGACGGCGGUUGGACUGUGACGGUGGGGAAGAAUCCGUGGGAACGAAGAGGAAUUUUGGUGCGGAAGGACGGCUUUUAUAUAGAAGGGAGGGAGAGAGGUUGAGAGCGAAAGGCGUGAUUGUCAAUUUCAAAUAUUUUUGAAGGAAUAAAGAAAGAAGGGAGGUUGAGCAUCAAUUCCCUUUCCCUCCGAACCAAAGAAUACACGCAACUUUAACGAAAAGUUUUCGGUACGGUUCAUUUUUACACUAAAAUGUCAAUCUUGAUACUAUUCACUUUACUCUUUAUUUUGUUCUUAUCGUUAAAACUCAAAGUUUUCAAGCCAUUUUCAUUAGUUUCCUUAAGAAUAUAUGCACGAUCACGAUGUGUGGCAAAACUUGAAGGUGGAGACGAAUAUAUUAAAUACAUAUAACUAUUACUGUAUUAGUUCAAUUUAAAAUUAAUUACAUACUUUAAGGAUUUGUUUGAAAGUAUUUUUCAAAUAAUUAAAAGUGUUUUUGAUUAACAUGUUUUUUAAAUCAAUCUUUAGUAUAACUAAGUGGAUCUUAAAAAAGAACUUGAGGUGCUUUCUACAAAAAAAUACAUGUCUGGAGCACUUGAAGUGUUUUUGGAACCCAAAAUCAAUUUAAUAAAAGUGGGUUUAAUCUUUUUUUUUUUUUUUUUUGAACAAACGAUAUCAUCUAUCUUUAAGGUGAGAAAAUAGGCUUAACCUCACAAUGGCCUAGCACAUAAAUAAUGUGAUUCAAAUUCGCUUUUGGUGAGAAUCGAAUCUAAGACUUCUCACUUACAAAUAAGGAGGAAUACCCUAAAUCAUAGUACUAAGUAAUGUGUUUAGUUAUUUUUAAAAGACUUCAAAACAAGCCCUAAUUUGUAUCAAAUUCAAAAAAUUUGAAUUGGGCGGAUGUAAUAUGUAUUGGGUAUUUCCUCAUUCAAUAAUAUUUACGUUGUUUUCGGCAAAAAAGAAAGAAUUCAAUUGGAAAAAAAUAAAAAAAUGGGAAAUAAGGAUAUUCUAGUUAAGGUUUUUAUUAAUUGUUUUAGGUGGAUGGUUCAUAUGAAGAUUAUGAAAACGCUUUAAUUCUCUAAUGUGAGGUUCCGUCUCGAUCCAAAGUUAAUCAGUGAAAAAUAUAAUUAAGAUUGUUAUUAAUUAUCAAUUCAUGUAUAUUUCCCCAUGUAUUACGUUACUAAGUUAGACAAUGAAAAAUACAUAUAAGGCGUUAUGAGAAUAUGCGUGGCUGUCAAGUCUGACACGCAAAUAGCAUGCUCAACUUGAAUUACUCUCUAAGGAUUUUAUCCAAAAUCGACGAUGAGUGAACAAGUUGAAAGAUUAUGCACGACUUUCAUUAUGUAACAAGUGAAGAGGCAAUUUUCGCCAACCCUGACACGACAAGUUCCACUUUUUGUACAUUUUCUUGACGAAACAAUCACAUUUACCCUUACGAUUCCGGGCAUAGAGUAUGUGUUGGGUUCCGUUACAGUUCCGACGCUACUUAGCACUGUAGAGAAGGAAAUAAAAAGACAACUUUGGAUUUCUUACAACGUAUUGAGUCUCUCUUCAUGGCUCUUGCUGUGUUGUUCUUAUCUCACGUCCUGUUUCUCGAGCUUGGUGUUUCCGGUUGCAAAUUUUGGUUCGCCGGUGUAGUGCUCAGGGGAGGGGACUGUCUCACAUUGUUCCAAGCAGACAGAGGCGGUUGACAACGAUUGCGAUAAUGUGUUUUUCUACUGGGAGAACAUACAGCAGUCAGCAGUUACCUUUUCACAACCGUCUUCAGUAUUUGGAGGCACCUCAAGAAAUUAUCAAGGACAAACGAAUGUAGAAAAGAAGAAAUAUCGAAGUUGAUUGACAAAGGGGGCCGAAAAGUUGAGAGAUACAGAGAAGAGGAAGAUAAGAAGAAACUCGAUGCAAAUUUUAAGCUAGAUUAGUUAUUUUUCAUUAACGAGCGAUACAGAGAAGAAGAAACAGCUGCAUUUGGAGAUAGCCGCUUUAGUUGCCUAGUUUGUAACAUUAGCUUUAUGUAAAUCCGGGGAAGAAACAGGAGUAAAAAAAACACAAUCAGGCAGUACCAAAGAAGAAAAAUGUACAGUUACGAACAAUCACCACUUCUCAAACUUUGUAGUAGAUCCAGGUAUCCGAAAGACUCGGGGCUAAUGUACCUGCAUUAACAAAAAACAAAGAUCAGAUUUGUGUAAGGGAGUCGCAUAGUAGUUAAAAUACUCGGCCAUGCGCGAAUGGUUUGAGAUACCACCAUAGAGGCAUCCUCCAGGUGUGAGUUUCUUUCGUAUCGGAUCACUUAUUGUAAGAAUAUCAGUAGUGAAAGUGAAAUACCAGCGUCGGUAUUGAAAAAUUGUGUCCUCCGUAUGAUGCUUGCAACAUGCAUCACCGAAUCAACUUGAAGCUCUCCACCUCUCCAUCUGUUAAAUGUUUCAUAAGCAGCAUUGUUAAAGUUCUCUCUGGUUGGGGCGAUAUUGCAGAUAGUUUUGAAUGAAGAAAGGCAAAAAUUCAUGCUGAAGGCAUAGUUUACAACUAGUAUUUGUAAAAGCUAAGCUCUAAAGGUCUCACCUUGAUUCUUUGGCACAAAUAGCUAAGUUUUGAGAUGGGACAAAAUGGGUCCCAAGACCCACAUACAGUGCAUCCGAUGGUGUUGAAAUCCUUUUCCCAGUAAGUCAAAGAUAAGCACCAAGAAAGACAUGACAGUGUUAAAACAAAUACAGAACUAAGAAUUGAUGCAUGAAGCAAACAGAGUAAUGGUACAGGCCAUUCUCUUUAUAUUCUUAUAAUCUAAACAGUUUCUCCUUAUCAACGUUGGAAAAACAGCUUGCUUCAGUCAUAGGAGGGAAAUUGCGCCCGAGUAUAGAAAAUACAUACCUACAGAUCCUCCUCCUGGACUCUUUGCCGCUAUACGUGAAAACCCAACAUCUGGGAACAAACAAAUUACAUUCUCUGGCAUUAGCAAGAACAGUCCUCUGAAAUGUAUCCAUACAAAGUUAAGACACAAAAAAUUCAAAAAGGCAAUGUAAUUCACAACAUUGACAAUCUCUGUCUGACAAGGCAAUAAUACCUCUGUAAUGAUCCAGUAGCGACCGUGACCUGAUAGGCCAACACCAAAGCCCAUUCUUAUGCCAUCCAUGAAGCUUAUAUAGGGCUUCUUGUACUCUGAGAUUUUGCAUAUUAGAGAAUACUCAGCAGUGAAUACCUGAAAAACGUGCAGCACAAGUAUCAUACCGGUAGCCUCUCAAUCUUAAGAAAUGGUAGCUUAGAAAAGAUAUGAAUCCUAUCCAACCAAUACAAAUCAUAUUACCCAAGUUCAAGCAAAAUCAAGACUAAACAAAUGAUCAGAUGUUGUAGGUUGCCCGAGAAUGUCAAACAUGAAAUUACAAAAGAAAAAAAAUAAUCGUAUGUAUUGAACAUUAAUAAAUACAUGCUGAAAGCACAAUCUUAGCCGCAAUUUAUGACAUUUAUACGAGAUCGAAUAGAAAAAGCAAUUAAAGAAGUAGCAGAACUCACAUAAGUGAUUUUCACUUUGAACUUUUAGGCUUAUCAACAAAUACAUCAUUACGAUUCUAAUGCAUGAAUUUUGUUAAAGGGGGCUUGCUUGCUUAUAUUAAGGCUUAAUCAUCAAUGAUUUUGCAAGGGUCAAUCAUCUUGCUAGUUGUAAAUCUAUUCACUAUGAAAAUGACCAAAAUACAUCUUAUAUGGUAGUGAAGGAAGUCAUCUUAUAUUAUCUGGAUUUUAGAAAACGGUGUAAGGUUAUAAGUCUGUUAUUCUAUAUAGUUAAAAGGACACAAUUAGACCUCAAUCAUAUUCGGUGGUUGGUUUUUGGCCGUGAUCUGCUUCACAUCACCGCCUGCAGGUAAACUAAAUCUGGGUUAUUACUUAUCAAUGAAUCAACGUGCCAACUUAAUGGACACCAUCUAUCUCUAUAUGGCAAAAAAACAACACAAAAAUGAACAAUGAAGUGAAACAAUAAACAACAUGAUGUGAAACAGCACGAACAUCAAAGACUAACAAUAUAUCACAUAAGCACCUAAACAAGAAACAACUUUGGUUCAAAGCAAAGCGUAAUGUAGAAACCUUCGGCAGAACAGGGGUGUUUUUGUCCUUUUGAAACAACCACUUUAAUAUCCUUUCCUGCAUUUACCAUGAUUGGUCACUCUUAAAACCUUACCUAAGAGACCCAAAAACAAAAAUAACCGCCGAAAGAGCUAAACAUACAUAUCUAGAAAAACUUAUUUAACUGAAUGCUAAAAUGGAAGUGUAAAAUUGCCAAGAAAGAUAAGAAACUAAUCAGAUACGAAUUCUGGGCGUUACCGCCACAAAAGGCACGAGCGGAGCGGCUAUCAACAAGAACACACUUCACAUUUGGGUCAGAUUCCCAUUCAUCCAGAUAGCUCUUGUAUUCCACAUCCAUAUCUGCAUUUUCCAACAAUUCCCACUUAAACAGAAUCACAAAUUUCUUAAAAAAAAAGAAGCUAGCUUCUUCGAAAUUUGAAUCCAACGUUUCGCCUUAUAAAAUGGAAGUGUAAAAACCUACUAUCACAAUCAAAUGCUUAUUUAACUGCAUGCUAAAAUGGAAGUGUAAAAUUGCCAAGAAACACACUUCACAUUUGGGUCAGAUUCCCAUUCAUCCAGAUAGCACUUAAACAGAAACACAAAAUUCUUAAAAAAAAAAGAAGCUAGCUUCUUCGAAAUUUGAAUCCAACAUUUCGUCUUAUAACAAAUGCAAGAACAUAGAUUUGUACUCAAUAAGAUGCCAUAAAGUUCAAGCUCAAAAUUUCAAAUCAGCUCCAAAUCAAAAGCAUUUACAGAUACAUACAUAUAUACAUAUACGUGUGUGUGUGUUUAUCUACAUACCUAGGUUCAUGGCGUUGAGAGCUCGGGGGGCGACCGAGGGUGAUGUCGGCGACGCCAUUUGGGUGGACGCUGCCCUUGACGAACGCCUCGGCGGAGGCCAUGAUCCCGAAUGUGCGGAGAAGGCGAGGGGAUUUGGAGGGUUUGUAAAGAGAGAGCUUCAAAUUUGGAAUGAGGAAGAAGAAAGCGGACGACUAUUUGCUCAGAAUUUGGGUCGCUCGUCAAUAAGCUUCCCAUUACUUCCGUUUGAGAGUAACUGUCAGUGUCGAGAGAGACAGAUAUUUUUGGUGCUUCUGGACCGGACUACCCUUGAUGUUUCGGUCAAAUUACCGGGAAAAGGAACCGCCGCAGUGGCUAUGGAGGGAAAGUUGGAAUUUGAAAGCAGUAAGUAUGGACUUGCCUUCAUUUAUUGAACUGAGAAAUCGAAAACUGAAAGAGGCGUUUGACGAACUGAGAAAUCGAAAACAUGUGAUGAUGACUAUGCAUCACCACCUUGGUUGUGCCUCUGGAUCAAAAACCAACCAUCACGAUCAAAAUCGUGGAUAUUUUCCUUCAUAGGUUUGUCCCAUACUAGAUUAACCCCUGUUCCUUGAAUUGUCGCAUAAUAAUUUUUAUAGUCCAUCUCUGGCAUUUCAAAAGUUAUAUCAACUUUAUCCCCGCUUUGCAAAUUGAGCUUAUCAUUCGAUAUUUGUCCCUGCCAAAGAAAACAUUCUUUAUAUACAACAUCGCGCAUUUUUAUAACCCAAUCUUCCUUGCCAAUGCAGGUCCGCAACUCAUUACGCUUGGUAUUAUUUAUAUCAAUACUGGCAUGAGGAUGAGCAACUUUACAUCUGAUAUGAGAGCUUGACUGAUGAAGAUCUGAGGAGUAAAAGCAUAACAGAGUCAGCCCUUCAAAAUUACGACCAUCACUCGGGGGGAUAUCAAAACUGACUUUAUCACCAUUGUUGACAAACUCGAACCAAUCAGGAACAUAAUUCCCAUUGAGAAAAAUGCCACCAUAUCCACAAGAAGUCCAUCCCUAUACAUACAGUGCAAAUGUCAUAUAUAUACAUGUGCGUUGUGUGUGUGCAUGUGCGCAAUAGGAAGGCAAUUAAAGAGAGAUACCUUUAGGACGUUCCUCCUAAAAUCAGCUGUGAGUUUGGGGCAAUCCCUCAUGUCAAUCCAUGUCAAGGAGUAUAAUGACUUAUCCAAGUCUGGAACCUCAGUGAGUGCGUAUGAAUUACAUACAAUCAGUUCUCUCAUAUUCGACAUUUUCGAAAAAUUGGGCAUUGUUACCAAAUGAAGGCAAUUAGGCGCACCCAGAAAUUUUAAAUUCGUUGGCAAAUCAUAAAUUGUACGAAGCUCCAAGCAAUCAUGUAACCAGAGACUUUCAAGCUUUGAAAGAUCACUUAGGCUGGGUAGGGUAUGAAGGUGAUGGAAGUUCCUUAACCGCAAACUUUCAAGCUUUGAAAGACCACUGAGGCUGGGUAGGGUAUGAAGGUGAUGGCAGUUACUUAACUGCAAACUUUCAAGCUUUGAAAGACCACUGAGGCUGGGUAGGGUAUGAAGGUGAUGGCAGUCACUUAACUGCAAACAUUCAAGCUUUGAAAGACCACUGAGGCUGGGUAGGGUAUGAAGGUGAUAGCAGUUACUUAACUGCAAACUUUCAAGCUUUGAAAGACCACUAAGGCUGGGUAGGGUAGGAAGGUGAUGGCAGUUACUUAACUGCAAACUUUUAAGCUUUGAAAGAUCACUGAGGCUGGGUAGGGUACGAAGGUGAUAGCAGUUACUUAACUGCAAACUUUUAAGCUUUGAAAGACCACUGAGGCUGGAUAGGGUAUGAAGGUGAUGGCAGUCACUUAACUGCAAACUUUCAAGCUUUGAAAGACCACUGAGGCUGGGUAGGGUACGAAGGUGAUAGCAUUUACUUAAUUGCAAACUUUCAAGCUUUGAAAUACCACUGAGGCUAGGUAGGGUACGAAGGUGAUGGCAGUCACUUAACUGCAAACUUUCAAGCUUUGAAAGAUCACUGAGGCUGGGUAGGGUACGAAGGUGAUGGCAGUCACUUAACUGCAAACUUUCAAGCUUUGAAAGACCACUGAGGCUGGGUAGGAUAUGAAGGUGAUAACAUUUACUUAACUGCAAACUUUCAAGCUUUGAAAGACCACUGAGGCUGGGUAGGGUUUCAAGGUGAUGGCAGUCACUUAACUGCAAACUUUCAAGCUUUGAAAGACCACUGAGGCUGGGUAGGGUAUGAAGGAGAUAGCAUUUACUUAACUGCAAACUUUCAAGCUUUGAAAGACCACUGAGGCUGGGUAGGGUAUGAAGGUGAUGGCAGUCACUUAACUGCAAAUUUUCAAGCUUUGAAAGACCACUGAGGCUGGGUAGGGUAUGAAGGUGAUAGCAUUGACUUAACUGCAAACUUUCAAGCUUUGAAAGACCACUGAGGCUGGGUAGGGUAUCAAGGUGAUGGCAGUCACUUAACUGCAAACUUUCAAGCUUUGAAAGACCACUGAGGCUGGGUAGGGUAUGAAGGAGAUAGCAUUUACUUAACUGCAAACUUUCAAGCUUUGAAAGACCACUGAGGCUAGGUAGGGUAUGAAGGUGAUGGCAGUCACUUAACUGCAAACUUUCAAGCUUUGAAAGACCAUUGAGGCUGGCUAGGGUAUGAAGGUGAUAGCAUUUACUUAACUGCAAACUUUUGAGCUUUGAAAGACCACUGAGGCUGGGUAGGGUAUGAAGGUGAUGGCAGUCACUUAACUGCAAACUUUCAAGCUUUGAAAGACCACUGAGGCUGGGUAGGGUAUGAAGGUGAUGGCAGUCACUUAACUGCAAACUUUCAAGCUUUGAAAGACCACUGAGGCUGGGUAGGGUAUGAAGGUGAUAACAUUGACUUAACUGCAAACUUUCAAGCUUUGAAAGACCACUGAGGCUGGGUAGGGUAUGAAGGUGAUGGCAGUCACUUAACUGCAAACUUUCAAGCUUUGAAAGACCACUGAGGCUGGGUAGUGUAUGAAGGUGAUAGCAUUUACUUAACUGCAAACUUUCGAGCUUUGAAAGACCACUGAGGCUGGGUAGGGUAUGAAGGUGAUGGCAGUCACUUAACUGCAAACUUUCAAGCUUUGAAAGACCAUUGAGGCUGGGUAGGGUAUGAAGGUGAUAGCAUUUACUUAACUGCAAACUUUCGAGCUUUGAAAGACCACUAAGGCUGGGUAGGGUAUGAAGGUGAUGGCAGUUACUUAACUGCAAACUUUCAAGCUUUGAAAGACCACUGAGGCUGGGUAGGGUAUGAAGGUGAUGGCAGUCACUUAACCGCAAACUUUCAAGCUUUGAAAGACCACUAAGGCUGGGUAGGGUAUCAAAAUCAUUGUUUGAGAGAUCUAAAUUUCUUAAAGAGUCUAAGCCGUGUAACGAAUCAGGAAAUCGCAAGGGAAACUCUGAUCCCACACCUGCUAGAGAUAAAUGAGUGAGAUUCAUCAACCUUACUGUGGAACGUGGUACUUGUCUUAUGGCUGUGAAAGAUGCUUUAAGUACUCUCAAUGAUAGCAUCUUCCCUAUAUCCUCGGGCAGUUCACUGAAUUGGCAACAUUCAUCAAGAACAAGAGUCUGAACGGAUUUUGACUUGUAGAAAUCUCCAGGAAGAGAAAUAAGAUUCUUGCAGCCUGUGAGGUUCACCAAAGAAAGUUUUUUAAGAUGACCAAUGGAGGGGUGAAUCUCGGACAAACUCACACACCAUUCCAACAUCAACUCUUCAAGAUUUGGGAGAUUUGAAAAGUCUGGUGAUUUUUUUAAGUCAAGGCAACUUCUGAGAUCAAGGAAUUUCAAGUUUUCAAGCGACUGUUGCACAAAAUCAAAGGAAAAUUAAAAUUAAUAUCCAAAAGGAAUAUCUCAUUAAAAAAAGAGAAGGAAAUCCAAAAGCAAAUAGAAUCAUAACAUCAUCAUGUGUAAUCGACUGUACCUUGGAACCCUCCCAAACUUGUACAAGUUUGCCAGACGUUAUCUCUAAACUAACUAGUCUUGGUUGAUCAAAGAAGUCAUCUGGUAUGGACUUUAAAGGGCAUCCAGACCAACUCAACCAUAUUAACUCUUUGGAAAGAUGUUUGUAUUCUCCAUUGAGCUGCACUUUGCAGAGCUGGAGCAGUCUCAGUUUCUUCAUAUUGGCAAAUCCUUCUGUACUGAAACAACUAAACUUAGAAGAAUGCUUCUGUACUGAAUCUGGAGCAAGUUCAACUUCUUCAGUUUCCUGUUAACAAAAGGUUAUAUUCAUGAGUAAGAAACGGAUUAUUUGCAAAUGCUUCUGUACUGAAAGAACUAGACUUGUUAGAGCUUUGUACCCGAGGAGGAGGGCCAUAUAGAGCAAGUCCUUCAACUUCUUCAGUUCCCUGUUAAGAAAAGGUGAUAUUCAUGUGUAAGAAACGAAUUAUUUGCAUACGUUUACAUGUAUGAAUACAUGCAAGUACUAUUGUUCGCUAAUUGAGAUGAAUGUUACUUAAUGUGUAAUACACAUCCGUGAGUUAUAUGUGCUUUUCAUGUACGAUGCAUUAAAUUCAAAAUUUUAUUAGGAAUGUACUUACAGAGUUAUCUCCUAAUACUUUAGUGACCUCUUGAUGGUUCCACAACCUACUCCAUUUUCCAGGGUGACGAGGGAAUUUUUCAGAAAUGAUUAAUUUGGCCAUUUCUCGAAGCAAAUCAUGCAUAUUCAACCUGUUAUGUUCAACAGUUACAAGGCAUCGUUCACGAAGGUCACUGAUUCCUACUGUUGCAAAAAACUCACAUCCAUCUAAUAUUUUUGCGACACGGUCCUUAUCCCAUCCAAUAAAGAAACAAGAUAUGUCAAGGAAUAUAUCCUUCUGUGUAGGAUCUAGCCUUUCAAAGCUUACUCUUAGCGGUUUCAUUAUUCCUUCCUCGGGAAAUUUUUUCAAUUUCUCCAACUGAUUUUUCCACUCCGUUGGGGUUCUUUCAAUCAUAGAACCACCUAAAACUUCAAGGGCUAGUGGCAAACCACCACAGUAAGAAACAACCUCCUUUGAGAGUUCAAGAUAUCCUUCAUUAGGCCAACUAUUUCCAAAGGCAUGCCAACUAAAGAGCUUCAGAGCUUCUUCGUCAUUCAUUUCCUUAAGUGGAUAUGUCUUGUCCACUUUCAUGUUCACUUGCUUUAGUAAACGUUCAUCUUGUGUCGUUAUGAUAAUUCUACUUCCUGGGCCAAACCAAUCACGAUUUCCAGCUAUUGCAUUUAGUUGUUCCACUCUGUCUACAUUGUCAAUAAUGACAAGUACACUUCUACGAUGGAGAUGAUUUUUUAUCGGACUGAUACCUUCAUCAACACUGGUUAUCUCAGGCUUGGUCUGUUUCAAGAUGUCAGAAACAAGUUUUUUUUACGAAACAACCAGAUCUUUUUCACUAACGUUGUCAAGGAAACUUUUGAAUUGGAACUCAUGAUGAAUUUUGUUAUAAAUGGCUUUGGCAGCUGUUGUUUUACCCAAUCCACCCAUCCCCCAAAUUCCAACCAUGCAAACAACAUCUGAUCCAGCAUUUGAAAGAUAAGUGAUGAUAUCUUGAAUGCGAGUAUAUAUUCCAACUGGGUGCUUGGCCAUUUGUAAUUCUUCUGCGAUCGGAAGCCAUUUCGGGAUAAUCUUGUCAACAAUUUCUCUAAUAAGCUUUGCUUCGCGCCUGAAAAUUAAAUUUGUGAGCAUUAGUGGGACUCGAUGAACACUAGGAGCUAUCAGUAUAUAGACAAUUUUCUUUCCCCCAUGGCCCCAUAUAUAUUCUAACUAGCUACUAGCUAGUAUAUGAUUUUUUGACCAACCUGAUAAAAGAAAGAACUUAAUUAAACUCCAAUUACGGUUUAGGAUUUAUAUGAGAGGUUAAGAUGUAUUAAUUUAAUUAAGCAUGUUAGCCAAUGUUUAAUUAGCUUCUGUAAAAUGUUAAUUAAGCAUGUUAAUUAUAUGAGAGAUUAAGUCAUUCACUAAAAUGUUUCAAAUCUUGAAAAGCAGGUGAAUGAUUACCCUUUGUCAGUGAUUUGAAGAUGUUGGCCAGACAAAUUUGCAGCUUCUGUAAGAGCCUUUCUCCACUGCUUUACCCUUUCUUGUCUAGUUUCACGUUCCUUGUCAUCUUUUUCUUCACGGAUGCCCUCUUCGUGCUUCUGAAAUGCUUGAGCUAAAUCUUCAUUCUGCUUCCUAACAUGUGAAGGAUCAACAUGAUAGAAUAUUGGUAAAACAUGUCGCCCCGGUUUGUAUCUGCACUCCAUGAUCUUCACCAGCUCAUCAAGACACCAACUCGAGUCCGCAUAACUCUUUGAGAAGACAAUGAUAGAGAUCCUCGCCUCUUUGAUUGCCCGGAACAGUUCCUCUUUUAUUUCUUCCCCUCUUUCUAGAUCAUCCUCAUCGAUAUAAGCCUGGUAUCCCCUGUCUGUUAAUGCCGCGUGGAGGUGGCCCGUGAAACCAUUGCGUGUGUCUACACCGCUGAAGCUCAAGAACACGUCGUAAUUCCAAAGUUUUGACUUGGAGGAGGAUGAAGAGGAGGCUUCGUGGGUUAUCAUGGCGAUAUCCACCGUUAUGGCACUGCAGUGGUUCAGAUCACGACUGCAAAAAUGGCAGUAGUUGUGUUCGUGCUGUCGAACAGAUGAUCCUGAAUUACCUAAACCCAAGUCAAGCUCCUUCAGUCAUCAAGAACAAAGUUUAAAAUAUAAUAAUGUUGGCAUAUGGACUUGAGAAACGACAUAAUGUUGCCGGAAGGUGCAGAGAAAGAGAGAGGAAAAGAGGAACGAAAGGACAAAGACUAUCCAAAAGAUUCUUGGCUGUGAUUACAGCUAUUCAUAUGAGAAACAACAGACAUAUUUUCAUAGGAGAAACAACCUGCCCAUCUUCAUAUAUAAUACAUUUCAAUGGACAUUUUAAUAGGAGAAACAACUUUAGUUUGUACUAGAAAUUUUUACCCGCGCGUUGCUGCGGUAUUUGAAAUUGUAUGAAAGAUUAUCUUUGAAAUAUAUAAUAGAUUGAGUGAUUGAAGAUUAAUACUAUUUACAUUGAAAAUGUUGGAAAAGUUUUACAUACAAAAGAUUUUACGAUACAAUCCACAUACAAAAGAUGGGAAAUUUUUUUCUAUCUAUAUGCAUUAUGUUAUGGAAUGAUAUAUAUAUAUAUAUAUAUAUAUAUAUAUAUAUAUAUAUAUAUAUAUAUAUAACUAAGUGCCAGAAUACGUAACUUCAUAACUUGGAAAUCUUUAGACAAAUUAAUCAGAUUCAACUGUGGGAUAGCAGCGUCGCCUAUAACGUUGUGAAGUCGUGGAAACAUAAAGGACAAAUAACAAAUGAGUUUUGAGAAAUUAUUCCACAAAUGUCAUUCUGCAAAAUGUAUUAAGAUUAGCAAUCAUGAGUAGUGUAACAACAUCAACAAAAUAACUAUAAACCAUAGUGGAACAUAAUUCAAAUUUCGGUUGCAAAAACAAAAGAAAAAGAAAACAGACUUACAAUAAUUCAGUCUCCAAUCCUGAAGUCCUACUCAAAGAGCAAAACUUGAAUGCAAGCUUUAAUCUUCCAAACAAUACAGAUAACAAGGUAACACUCUAGUAAAAAAUGAACCGAGGUGCGAGCUUUCUAAGAAACCCAGAUGACAAAAUCAACAAAAUAGAAUGGAAAAAUGACUUACAUUUUUAAGGCAUGCCCGAAUCUUGAUCUAAAAUUGGUGGUGGGUCGAUUGUUGGUCACCAACUCUAAAUGAAGAAUUCAUCAGAACCUAGAAAUUUAAACAAAGAAUUUUCCAAAAUCAACAACAACAACAACAACAACAAAGCCUUUUCCCACUAAGUGGGGUCGGCUAUAUGAAUCCUAGAACGCCAUUGCGCUCAUUUGUGUCAUGUCCUCCGUUAGAUCCAAGUACUCAAGUCUUUUCUUAGGGUCUCUUCCAAAGUUUUCCUAGGUCUUCCUCUACUCCUUCGGCCCCGAACCUCUGUCCCGUAGUCACAUUUUCGAACCGGAGCGUCAGUAGGCCUUCUUUGCACAUGUCCAAACCACCGGGACCGAUUUUCUCUCAUAUUUCCUUCAAUUUUGGCUACUCCUACUUUACCUCGGAUAUCCUAAUUCUCAAUCUUAUCCUUUCUCGUGUGCCCAUACAUCCCACGAAGCAUCCUCAUCUCCGCUACACCCAUUUUGUGUACGUUGAUGCUUCACCGCCCAACAUUCUGUGCCAUACAACAUCGCUGGCCUUAUUGCCGUCCUAUAAAAUUUUCCCUUGAGCUUCAGUGGCCUACGACGGUCACACAACACGCCGGAUGCACUCUUACACUUCAUCCAUCCAGCUUGUAUUCUAUGGUUGAGAUCUCCAUCUAAUUCUCCGUUCUCUUGCAAGAUAGAUCCUAGGUAGCGAAAACGGUCAUUUUUUUGUGAUCUUCGCUAGAUUGCUCCGGUCAUUAGUGUGGAUAAGUAUAUAAAAUGGAUAGAGAUAGGAAAGCAAACACAAGAUGUACGUGGUUCACCCAGAUUGGCUACGUCCACGGAAUAGAGGAGUUCUCAUUAAUUGUGAAGGGUUUACACAAGUACAUAGGUUCAAGCUCUCCUUUAGUGAGUACAAGUGAAUGAUUUAGUACAAAUGACAUUAGGAAAAAUUGUGGGAGAAUGAUCUCGUAGCCACGAAACUUCUAAGUACCGGAGUGUGGUAUCGUCUUGACUUGCCUUAUCUGUCUCAUAGGUAGAUGUGGCAUCUUCUCUGGAAGUACUCUUCCUCCAUCCAGGGGUGGUAUCUGUAACUGGUGGAGAUGCACAAGGUAAUGUAUCAAUUUCACUUGAAGCUUACUUGUAGUUUCAUGCUUGGUCAAGCGAGAUACAAACCAUGUAGUAGGAGUCCCCCAAGUCGCCGAGCUGGGGGAUCUGCUGAAAGAGGUGACAGACAAGGUAAGCAAUCAGAGCUCCGGCUGAUUGUUCACAUUCUCCCUAUCUUGCAGGCAGCAUGAAGGAUAAAGAGAAGAAAAAUGAGGAGAGAUGAUAUGGGAUACUUUUGCUUUUGAAGAAGUAACUUUCCACAGGCUUAUUCUUGAACUGGGCUGGAGGGUUUUCUGGUUUCCUCCAGAGUAUAAGGCCGACUGAAGAAUUUGAGGGUCAAAACAAGUCCAUCAAAUCUAGAGUACGUUCGACCCUGCUGAUAUGGGAUACUUUUGCUUUUGACAGAGUAGUGGAUGUAUCGGCACGUGUGCUGUUACGCUUGUCUCCACAUGCUUCCUUGUAUCCUUCUCACUUGCCCUAUCUGUUCCUCAGGCAGAUGCGGUAUCUUCCCUGGAAGCAUAAGAUGUUGAAGAUGAGUACUCGAGAGCAAUGCCAGGUAAGUAAUCAGGUAAGGGGUUCCAGGCAGUCAGUUCCUGGCUGGAAGCUUGAUUCCAAGUGCUGACUGAUUGCUCUCUUUCUCCUUGUCUUGCAGGUAAGAACAAGGCCAAAGGAAAAGACAGGGAAAAAGCAUGAUAUGGGAUACUCUUGCUUUUAACCCUGAUGAUAUGAGAUAUUCUUGCUCUAGUAUAGCUUGUUUACAGAGGUAUUAUCGGGGGGAAAAAAAGCUAAAUAUUUCGAAAGGCUUUGUUGGGAGUGCCCUCUCAGAUAAGAGAAAGGGUUGAGCAUUUUUGCAGGUCUGCCUGUCCGUUAGGGAUGGAAGGUCGACAUAUAUAGGAGUCUCCCUAACAUCAAGUAAUAAUGCUAUUCCUUUACCCUGCUUGGUUAUAGCACGGUAGUGGGAGCUGCCAGCUUCACAUGUUUUAACUCUGUCAGAGCACUUUGAAAAAGUGGUCUGUGGUAUCUGGAAAGCUGAUGUUGCGUGUGAAGAUUACAGACAAGCUGUCGGGGGUCUGGCUCUCGAGAUUCGGAGAACGAUGCCUCUUCGAUUUUUGAGAAAGCAAUCCUGCUGGGGGUCUGGCUCUCGAGAUUCGGAGAGCGGUGUCUCUUCGAUUUUUGAGAAAGUAAUCAUGUUGGGAGUCUGGCUCUCGAGAUUCGGAGGGCGGUGCCUCUUCGAUUUUGGAGCAAGCAAUCUUGUUGGGAGUGUUUUCUCGAAUGUGAGUAAAGGUUGGGCAUGUUUGCUAGUCUACCUUGCCACGAAGCACAGAGGUUGACACACAGGGACUUUCCAAUUAUCCAGCAGUGGUACUGUUCCUUUACCCUCUCUUCGAUUUUUGAGAAAGUAAUCAUGUUGGGAGUCUGGCUCUCGAGAUUCGGAGGGCGGUGCCUCUUCGAUUUUGGAGCAAGCAAUCUUGUUAGGAGUGUUUUUUUCUCGAAUGUGAGUAAAGGUUGGGCAUGUUUGCUAGUCUACCUUGCCACGAAGCACAGAGGUUGACACACCGGGACUUUCCAAUUAUCCAGCAGUGGUACUGUUCCUUUACCCUUGUGGGUAAUAAUAUGGUAGCUAGACCUUCAAAAUUUAUGUGUCUAAACUUUGUUAGUGUUGUUUCUUUGCAAUUCUUUUACCCUUCUUGGUCAGAGCGAUGUAGUGGGAGCUGCAAGCUUCACGUGUCUCAACUUUGUCAGAGAACUUUGGCAAAGUUAUCUGUGGUACCCAUGAGCUACUGUUGCGUGUGGGAAGUGGGUGAUUGAACAGUACGAUUCAUGUGCUUUCUACUUCGCCAGAAAUCUUCGACAGAAUGCCCAUAAUUUCCGCAAAGCUGAGUGUGCGUGUGACAGGUGCUGACAAGGCUGGAAAAGUAGGUGCCUCUUCGAUUUCUGAAAUCGGCCCUCGUGGUCUCUGAGCAGCCCAGCUUUUGAGAAAGCAAGCCUCUUCGAUUUUCUGAGAUCGGCCUUUGUGGUCUUUGAGCAGCCCAGCUUUUUGAGAAUCUCUGAGCAGCCCAGCUUUUGAGAAAGCAAACGCCUCUUCGAUUUCUGAGCAGGCGCCUCUUCGAUUUCUGAAGCUUCGUCGAGUGCAGAUUUUUAUAGGGGCUGACAUUAAGUUCCAAAGCACACUUGAAUAUCCACCAGUAGAAGCUCCAUUCUUGCACUUCUAAGAUCUUGAUUUGUCCGACCUCUUCUCUCUUCAACACCUUUGAAAAUGUCUGGCCCCUCCGACCGUCGUUUUGACUUGAACCUUGUUGAAGAGGCAGCCCCGCCUUCUCCAGACAACAUAUGGCGCCCAUCCUUCGUCUCCCCUACUGGUCCUCUUACCGUUGGGGAUUCCGUGAUGAAGAAUGAUAUGACCGCUGCGGUAGUGGCCAGGAACCUUCUCACUCCCAAAGAUAACAGACUAUUUUCCAAACGGUCUGAUGAGUUGUCUGUUAAGGAUUCUCUGGCUCUCAGUGUUCAGUGUGCAGGUUCUGUGUCUAAUAUGGCCCAACGCCUAUUUGCUCGAACCCGCCAAGUUGAAUCAUUGGCGGCUGAAGUGAUGAGUCUCAAACAGGAGAUUAGAGGGCUCAAGCAUGAGAAUAAACAGUUGCACCGGCUCGCACAUGACUAUGCUACAAACAUGAAGAGGAAGCUUGACCAGAUGAAGGAAUCUGAUGGUCAGGUUUUACUUGAUCAUCAGAGAUUUGUGGGUUUGUUCCAAAGGCAUUUAUUGCCUUCGUCUUCUGGGGCUGUACCGCGUAAUGAAGCUCCAAAUGAUCAAUCCUCUGAUGCCUCCUCCUUCUAGGGUUUUGUCCAAUACUGAGGCUCCGAAUGAUCCCCCUCCGGUGCCUUCUCUUUCUGGGGCUCUACCGACUGCUGAGACUUCUCCUAAGCAACCUUUGUGAAGGCUCCCUCUUGUUUGUUUAUUUUGACUCAAGUAUAUGUACAUAUUUGUAACUUAUCGGGGAUAUCAAUAAAUAAGUUUUUCCUUCAUUUCAACGUAUUGUGUUAAAUACACCAAAGCCUUCUUCGCUAAGUUCUUUGAAUUUUCUUUUGUUGAAGCUUGUAUGUUGAAGCUUUGUGAGUGGAGCAUAUAGGUUGAGGUAGUGUUCCCUUAAUUUCCCGAGUGAGGAAAACUUCUCGGUUGGAGACUUGGAAAAUCCAAGUCACUGAGUGGGAUCGGCUAUAUGAAUCUUAGAACGCCAUUGUGUUCUGUCCUGUGUCAUGUCCUCCGUUAGAUCCAAGUACUCUAAGUCUUUUCUUAGGGUCUCUUCCAAAGUUUUCCUAGGUCUUCCUCUGCCCCUUCGGCCCUGAACCUCUGUCCCAUAGUCGCAUCUUCUAAUCGGAGCGUCAGUAGGCCUUCUUUGCACAUGUCCAAACCACCGUAACCGAUUUUCUCUCAUAUUUCCUUCAAUUUCGUCUACUCCUACUUUACCCCGGAUAUCCUCAUUCCUAAUCUUAUCCUUUCUCGUGUGCCCACACAUCCAACGAAGCAUCCUCAUCUCCGCUACACCCAUUUUGUGUACGUGUUGAUGCUUCACCGCCCAACAUUCUGUGCCAUACAGCAUCGCCGGCCUUAUUGCCGUCCUAUAAAAUUUUCCCUUGAGCUUCAGUGGCAUACGGCGGUCACACAACACGCCGGAUGCACUCUUCCACUUCAUCCAUCCAGCUUGUAUUCUAUGGUUGAGAUCUCCAUCUAAUUCUCCGUUCUUUUGCAAGAUAGAUCCUAGGUAACGAAAACGGUCGCUCUUUGGUAUUUCUUGAUCUCCGAUCCUCACCCCUAACUCGUUUUGGCCUCCAUUUGCACUGAACUUGCACUCCAUAUAUUCUGUCUUUGAUCGGCUUAGGCGAAGACCUUUAGAUUCCAACACUUCUCUCCAAAGGUUAAGCUUUGCAUUUACCCCUUCCUGAGUUUCAUCUAUCAACACUAUAUCGUCUCUGCGAAAAGCAUACACCAAGGAAUAUCACCUUGAAUAUGUCCUGUUAACUCAUCCAUUACCAACGCAAAAAGGUAAGGACUUAAGGAUGAGCCUUGAUGUAAUCCUACAGUUAUGGGAAAGCUUUCGGUUUGUCCUUCAUGAGUUCUUACGGCAGUCUUUGCUCCUUCAUACAUAUCCUGUAUAGCUUGGAUAUAUGCUACUCGUACUCCUUUCUUCUCUAAAAUCCUCCAAAGAAUGUCUCUUGGGACCCUAUCAUACGCUUUUUCCAAAUCUAUAAAGACCAUGUGUAAAUCCUUUUUCCCAUCUCUAUAUCUUUCCAUCAAUCUUCGUAAGAGAUAGAUUGCCUCCAUGGUUGAGCGCCCUGGCAUGAACCCGAAUUGGUUGUCCGAAACCCGUGUCUCUUGCCUCAAUCUAUGCUCAAUGACUCUCUCCCAGAGCUUCAUUGUAUGACUCAUUAGCUUAAUUCCCCUAUAGUUCAUGCAAUUUUGUACAUCGCCCUUAUUCUUGUAGAUAGGCACCAAAGUGCUCAUUCGCCACUCAUUCGGCAUCUUCUUCGUUUUCAAAAUCCUAUUGAAAAGGUCAGUGAGCCAUGUUAUACCUGUCUCUCCCAAAAUUUUCCACACUUCGAUUGGUAUCGUCUGGGCCUACUGCUUUUCUAUGCUUCAUCUUCUUCAAAGCUACACCCACUUCUUCCUUCCGGAUUCUACGAUAAAAAGAGUAGUUUCUACACUCUUCUGAGUUACUCAACUCCCCUAAAGAAGCACUCCUUUCAUGUCCUUCAUUGAAAAGAUUAUGAAAAUAACCUUUUCAUCUGUCUUUAACCGCGUUCUCUGUAGCAAGAACCUUUCCAUCCUCAUCCUUGAUGCACCUCACUUGGUUUAGGUCCUAAAAUCAACAUUUACUAAAAACCAUUUACUUGGUUAUCAUGCAAGAUGGCUUGCCAAAGAUUGAAUUAAGGAAUGCACAACUUUACUUUUAUGAUUAUUUUCAAUGACAGCUAAAAGGUCAGAUCCAAAUGAAAAUAAAACUUUGGACUUCACAAAACCAAUUAAAAAUCUAAUUCCAAAGUUACAAACACCCACCAAAUGAUUCCAGAUAAAGUUUUAAACUCAAGGUCAGACCCAAAUGAAAUUAAAAGUUAGGACUUCACAAAACCAAUUGAAAAUCUGAUUCCAAAGUUCCAAACACCCACCAAAUGAUUCCGGAUAAAGUUUAAACUCAAAACACCAACAGAAACAAAAGCAUUGGUGUGAAUUAACUGUAUCUAAUUGAAGAAACUAAAACAAAAGUAAGCAAAGUACAUACCUCAAAAUGUCAAGCAACUAAGUUCUUCCUCCGACGACCCAAAACUCUGAAAAUUCCACACAAAAAAAAAGGUAAAUCCAUUAGCAAUUCAUAGCUUUCCAAAUUAGCAAAAACUUGGGCAACAAUAAAGAUGCGUUGAGAACCAUCACUCUUUCUCCUUAUGUAUUUGAAAAGAUAUUUUAUAAGCAGUUUAUGUAGUCAUUCUGAUCAUGUUGCAUAUAAAUUCCUUUUCUACAGAGUUCAAAAAUAUAUGGCAGUUUAUGGCAUCUGUUGAAUAACAUGGUUGAAAGAUUUAAAAUUGAUACAUUCAAUUUUCAUGUGUAAAACUAUAACAUAUAGCUAAAGCUAUUGGGUCUAUAUAUCCAUAUCAAUCAAGUCGUAAUUGAAUGUUUAUCGAUGUAAAAAGAUGAUUUCAGUCAUGUGAUAACAUGCUUCUUGAUAGUAUAGCUGAAGUUUGGUCUAAGUUGGAUACAAAUCGACCAAAAUCUAUAAGAGACUCUUUUAACUUUUAACCAAAAAAUAAGCACCACAAUACUACACUUAUAAGUUUUAUCAUGCACAAAAUACACAGCACUGAUUGCCACUUUUAGAGUAAGAACAAUACUUUACCAGAAGAAAACAACAAAACACUCAAAACCCAGAAACUAGAAACACACUUGGGAUUCAAACUCCUCAAAAACAUGAGAAAGAGAGAGAGUGUGUGUGAGGAAAGAGAAUAAAAAACAAUAUUAUUUUUCACACAAACUCAAAAUUGCUUAUAAAAUUAGAAAUCGAAACAAAUUAAUGCAAAUCCAAAAUUGACCUAAAUUAAAUCUGAUUAGUUAAAUGUUUGUUGCCCUACAAAUGUCAUUACACGUUGAUAUUUUGGUCAAUCCUGGGGAAAAGGAGUUAUUGGUGUUGGAGCAGUUGUCAUGGAGAAUACCAUCUCCCUGUUGAAUGAUCUAAAACAGGACUUACUGCUUUAGCUGGCCAUAAUAAUUUAGGAGGCCCUUCUCUCCAGAUUUUCUCAAUAACUUUCCUUUUCGUAGCUGGUAAGAUUGCAACUCUAAGAAUUGCUCCGAAGAUAUAUAUACAAACAAAAUCAACCUAAAACUAAGCUAUUGGAAGAAAUUUGGAAAACACAAACACCACUACACCUCAGAGUUAAAGUCAACAGAAACCAAAUGGU
rnacentral:lncRNA from 1 species